GAUGGGUGAACUAAGUAACUACACUUCUGGACAUUCACCAGCUGGCCAGAAGCUUGCUGGUACUGCUCUAAAAUCUGCAUGACUUUCUUCAAGGAUGUAGCCGAGCCAUUCGCAAAGACCAGAACGUCGUCGGCAAACGCCAGGUGUGUCACAGGGGGACAUCCCCUGGGUACUGUGUAACCCAAAAAGCCAGAUUGAGCUGCGAGACUGUUCAGCCCCCUUGACAAUACCUCCGCUCCAAUAACGAAUAAAGCCGGAGACAAAGGGUCUCCCUGACGGAUACCUCGACUAGAUUUAAAAAACCCAUGUGAUGCCCCAUUAAUAAUCACUGAAAACCACACGUUUGAAACCAACCUCCAGACCAUGUCAAUGAAUCGUUCCCCAAACCCAAAUUUGCGCAAGACACCGACAGUGAAACCCCACGAGACUCUGUCAUACGCUUUAGCCAUGUCUAACUUGAAAAUUACAUUUCCCCCUCUAGCCCGGUGUCUAAAUCCCGACAUCAAUUCCUGGGCCAGUAGAUAGUUCUCAGUUAUAUUCCUACCCUUGACAAAACCCGUCUGUUGCGGUGACACCAGUUUUGGCAAUAUCCCCACAAGCCUAUCCGCCAAAAUUCUAGAUAACACUUUAUUAAUAAAAUUGCAAAGGCUAAUAGGCCGAUAUUUCGAAAAGUCCUGAGGAUUUGGUACCUUCGGGAUUAGAACAAUAGAUGUAGAAGUAAUAAAUCUAGGCAGCUCCGCCCCACAGAAAAAACUCAGCACUGCUUGAUAGACAUCAUGUGCAAUAAUCUCCCAUGCAAAAGUGAAAAACUUACCUGUAAAGCCGUCUGGGCCUGCCGAACUGUCCCCAUCUAUAGCAAAGAUCACUCUUUUCACCUCCUCAAGGGACGGACAUGUUUCAAGUGUCUCAUUAUCAUCCCCCGUGACAACACGCGGAAUCAGGUGCAAUAAGUCCCCUGAUGCCCCUCCUGGCUCCGAGAACGGCUCCGAGAAAUACCGGACUGCCAUGGAGGCAAUCCCCUCAUCGUCCUCAACCCAUGCCCCACUCUCAUCCUGCAUCCUAUGAAUCGCCCCUUGCACCCUUCGUUGCUGUACGGUAGCAUGAAAAUACUUAGAGUUCCUAUCCCCGUGCCGGAGCCAUUUGACGCGAGUCUUUUGACUCCAAAAUCGCUCUUCGUUGGACAACGCCAGCCGCAAUUUUGCUUGAGCCUUUUGCAGCUCAAUUUGAGCGUCCCCCGAUUCAUCCUCCUCCACUCGAUUUUCCGCUGCUAACAAGUCCGAUUCUGCCCUUUGAACAGCAAUAAAAAUAUUUCCAAAAGCCUCCUUAUUCCACUCCUGUAUCACCCGUCGGGCCUUUACUAAUUUGGAACAUAACUUCCGUAGGGGGGAGCCCGUACACUCUAACUGCCAUGCAUUUCGAAUAACCUCCAGCAGAUCCUUUCUGUCUGUCCAGAGAUUCAAAAAGCGGAACGGCCUAGGCUUAUUAUCCAUGCGUGAUGCCAAACCAAUCCUCAGCGGGGCAUGAUCUGACGGAUGUCUAGCCAGAUGGACUACUGACACAGAUGAAACGGCAUCUGAGAAGAUUCCAUUAAUUAGUAGCCUGUCUAGACGCUUCCAAAUUCGUUCGCGGCCUCUCCGAUUAUUACACCACGUGUAGCUGGAUCCAGAGAAACCCGCGUCAAAGACCUCCGCCUCCUCCAUGAAUGACAGUAGCUCCAUACCCUCUGCUCUAGCAAAUGGUCUCCUCCCUCGCUUCUCGUGAGGGUCUAUGAUCACAUUAAAGUCACCACAGACACACCACGGAAGUGAGGUGGGUUUGUCAGUCAACAGGUCUUGCCAUAAAAUUCGCCGCUCCUCCAUCGUGCACCGGGCAUGCACAAACGAGAAGCACAGCGACCUUGGUAGCCACGGGUGAUGCACCAGUAACAUAAUGUGCUGUGAAGAAUUACCUAUUAUAGUACAUGUAAUCGGAGCACUAAACAGCACCCAUAUGUCUGCAGACAAGUUACCCACUACAGAAUCAAAUGGUAACCGCAUUUUAAUAGAAUCUAUUUGGGACAUUGCUAGCUUCGGUUCACAAAUAGCAACAAAUUUCAAGUUAUGCAAACGAACUAGCUUAAUCAGACGACGCAGGUUGGGGGGUUUGGAGACCCCUCUAAUAUUCCAAAAUAGCCCACUAAUCAUGGGAUAAAGGUUGGAAAGAGUUUUGAGAUAAUGUUACCGAUGACCGCAGCUGCCUAUCUGAUAGGAACUGAGCCCGAGCGCCUUUUUUCCUUGUUCGCCUAUCCCGUUGGACCAGUACGUCGGCUUGAUCGAUGUUGAGCUCCACCAUUAUGGCGGAUACCGGAUGUGCACCGCCGAUUAAGUCCUCCUCCUCAGCUGCACUUAAAGACCCUUGUUCAGCUAGCACCAUAGCCCCAUCCCCUAUAUCUUGCUCCUGCCAUUGCUGCUCAUUUGGGAUAUCAUCACAGGCAGUACCCGCAACUGCUUCGUUCAAGCCCUUUGAAGCAGAGUUGCUGCUAGUGCCGCUGGUGUCCAUCGCCCUCUUCUCUCCAAGUUCCGCUGCCUGCUCUCUUCCCCCAUUUGGAGCCAGCUCCACCACUGCCAAAUUAGCAGCUGCAACAUCCACCGUCCCCACCGUUGCUCGAUCCUCACUUGCUCCAGUUGCGGCAACAGAUUCUGUCAACCCAGAUGCUGGAGCGGUGACUGAUGCCCCAGGUGCGGCAACAGCCUCUGCUGCCUUUUGGACUCCUAACGUCUGCCCACAGUUAGGAUCAUCAUCUGCCAUCGCUGUCUGCAUUGUUGCAGCAAAAAUAUCUGCUGCACGUUGGGUCCCCAACACCUGCCCACCGUCUCUUGCAUCAGCAACCAUCACGUGCUGCCGCACCUCCGCACCCAGACAUUGCGCCUAACCUUUAGUCUCUCAACUAUUUUGUUUAAGUGAAAUAGCACCUAACCUUUAUUUAUUUGGCCAGUUUCGUCCUUGUUUGACUUAUCUACCCAAUUUAUCAACCUUGUGCACUAACAAUCAGGGGCAAAAUAAGAAAUUUAGUCAAUGCCCUUACAAAAAUGAUAGAAGAAAUAGAUAUUUGACAAAAAAUUAAAAACAAAAUUGAAUCAUGUAGAGAACAAAAAACAUAAUGUUUCUUACGGAGAAAAAAAUGGAGCUGAUGCCUAAAAUCUCACAUGGAUCCAACUCAGUCCAUUGAAUGGAGAAAAGGGAAAAUAACACAACAAGAAUAUGCUAAAAGUUGGAAAAAUGUGCUAUAAUUAUGAUUACUCCUUUAAGAAAUAAAGCUGAAAGAAGCUCAAUUUCUUUUUGUUUUCCAUAUUAUUCAAUUUCGUUGUCGAUUUUUUGAUAGAUGUAUGUUUUUUUAUUGUUUUAAUAAGGGCUGUGAUUGGAUUUCCUAUUAUGACAUUGGCUGUCGAUACUAAACUUGAUAAAUUAGAUGGAUCAUCCAAAUAAAGAUAAAAUUGGCUAUGUAAACAUUGGUGAGGGACUAUUUCAGCUUAAGAAAAAUAGUUGAGGGACUAAAUUGGCUUAUAAUAAAAUUAGGGACUAUUUCAGCUUUGUAAAAAUAGUUGAGAGACUAAAUUGACUCGUAAAAAGUUUAGGGACUAUUUUGACAUUAACGAAAUAGUUUUGGGACUAUAAACAUUAGGUCGCAAUGUUGAAAUAUCAAAACCCGUGUUUUGGACCAAAACUCAUAGAACUUCUUCACGUCGCUAACGAAAUUUGAUUCUGAAGUAAUGCUAAUUUUAGUUAUUAUUUGUUUCCUUGUUGGACUUCUGUCUUUUUGGUUACAAUAUUAAAAUGUAUCCAUAAUUUUCAAUUCCAAAAUUGUUGAAUAUUUAAACGAAUUCUAGAAAGGGCACUGAGAGCCAAAGUCUUAUUCAAACAGCCAGCCAUCUGAGAGUACGUAUUUUUUUAUUAUCAGGUUCAAUAUGUAUCUAUUGCUAUUUUUGAAUGAUCAGCCAUGACUAAGAGAAUGAAAUAAUUCACUUGUUUUUUUUAGAUAUGAAUUCAUUACUGUCAGUAGUCUAUAAAUACACUUAUUGCUCACCAUUCUUUGCACCGCAAAAUCUUUUCAAGAUCCAUCAAACCCUCCUGUUCUUGAUCUUGUCCAUUUGUGAAAACACAAAUUAAAGCAUCAUGGCCCCUAUCACUUGUAGUGCUGAGAUGACCUCCCCAAUCCCUCCUGCAAGGUUGUUCAAGGCCGCCAUCCUUGAUGACCACCCUUAAUGCCACAGGCUAUUAAGAGUGUGGAAAUCCUUGAAGGAGAUGGUGGAGUUUGAACCAUUAAGUUGAGCACAUUUGGUGAAGGUUAGAUGUCAUAUUAAUGUAGAACCCAAAUUUUAAGGAUCUAAUAAUAAUCAAUGCGUGCAGGGUUACAGAAUUGGUGGGAUAAAACAAAUACUCAAAAUAUACGUGGAAGAAAAGAAAAUAAUAAAUUCAACUCACAAUAUUAUUGAAAUUUCAAACAAUGAAGAAAAUCAUACCACAAUAAAUUCAGCUGGUUCUAAUAAUAAUCAAAGCAUACAAGGUUACAGAAUUAAAAGGAUAAAACAAACACUCAAAAUAUAUGUGGGAGAGAAGAAAAUAACAAAUUCAACACACAAUAUUAUUGAAAUCUCAAACAAUGAAAAAAGUCAUACCAUAAUAGAAAACCUUGCUAAUUCUUCUAGAUUCUUUCUCUUGAGAAACCAACCUAAAUAAUGUCCUAUUUAUAAUCUACCAAACUUGUUAGGAAAGAAACCACUUGCAUAAGAAAUUACCAAAUAAAACAGAAAUUCCUAAAUCACACAACUACUAAAAACAUAACUCAAAUAAAACUAAAAAUAAAUAAAUAUUUCUAGGCUUAGUUUAAUUUGUCAACAUUGCCUCCCUUAAACCAAACUAUCCAUUGAGAUAGGUUCAACACCUUCUUGAGCAAUAAUUUCUAUGUUGUAGUACACUUGACAUGAAACUCUAACUUGUUACCAGUUAUUAAUUUCAUUUUUACAUGUAACAGUGGACGCACUAUGUAUUUUGUAAAAAAUUUCUCAGUAAUUUCUUCUUGAUCAAAGUACUCACUUAUACAAACCCAUUCAUCACCAGAAUCACCAUAUUUGCCACCAAUGAAAGUGCCUAAAAAUACAAAAUCAUAGAUUGCUUUUUGGCUAAAAUUAUCAUCACCAAAUAAUUCAAAAUAACCACUACUACAAUCAUCCAAAAUUUUCAUACUGUCAGUCAACUCUUUUGGAGUAAAAUAUUUUUCAAUUCCGAUGACAUCCAUAUCUAUAAAAUCAAACAUUCUCCCAUCACUUUGAAGAGAGUCCGCAACCAACGAAUUUUUCAACAACAAUUUCAUGUUCUCUUCUCUUAUCAAAUCAAAAUUUUCUUCUUCUUUUGUCAAAUUACCAUAUUAUUUUUUUCAACAAAUUCAUUACUUCUAAUUUCUCCAAACAAGGUACGCAAAUCAAAACUAUCAAUUGAUUCAAAAUUUUUGAUAUCACCCAUAUUAUCAACAAAUCUAUCAUUUUUAAAAUCCACAAACUAAUUCCAACAACUAGAUUUCGGUUUGAAAGCAUAAUUUCUCUUAAUCGUGUGCAAAACAUAGUAAAUAUCCUUCCAAAAUCUCUAAAGUAUUUUAGUAUGACCAAUAAAGGCUUUAUAAAUACUUUCUGCCAUUAUUUUACGCAUCACUUGAAAGAAUAAUUGUGCCUUUUUCUUAAAAACAUGUUUUGCCAACAUACUUGCAUCAACCCAACAAAGAAUAUCAUCCAAAUUACAUUGUUUGACAUAUUUUUCCACUGUUAAAAUCCAACCAAAUAUGUAUGUCUAUUUGUGCUUAUAGGAGUCAAUAUGAAAAAUUUUUCACCGUCAAUCAGAUCUUUAUAAUAUUCUAUUAUUUAACAAUUUGUAUACCUGAAUAAAUUUUUUUCCUCCAUCCUGUCAUGUUUUCUUGGCCGUUCUGGUUGACUAAACAAAUUAUUGUUGUAUGUAUACCUAUGCUCGUCAAACCUCAUUCGUGUACACUCGUAAGGAGUGGUUCUGAGCUUAUUGUGAAUGCUCAGUACCAAGAAGUAGAAGAGAGAAUGCAUAAGAGAGAAUUAACUUGGCUAAAGAAUUAGGAAACAAAUGAGGGAUUUUUUAAGAAAUUAAUUCUCCAACUGCCACUUUUGGAAAUUUUCUAUCAACAACUAGCUACCAAAACACUAGCACAUAGUAAGAAAUUGGGAUAAUUUCAGAAACCUCGCUUGAGGCUUUUAAUAAUCUCAAGAAGCUCCCCUCAAAAUUUUAAAAUUACACGUACCAUUCCUAUUGGUGCAAAAGUACUCUACUACCCCUAAUAGGAUACUCAAAAGACUUUUUUAUGGGAAAAAAGAAGGCCAGAAAUCCAAGCGAAAACAAAAAAAAAUCAAUUUCUUUUCUCUUUUAGCCUUUUACGCUUGUGCCUUCUACCUUUGCUCACUUUCCCAUGCCAAUCUUCCUAUAACCACUUUCCUAAUCCCUUUUCCCCAACUUUUCUUCUCUACUUCAAGACCAAUUUUUGUCCAUCAACCUUGGCUUGUGCUUUGUUCCAUUCCCUUCCCUUCUCCUUCUUUGAUUUCCCUUACAUCUCCCUUUCUCUUUGCAAAAGUGACUAGGCUCAUCUCUCUCCUUUUUUUCCCCAUAUUUUAAGUGUAGUGGGUUUGAUUAUUUUGCCUCUAUUUUAUUUGAUUUUGGUGGAUUAUGGGUGAUAAAACUUGGUGAUGUCACAUAUUAAAAGUUUGAUAGAUGGAUAUUGGGCUUUAGACAAUGAUUUGCUGAAAAAAAAUGGCCGCAAUGAGAGGAAGAGGCAAGGGGAUUUGAGUGUGGGGGUUGAUUGUUGAUGAAUUGUUGUUUUGGACAAAAUUUGAGGUUGAGUUUUAUCAAAUUUGGUAGCAAGUGGCGAGAUUUGUUUAGGUUGCGGGAAAUAAAUUGGAUUGUGGUUUCUUGGGCAUCCACAGUCGUUGGAAUUGGUUUUGAUUCAAAUUAGGGUGGUUACUUGAUUUUCCUAAUAGUGUUGCUUAAAAGCACACGAUCAUCAAAAUUCCUUAUUUUUAUCUUUUAUUUUUUUUGUGGAAAAGAUUUCAUGACUUUCGUGAUAGUCUAAUUUGGAAGAAGGCAAUCAAGGGAUGCAAUCAACAUUUAGCAAAAGCUUUUGUUGUUUUCUUUGUAAUUUUUAGGGUAAAAAGGGUAGUUUAGGUUAUUUGAAGGAAAUGAUAGUCUAUUGGAUCUAUUUUGAAGCAUAAAUAGUGAACAUAAGGGAGGUUGGUGUUAUUUCUAAAAUCUAAGGGGAAUUGUCUGAAAUUGUCCGAGACCUCGGAGGAGGUUUUCAAAAUUAUCCGUAAGAAAUCAAAUGCGAAACUUGAUUAGUACACGCACACACGACACCGCACCACGCCACGCGUGUGUUGAGGACUGAUGUCCGUAACCAACGACAAGCAGGUUUUCAAUUUUUUUUUCCUUUCCUAGAUUCAAAGAUGGUGUCAGCUUCUAUUAUUGGUGAGCAGGAGGAAAUCCACAAUAUACAUUACACAUCACCCAUAUUCUUUUUAAUUGAACAAUGUAUGAAAUUAUGGUGAUUCGAAAUUAAAUUAUAUGUUUAUUGGGCAACGAAUCCAAAAUAAGAGUUGGAAAUGUAUUGUGACAACAAUUGUUAACUUUGGCCACAAAUGAUCAAAAUAAAUAUUUAAGGUUUAAUAUGACAUUAUGGGUUCAAAAUAUAGUUACUUGUUAUGAAACAACUAAAAGUGCGGAUGCCCAUUUGUAUUCUCAAAAGGAUCAAUUCACAAUUCAUUGCUCCCAAGAGGAUUAAUUCAUAAUUCAUUGCUAUAUUAUGUAAAGGAAUUACAUUGGAUGAACGGUUUCAAUCCAUAAGAGCUAUUCAUGUAUUGGAUGAACCAUUUCAUAUGGCUAUUUAUAUUCUUGUAGUAAUGAGUGUUUAAUAGAAUUGUUGUACCUCUAAUUUUGUAGUACCUAUAUAUAGAGGUACCUUAGCACCUCUUGGGUGUACUUUUUGAUUAGUUGGAAUAAUAAGAAAAUCAUUCUCUAUUUUUGUACUUCUUUCUCUAAUAUUUCAAUUCCUAUUAUAGUAGUUCAUUUUUUUUUUAGUUUUACAACACGUUAUCAGUACAAGUCUCUACUUUUGAACAAAAAGGUGAAAACGGAGUCUCUACCUUAAAAAAAAGUGAAACACGAGAUUCUGCCGAAAUUCUGCCCGUAUUUUUCCAGUAACUUCUGUCUACUUAUUGAGAAACGGAUGCCAAAUAUUUGGGAUUAAAUAAUGGUGAUGAUGACAUUUGUCUCAUUGAUAGUGCUACUACGCACACUAUAUUGAAAAAUAAGAAAAUUUUCUUGUAUGAAAAUGAGAGAGACAAAUGUUAAUACCAUAAGUGGUAGUGCAAAAUUGAUUGAAAGAUUCGAAAGAGCCACUCUAUUUCUUACUGAAGGGACUAAAAUUGUCGUAAAUAAUGCACUACUGUCUCCCAAGUCUCGGAGAAAUUUAUUGAGUUUUAAAGAUAUCCACGAAAACAGAUAUCAUAUCGGGACAAUAACUGAGACAAAUAAAGAAUUUUUAUUAAUCAAAAGUAUCAUUUCUAGGCAGAAAUACGUAGUAGAAAAAUUACCUUCUUUUUCUUUUGGCUUAUAUUAUGCACAAAUUAGUGCAAUUGAAAUUUAUCACCUAGUAGACCAGAAGUCUACUCAUCCCAAUAAUUUUAUCAUUUGACAUGAUCAUUUCAGAAAUCUUGAAUCUAUAAUGAUGAGACGAAUAAUCGAGAAUUCACAUGGUCACUCAUUGAAAAAUCAAAAGAUAUUAAAAGCAAAUGAAUUUUCCUGUGUUGCUUGUUCCCACGGAAAAUUAAUUAGACCAUCACCCGCUAAAGUUGGGACUGAAUCCCCUACAUUUCUAGAACGAAUUUAUGGUGAUAUAUGUGGAUCAUUUCGAUAAUUUAUGGUGCUAAUUGAUGUAUCAACUGGAUGGUCACAUGUAUGUUUAUUAUCUACUCCCAACCUAGUGUUUGCGAGAUUGCUUGCUCAAAUAAUUAAAUUGCGAGCACAAUUUUCAGACUAUCCAAUAAAGAAAAUUCAUCUAGAUAAUGCUGGUGAAUAUUCAUCACAUACUUUUGACGAUUAUUGCAUGCCCAUUGGAAUAACUGUUGAACAUCUUGUAACUUAUGUUCACACAUAAAAUGGUCUAGCCGAAUCAUUUAUUAAACGGGUACAAUUAAUUGUUAAACCAUUGUUGAUGAGGUCUAAACUACUUUCAUCUGCUUGCGAACAUGCUAUAUUACAUGCAGCAACACUUGUGAGAAUUAGACCGACAAGUUAUCAUACUUAUUUUCCCCUACAAUUAACUUUUGGUGAUAAAUCCAAUAUUUUUUAUUUACGAAUAUUUGGUUGUUCGGUUUAUGUUCUAGUUGCACUGCCCCAACGUCGUAAAUUGGGCUCGCAAAAAAGAUUGAAAAUAUAUGUCGGGUAUGAAUCACCUUUAAUUAUUAAGUAUAUGGAACCAUUGAUAGGUGAUUUAUUUACUGCGAGAUUUAUAGAUUGUUAUUUUGAUGAAUCACAUUUUUCAACAUUAAGGGGAGAUAAAAAUCGACCAAAAAAGGAAAUCACUUUAAAAAUAUCAUUGAAUUUCUCGAUUCUCGUACCGAAGUAUGUGAACUAGAAGUUCAAAAGAUUACACAUUUGCAAAAAAUUACAAAUCAAUUACUGGAUGCAUUUAAUGAUUCCAGAAGAGUUACUAAAUCACAUAUUCCUAUUGAAAAUGCUCCAAUUAAAAUUAAUGUCCUUGAAAGACAAAUUACAAGUGCUAAUGAGUCUAAAGUGCACCUGAAGUGUGGGAGAUCUCUUGGUUCCAAAGAUAAAAAUUCUCGAAAGAAAAGAGGAGCAUAUGAAUCAACAAUUAGUGACAAAAUUCAACCUCUUGAAGAGAUCGCUCCUAAAGAACCAAUUCUUGAGAAGAAUGAAAUCAUAGAAAAUUCAAUAAAUUUUAUCACUUCAGGAAAAAGUUGGAACCGAAAAGAAAUAAUUAUUAAUAGUAUUUUUGCAUAUAAUGUAGCACUUGAUAUUAUGGUAGAGAAUGAGGAUCACGAGCCUAAAUCGAUUGAUGAAUGUCGACGUAGAAAUGAUUGGCUAAAAUGAAAAGAUGCGAUCCAAUCUGAAUUGAACUCACUGGUUAAAAGAAAAGUUUUUGGACCUAUAGUCCAAACACCUGAAGGUGUAAAGCCAGUAGGAUAUAAGUGGGUAUUUGUGAGAAAAAUGAAAUCGUAAGGUAUAAAGUAAUACUUGUAGCCUAAGGAUUUUCACAAAGGCCUGGAUUUGAUUAUGAUUACACUUAUUCACCUGUAGUAGAUGCUAUCACAUUGAUAUUUUGUGAGUUUUGCAGUACAUGAAAAAUCAGAUAUGCAUCUAAUGGACAUCGUUACUGCAUAUUUAUAUGAAAAUCUUGAAAAUGAUAUUUAUAUGAGAAUUCUCGAAGGAUUCAAUAUGCCUGAAGCAUGCAAAUCAAAUCCUAAAAAUAUUUAUUUCAUUAAAUUACAAAGGUCUUUGUAUGAAUUCAAACAAUGUAAACGCAUGUGGUACCACCUCAAUGAAUGUUUAACUAAAGAAGGCUAUACCAAUGAUCCAAUAUGUCCAUGUGUCUUUAUAAAAAAAAUGGAUCAAAUUUUGUGAUAAUUGUUGUAUAUGUUGAUGAUCUAAAUAUGAUUGGAACUCCUGAAGAGAUUCAAAACAGUGUUGAAUAUUUGAAAAAAAAUUUGAGAUCAAAGAUUUUGGAAAAAUAAAAUUUUGCUUUAGUUUACAAAUUGAGCAUUUGAAAAGUGAAAUUUUUGUCCACCAAACUGCUUAUACCUGGAAGGUAUUAAAGCGAUUUUAUAUGGAUAAGUCACAUACAUUAAGUAUUCCAAUGGUCAGAUCAUUAGAUCCUAAUAAGGAUCCUUUAGACCGUGAGAGGAAGAUGAAGAGAUACUUGGUCCUAAAGUACCAUAUCUCAGUGCAAUUGGUGCACUACUGUAUCUUGCUAAUUGUACAAGACCUGAUAUAUCAUUUGCAAUAAAUUUAUUAGCAAGAUUUAGUUCCUCGCCCACAAGACGACAUUGGAAUGAUAUUAAACAUAUUUUUCGUUAUCUUUAAGGAACAAUUGAUCUUGCGUUAUUUUAUUCAAAUAAAUCUAAACUUGAAUUGCUUGGUUAUGCUGAUGUUGGAUAUUUAACUACUCUGCAUAAAACAAAAUCUCAGACUGGUUAUCUAUUUACAUAUGGAGGUACAACCAUUUCUUGGCGAUCUACAAAGCAAUUAUUAGCCACCACCUCAUCGAAUCAUGCUAAAAUAAUAGCAAUUCAUGAGGCUAGUCGAGAAUGUGUUUGAUUAAGAUCAAUGACCUACUAUAUCCGGAAGAGUUGUGGAUUAUCCUCUGAAAAAGAAAAUCCUCCAACUAUAUUUUAUGAAGAUAAUGCAGCUUGUAUAGCUCAAUUGAAAGGAGAAUAUAUUAAAGGAGAUAGAACGAAACAUAUUUCACCAAAUUCUUUUUUACUCAUAAUUUACAAAAGAAUAGUGAAAUUGAUGUGCAACAAAUCCGAUCAGAUAAUGAUUUAAUAGAUUUAUUUACUAAUGCAUUGCUGACUGCAAUAUUUGAGAAAUUGGUAAAGAAUAUUGGAAUGCGAUGACUAUAAGAUCUCAAAUGAUAUUUGCAUCAGGGGAAGAAAUCAAUACACAAGAAUAGUGUACUCUUUUUUCUUCACUAGAACUUUUGUCCCGUUGGAUUUUUUUCUAGUAAGAUUUUAAUAAGACAUAUUCUUUGUGUAAUGAAUAUUCAAUGGGGAGUGUUAUGAAACAACUAAAACUGUGGAUGUCCAUUUGUAUUCUCAAGAAGAUAAAUUCAUAAUUCAUUGCUUUCGAGAGAAUUAAUUCAUAAUUUAUUGCUACAUUAUGUAAAGGAAUUACAUUGGAUGAACGGUUUCAAUCCAUAAGAGCUAUUCAUGUAUUGGAUGAACCAUUUCAUAUGGCUAUUCAUGUUCUUCUAGUAACGAGUGUUUAAUAGAAUUGGUGUACCUUUAAUUUUGUAGUACCUAUAUAUAGAAGUACCUGGCACCUCUUGGGUGUACUUUUUGAUUAGUUGGAAUCAUAAAAAAAUCAUUUUCCAUUUCUGUACUUCUUUCUCUAAUAUUUCAAUUCCUAUUAUAGCAGUUUUUUUUUUUAGUUUUACAACAUUACUCAAAUAAGAGAGUUAUUGGACUACAUGUUUAUUGACCUCUACUAACUUAUUUAAGGUCAUUUUAUAUCACUAUCCAAAGAAGAAUUAAGGUCAUUUUAUAUCACUAUCCAAAGAAAAAUUCUUGGGCGUUAGCAUUUUUCUUACAUGCGAAGACUAUUAAUGAAAGUUGACCCAAAUCUCUCUGUCUCUCUCUCUCUCUCAAUUCUUAGGACUGAUGCCAAUUCUUACCAUUUAGAAAGAAAAAUUAGAUUGUUUAUAUAUAUGAUGAGUUCCCUCUAAGUCAUGGUUAAGAAAAAUUCUUAGUUAAACGUAGUUUUAUGAAAUGUGAAUUUCCUUUUCGUUGUCUUUAUUCAUUAGUAUUAUUGGGAUUAUUGUAUUCUAAUUGCAAUGCACAGAUACAUGGAUUUUUGACAUUUUUUCUUUUUAAUUGACUCUGACUAUGUCUCAAACUCGAGACAUCAAACCUGGAGACGACUUUUGUCCAAAAUGCUUGUAAAAAUUCAGAAGAAUAAUUUUGGACCUUAUUAUUUAAUAAUGGUAGAAUUAUGAGAGUCAUUCCUAGUUAAUUAUCAAACUUGGAACUUGAAAAAAAUGUCGACAUCAUGUCAUUAUUAUUUGUUUGUUUCAUAGAAAAAUAAAGCAUUCUCCGACUCCACAUUAUCAUAUUAUUUUCAAUUGGCAGCUUAAGUGAGAAAGACAGGUGAAAAUUUUGUGCAUUACUAAUUUAUUUAGGCCUCACGCGUCGCGCGAAUGUGCCCACAUCAUCUUCGCUGUAUUGGAGAAAUUUGAGCGCUUUGAUCAUAAGAAAUUCACAAUCACAACUGGCCACAAAGAAAGCACUAACUGGUUUAAACAAAGCAUGCAAAUUUCUUAAACAAUAGAUACCUAAACCAACCAUUUUACCGUCCUGCCAAAAAAAGGGCAUUAAAGUAAAAACAACCUAUGCCUAACACAGCUAACAAACUUCAGCACCUUCACUUCACUGCCACGUCAUCAACAACAUUUGCAAAUUUCCAAGGAAGUCCACGCACUAAAGGUGCCCAUGCCCCAUAGGUAGGGCUGUCAACGGUCCGGGUCUGGACCCGAACCCGACCCGGACCCGCCAAUAUUUGUCGGGUACGAGUAGGCAUAUAGUUCCGGGACCCGGACCCGGACCCGGAACCGUUUAACCUAAUAGAUUUGCGGGUAGAAUACGGAAUAUGCCGUUCCGACCCGUAUAGGACCCGACCCCGUUUUUUAAUUAAUUAAUAAUUAAAAAUAUAUACCCAAUUUUGUUCAACCCUAAAUCCCUAAUAGUCUAAUACCCACGUAACCCACCGCCGCCGCACUCUCUUUUCCUUUGCUCCUUACCCAGCCCCAGCGACCAUUUUUCUCCUCUGCCUCCCAACUCCUGAGUCGCGCCUCCACCACCACCACUCACCACUCACCAGAUCUGCAAUUUUUCAGGAAAUUGACUGAAGUUUGAGUCUGACCGAAAAGGACUAAACGUCUAAACCGAACGUCUUCAGUCUUCCUGGAGUUUCUGCUCGGCUGCCGCCGACUGCUUUUGCCGACUGCAUGUCGCAGCUAACGUGGCACACUACAAGAAAGUGAGAAGACUGCAGUUCGUGGACGCGAUUCCUAAAUCUCCUUCAGGAAAGAUAAUGAGAAGGCUCAUCAAGGAGAAGAUGGCAGAAAUUUAAAUAAGAAGAUGCGACCAGUGGGCGUUUUUGCUCAGAACCAACACGGGUUCUGUAGGAAUAAUCAAUUCCCUCCUCUUAGUCUUCGGUAACAUAUGGGCUGCUAUUCCAUUCUCACCUUUACUAUUGUGAUUGUAAUAAGCUAAUGCGAAAUUCACUUGGGUCGGUCCCAUGGAGAUAUUUUAAAUACUAGUACUAUGUCUGGCUUAAAGCAGUAAAGGCCUCAAAUAGUCACAACCACAGCACACCAGCAGUACUGCCUUUCACACGCCACGAGGUUAUCUCAUCUCGAAGAUCAACAUAGGUAAUUAAGUAGAGCUCCCAAAGUUUGCCACAGGUUUUAACGGGUCUGAUUGCCGGGUAGACCCGGCCCGGAUUCGGGACCCGUCGGAUACGGGUCCGAUGACCGAUUAAAAGAUCCGUCGGGUAUUCGGGCCGAAUCCGGAACUAAUCUAGUAUAACGGGUCCGGAUUCGGAUAUAUGCAUUCCGGCCCGGACCCGGCCCGUUGACAGGCCUACCCAUAGGGGACCUCAGGUUAGUCUUCUUAACAUCAACUCCUGUCUUUCUAUUCUUAGGAAAUAUUGAAAUUAAACGUUAUAACUAAUCCUGAUUUCCUUGUGCCAUAUUUGUACACAAUUUGGCAACAAGGGUAAAAAAAAAAUAAAAAUAAAAAGGUUUAUCUGCAAACUGUAGUUCGGCCUGGCUCUUUUUUUUUUUUUUUUUGGGGAUAAGAUCAUCUCAGCACCCGCAGACCCCGUCAUGUAUCAAUAUUUCUGUACUUAGCAUUGGCUUCUUCCGCCUGAAGAACACACGAACCACCGAAAUAGAUGGUGAAUGAAAGUGCACUUAACCCUUUUAAUUUUUCAAAACAAUUGCUUUUAGAAAAAAUAAUAAAAACUUUUUUGAAUUUAAUUUUAGAGAAGAAGAAUUUUAAACCUUUUUGAAUUUAAUCUUGGAGAAGAAGAAGUUUAAAACGUACUUUAAUUUUCACAACUGAUGAUGAAAAUAGCAAAAUGUUCACGGAGAGUGACAAAAGUGACAUCUUAUCUUUUUGCUGACUGCUCCGCUUUCCAAUGAGAGGGUCCAGAAGGGACCACGGGGAGCAGUUGCAGGUCCAAUCGUUUCUAGUGAUUUUGUGUAUUUUACACAUCAUGUAACUUUAUUUGUAUACGACGUAAUUUUAUUUGUACAACAUGUAAUUUUAAAAUAAAUUUUUGUGAACCCUACACACGUUAUUAAAAAUGAGGUACAAAAAGUAAUUUGGAUUGCAAAAAUUUUUUGAACCAAAUCUUGGCCGUGAACAGCUCAGGAACGAUCCAUCUAAUGAACGCUUCUGCCUCUUAUCCAUCCAGAAGGGGGUGCCUCUGCUUCAUAUUUUAUCCAUAUUGAUAUUUUUUUUUCCUGUGCCUCUAAGUAUUAAAUGUGAAAGGUUGCCCACCAUAUUUGACGAAACCGUUUAUCCUAAUUGAUUAUUAUCAACAGGGCAUAACUUUAAUAUUCUUCGUCCAACCCUUUCUGGUGAUUCCUGCAACUCCAGCCGUCCGUCAAUGACCAUAAAGCACCAUUAACCGACAACUAACUAACCACUACUAAUCUAUUCUCAAAUUUUAAUGAAAUUGCACAAUUAGUUUUCAUUUCUCACUUUUAUUUCAAAUUUGGUCUCAAUUUAAUGUGAACCCCAACAAAUAAGAUCGGAGUUGAAAUCAAAGAAGGUAUUUCAAUCACCAUCAGAUAAAUUCGUCAUAUCUAGUUUUGUUUUUGAGAUGCAUAGAAAAUGUAAGCUGAUUUUUCAAUCUACGAGAAAAACGAAAGUCUAAGAGAAUAAUUUUGUCAAAAUUUGACAAUGGAAUAACAGUUGUGAACGGGUGGCCACUGGUUGGCAGCUAGAAGUUAUAGCAGUUUUAAAACAUAAUUGGAGAAAGUAAAAGAUUAAAACUACGUUGUCUACUAUUAACGACUUACAUUGACAAAAUGGCUAAAGUUAGGGUUGAAAAAUAAAUUAAACUACGCGACAUUCGAAUCAACUUCGAUUGGUAAGAGUUUAUUUCAAUUUGGUUUGUUAACUAGUCAAAUCAAAUUUCAACAACAUUUUAUAGUCGAUAACUUUGAAACUUGAUAAAAAAGUCCGUUUAAACUCGAUUUAGUAAAUAAACAAAUCAAGUUUGAACAAUAUUUUAAACUCAUUAAAAUAAUUAAAUAUGUUUGAAUACUAGGGUAUUCGAUUUAAUUAGAUACGUUUGUACCCCUAAUUAAAGCAUGCACUUUUAUAAGUUUAGGAAUCAACAUUAUACAUUUAAUAGCUAGCUAGAGGGUCAAACAGUUAAUUGCCUUAAAUUCUUUUAGCAGCCAUAAGGUAUAGUUGGAGGGAUUCCCUUGAAAUUGGUUAGAUUCUUCUAUGUGACUAAAGAAUUUCGGGUGCGACGCAUUACUAGUCCUACCCUAAAAAAAAUGGUAUUACUAGUCCUUUUUUUCUUUUUUGGCGUGCCCCCGCCGUGGGAUGUGGGGAGGGGAGUCUGUGCGAGAAUUCUAGGUGGGGUACAAGGAGCCAAAGUUCACCUUAUUCAAAGUAAACAACCGUCCAUCUCAGUUGUCGACUUUCCUGUCGAUUGCGUAUAUAUAUUACUAUCUUUUACCAUGACUCUAGAGGAUAGCUAAUUUUGCUUGCUAUUAAAUAAUAAUUUCGGUAGUCUAUAAAUACUCUUGUUCCUCACCGCUCCUAGCACCACAUAAUUCCUUCAAGAACAGCCAAAACCUUCUUGAAAUCCCUCUUUUUCCUUCUAGUUCAUUUCCAAGAAACAAAUGGCCCCUGUCACUUCCAGUUAUGAGGUCACCUCCUCAAUCCCUCCUGCAAGGUUGUUCAAGGCCACCAUCCUUGAAGAGAAGCAUCUUCACAAGAUCUUGCCACAGGGUGUUAAGAGUGUCGAAAUCCUUGAAGGAGAUGGUGGAGUUGGCACAAUUAAGUUGACCACAUUUGUUGAUGGUAAGAUAAUCAAUACAAAGUGAUUAUUUUCACACAUUUGAAGUCUUCAAAUUGCUCCUUUUAUUUGGGAAAAACUAAUGACUUUUUUUUUUGGUUGCGUUAAAUAUUUAGGUGGCGAGCAUAAGACUGCCAAACAGAGAGUUGAUGGAAUUGACAAAGAAAAAUUUACAUACAGCUAUACUGUACUUGAAGCUGAUGGAUUUAACGAUGUAAUCGAGAAAAUCUGUUGUGUCAUCAAAUUUGAACCCUCUGCUGAUGGAGGUUCAAUCUGCAAAACCACUAACACAUACUACCCCAAAGGUGGUGCUCAGAUCGGUGAGGAACACCUCAAGGGAGGAAAAGAGAUGGGUUUGGGAAUGGUUAAGGCUGUUGAGGCUUACCUCCAUGCAAAUCCUACUGCCUACAACUAAUUAUAAUGAAUGCUACUGAAGGACUCUUCGACAUAUUUUCUUCAAGAUUGAAGUACACACUGAGGGUGUGUUUCCUUUUUUGCUUGGUUUGCUUUAAGCUGUUUGGUUAAGUUAAAAACAAAAUUGAAUCAUAGAGAGAACAAAAAAAAUAUAGUGUUUCUUAUGGAGAAAAAAAUGGAGCUGAUGCCUAAAAUCUCACAUGGAUCCAACAAGGAUAUGCUCAAAGUUGGAAAAAUGUGCUAUAAUUAUGAUUACUCCUUUAUGAAAUAAAGCUGAAAGCAGCUCAAUUUCUUUUUGUUUUCCAUAUUAUUCAAUUUCGUUGUCGAUUUUUGAUAGUUGUAUUUUUUUUAUUGCUUUAAUAAGGGCUAUGAUUGGAUAUCCUGUUAUGCCAUUGGCUGUCGAUGCUAAACCUGAUAAAUUAGAUGGAUCAUCCAAAUAAAGACAAAAUUGGCUAUGUAAACAUUGGUGAGGGACUAUUUCAGCUUAAGAAAAAUAGUUGAGGGACUAAAUUGGCUUAUAAUAAAAUUAGGGACUACUUCAGCUUUGUAAAAAUAGUUGAGAGACUAAAUUGACUCAUAAAAAGUUUAGGGACUAUUUUGACAUUAACGAAAUAGUUUUGAGACUAUAAACAUUAGGUCACAAUGUUGAAAUAUCAAAACCCAUGUUUGGGACCAAAACUCAUAGAACUUCUUCACGUCGCUAGCGAAAUUUGAUUCUGAAGUAAUGCUAAUUUUAUUUAUUAUUUGUUUCCUUGCUGGUCUUCUGUCUUUUUGGUUACAAUAUUAAAAUGUAUCCAUAAUUUUCAAUUCCAAAAGUGUUGAAUAUUUAAACGAAUUCUAGAAAGGGCACUGAGAGUCAAAAUCUUAUUCAAACAGCCAGCCAUCUCAGAGUACAUAUUUUUUUAUUAUCAGGUUCAAAAUGUAUCUAUUGCAAUUUUUGAAUGAUCAGCCAUGACUAAGAGAAUAAAAUAAUUCACUUGCUGUUUUUAGAUGUGAAUUCAUGACUGUCAGUAGUCUAUAAAUACACUUAUUGCUCACCACUCUUUGCACCGCAAAAUCUUUUCAAGAUCUAUCAAACCCUCCUGUUCUUGAUCUUUGUCCAUUUGUGAAAAAGCAAAUUAAAGCAUCAUGGCCUCUAUCACUUGUAGUGCUGAGAUGACCUCCCCAAUCCCUCCUGCAAGGUUGUUCAAGGCCGCCAUCCUUGAUGACCACCUUCUUCCCAAGAUCAUGCCACAGGCUAUUAAGAGUGGAAAUCCUUGAAGGAGAUGGUGGAGUUUGAACCAUUAAGUUGAGCACAUUUGGUGAAGGUUAGCAGUUAUAUUAAAUGUAGAACCCAAAUUUUAAGGAUCUAAUAAUAAUCAAUGCGUGCAGGGUUACAGAAUUGGAGGGAUAAAAUAAAUACUCAAAAUAUACGUGGAAGAAAAGAAAAUAAUAAAUUCAACUCAUAAUAUUAUUGAAAUUUCAAACAAUGAAGAAAAUCAUACCACAAUAAAUUCAGCUGGUUCUAAUAAUAAUCAAAGCAUACAAGGUUGCAGAAUUAAAAGGAUAAAACAAACACUCAAAAUAUAUGUGGGAGAGAAGAAAAUAAUAAAUUCAACACACAAUAUUACUGAAAUCUCAAACAAUGAAAAAAGUCACACCAUAAUAGAAAACCUUGCUAAUUCUUCUAGAUUCUUUCUCUUGAGAAACCAACCUAAAUAAUGUCCUAUUUAUAAUCUACCAAACUUGUUAGGAAAGAAACCACUUGCAUAAGAAAUUACCAAAUAAAACAGAAAUUCCUAAAUCACACAACUACUAAAAACAUAACUCAAAUAAAACUAAAAAUAAAUAAAUAUUUCUUGGCUUAGUUUAAUUUGUCAACAUUGCCUCCCUUAAACCAAACUAUCCAUUGAGAUAGGUUCAACACCAUCUCGAGCAAUAAUUUCUAUGUUGUAGUACACUUGACAUGAAACUCUAACUUGUUACCAGUUAUUAAUUUCAUUUUUACAUGUAACAAUGGACGCACUAUGUAUUUUGUAAAAAAUUUCUCAGCAAUUUCUUCUUGAUCAAAGUACUCACUUAUACAAACACAUUCAUCACCAGAAUCACCAUAUUUACCACCAAUGUAAGUGCCUAAAAAUACAAAAUCAUAGAUUGCUUUCUGGCUAAAAUUAUCAUCACCAAAUAAUUCAAAAUAACCACUACUACAAUCAUCCAAAAUUUUCAUACUGUCAGUCAACUCUUUUGGAGUAAAGUAUUUUUCAACUCCGAUGACAUCCAUAUCUAUCAAAUCAAACAUUCUCCCAUGACUUUGAAGAGAGUCCGCAACCAACGAAUUUUUCAACAACAAUUUCAUGUUCUCUUCUCUUAUCAAAUCAAAAUUUUCUUCUUCUUUUGUCAAAUUACCAUUUUAUUUUUUUCAACAAAUUCAUUACUUCUAAUUUCUCCAAACAAGGUACGCAAAUCAAAACUAUCAAUUGAUUCAAAAUUUUCAAUAUCACCCAUAUUAUCAACAAAUCUAUCAUUUUUAAAAUCCACAAACUAAUUCCAACAACUAGACUUCGGUUUGAAAGCAUAAUUUCUCUCAAUCGUGUGCAAAACAUAGUAAAUAUUCUUCCAAAAUCUCUAAAGUAUUUUAGUACAACCAAUAAAGGUUUUAUAAAUACUUUUUGCCAUUAAUUUAUGCAUCACUUGAAAGAAUAAUUGUGCCUUUUUCUUAAAAACAUGUUUUGCCAACUUACUUGCGUCAACCCAACAAAGAAUAUCAUCCAAAUUACAUUGUUUGACAUAUUUUUCCACUGUUAAAAUCCAACCAAAUAUGUAUGUAUAUUUGUGCUUAUAGGAGUCAAUAUGAAAAAUUUUUCACCGUCAAUCAGAUCUUUAUAAUAUUCCAUUAUUUAACAAUUUGUAUACCUGAAUAAAUUUUUUUCCUCCAUCCUGUCAUGUUUUCUUGGCCUCCCUGGUUGACUAACCAAAUUAUUGUUGUAUGUAUACCCAUGCUCGUCAAACCUCAUUCGUGUACACUCGUAAGGAGUGGUUCUGAGCUUAUUGUGAAUGCUCAGUACCAAGAAGUAGAAGAGAGAAUGCAUAAGAGAGAAUUAACUUGGCUAAAGAAUUAGGAAACAAUUGAGGGAUUUUUUAAGAAAUUAAUUCUCCAACUGCCACUUUUGGAAAUUUUCUAUCAACAACUAGUUACCAAAACACUAGCACAUAGUAAGAAAUCUGGAUAAUUUCAGAAACCUCCCUUGAGGCUUUUAAUAAUCUCGAGAAGCUCCCCUCAAUUUUUAAAAUUGCACGUACCAUCCCUAUUGGUGCAAAAGUACUCUACUACCCCUAAUAGGAUACUCAAAAGACUUUUUUUAUGGGAAAAAAGAAGGCCAGAAAUCCAAGCGAAAACAAAAAAAAUCAAUUUAUUUUCUCUUUUAGCCUUUUACGCUUUUGCCUUCUACCUUUGCUCACUUUCCCAUGCCAAUCUUCCUAUAACCACUUUCCCAAUCCCCUUUCCCCAACUUUUCUUCUCUACUUCAAGACCAAUUUUUGUCCAUCAAUCCUGGCUUGUGCUUUGUUCCAUUCCCUUCCCUUCUCCUUCUUUGAUUUCCCCUAUAUCUCCCCUUCUCUUUGCAAAAGUGACUAGGCUCAUCUCUCUCCUUUUUUUCCCCAUAUUUUAAGUGUAGUGGGUUUGAUUAUUUUGCAUCUAUUUUAUUUGAUUUUGGUUGAUUAUGGGUGAUAAAACUUGGUGAUGUCACAUAUUAAAAGUUUGAUAGAUGGAUAUUGGGCUUUAGACAAUGAUUUGCUGAAAAAAAUGGCCGCAAUGAGAGGAAGAGGCAAAGGGAUUUGAGUGUGGGGUUGAUUGUUGAUGAAUUGUUGUUUUGGAAAAAAUUUGAGGUUGAGUUUUAUCAAAUUUGGUAGCAAGUGGCGAGAUUUGUUCAGGUUGCGGGAAAUAAAUUGGUUUGUGGUUUCUUGGGCACCCACAGUCGUUGGAAUUGGUUUUGAUUCAAAUUAGGGUGGUUACUUGAUUUUCCUAAUAGUGUUGCUUAAAAGCACACGAUCAUCAAAAUUCCUUAUUUUUAUCUUUUAUUUUUUUUUUGUAGAAAAGAUUUCAUGACUUUCGUGAUAGUCUAAUUUGGAAGAAGGCAAUCAAGGGAUGCAAUCAACAUUUAGCAAAAGCUCUUGUUCUUUUCUUUGUAAUUUUUAGGGUAAAAAGGGUUGUUUAGGGUAUUUGAAGGAAAUGAUAGUCUAUUGGGUCUAUUUUGAAGCAUAAAUAGUGAACGUAAGGGAGGUUGGUGUUAUUUCUGAAACCUAAGGGAAUUGUCUGAAAUUGUCCGAGACCUCGGAGGAGGUUUUCAAAAUUAUCCGUAAGAAAUCAAAUGCGAAACUUGAUUCGUACACGCACACACGACACCACACCACGUCACGCGUGUGUUGAGGACUGAUGUCCGUAGCCAACGACAAGCAGGUUUUCAAUUUUUUUUUCCUUUCCUGGAUUCAGAGAUGGUGUCAGCUUCUAUUAUUGGUGAGCAGGAGGAAAUCCACAAUAUACAGUACACAUCACCCAUAUUCUUUUUAAUUGAACAAUGUAUGAAAUUAUGGUGAUUCGAAAUUAAAUUAUAUGUUUAUUGGACAACGAAUCCAAAAUAAGAGUUGGAAAUGUAUUGUGACAACAAUUGUUAACUUUGGCCACAAAUGAUCAAAAUAAAUAUUUAAGGUUUAAUAUGACAUUAUGGGUUCAAAAUAUAGUUACUUGUUAUGAAACAACUAAAAGUGCGGAUGCCCAUUUGUAUUCUCAAAAGGAUCAAUUCAUAAUUCAUUGCUCCCAAGAUGAUUAAUUCAUAAUUCAUUGCUACAUUAUGUAAAGAAAUUACAUUGGAUGAAUGGUUUCAAUCCAUAAGAGCUAUUCAUGUAUUGGAUGAACCGUUUCAUAUGGCUAUUCAUGUUCUUGUAGUAAUGAGUGUUUAAUAGAAUUGAUGUACCUUUAAUUUUAUAGUACCUAUACAUAGAGGUACCUGGCACCUCUUCGGUGUACUUUUUGAUUAGUUGGAAUAAUAAGAAAAUCAUUCUCCAUUUCUGUACUCUUUCACUAAUAUUUCAAUUCCUAUUAUAGUAGUUCAUUUUUUUUUAGUUUUACAACACGUUAUCAGUACGAGUCUCUCCUUUUAAACAAAAAGGUGAAAACGGAGCCUCUACCUUAAAAAAAAAGUGAAACACGAGAUUUUGCCGAAAUUCUGCCGUAUUUUUCCAGUAACUUCUGUCUACUUAUUGAGAAAUGGAUGCCAAAUAUUUGGGAUUAAAUGAUGGUGAUGAUGACAUUUGUCUCAUUGAUAGUGCUACUACGCGCACUAUAUUGAAAAAUAAAAAAAUUUUCUUGUAUGAAAAUGGGAGAGACAAAUGUUAAUAUCAUAAGUGGUAGUGCAAAAUUGAUUGAAAGAUUCGGAAGAGCCACUCUAUUUCUUCCUAAAGGGACUAAAAUUGUCGUAAAUAAUGCACUAUUGUCUCCCAAGUCUCGGAGAAAUUUAUUGAGUUUUAAAGAUAUCCGCAAAAACGGAUAUCAUAUUGGGACAAUGAUUGAGACAAAUGGAAAAUUUUUAUUAAUCACAAGUAUCAUUUCUAGACAGAAAUACGUAGUAGAAAAAUUACCUUCUUUUUCUUUUGGCUUAUAUUAUGCACAAAUUAGUGCAAUUGAAAUUUAUCACCUAGUAAACCAAAAGUCUAUUCAUCCCAAUAAUUUUAUCAUUUGGCAUGAUCAUUUCAGAAAUCUUGAAUCUAUAAUGAUGAGACAAAUAAUCGAGAAUUCACAUGGUCACUCAUUGAAAAAUCAAAAGAUAUUAAAAGCAAAUGAAUUCUCCUGUGUUGCUUGUUCCCACGGAAAAUUUAUUAGACCAUCACCAGCUAAAGUUGGGACUGAAUCCCCUACAUUUCUAGAACGAAUUCAUGGUGAUAUAUGUGGAUUAUUUCGAUAAUUUAUGGUGCUAAUUGAUGCAUCAUCUAGAUGGUCACAUGUAUGUUUAUUAUCUACUCCCAACCUGGCGUUUGCGAGUUUGCUUGCUCAAAUAAUUAAAUUGCGAGCACAAUUUUCAGACUAUCCAAUAAAGAAAAUUCAUCUAGAUAAUGCUGGUGAAUAUUCAUCACAUACUUUUGACGAUUAUUGCAUGUCCAUUGGAAUAACUGUUGAACAUCUUGUAACUUAUGUUCACACACAAAAUGGUCUAGCCGAAUCAUUUAUUAAACGGCUACAAUUAAUUGCUAAACCAUUGUUGAUGAGGUUUAAACUACUUUCAUCUGCUUGCGAACAUGCUAUAUUACAUGCAGCAACACUUGUGAGAAUUAGACCGACAAGUUAUCAUACUUAUUUUUCCCUACAAUUAACUUUUGGUUAUGAAUCCAAUAUUUUUCAUUUAAGAAUAUUUGGUUAUUCAGUUUGUGUUCUAAUUGCACCGCCCCGACGUUGUAAAUUGGGCUCGCAAAGAAGAUUGAAAAUAUAUGUCGGGUAUGAAUCACCUCUAAUUAUUAAGUAUAUGGAACCAUUGACAGAUGAUUUAUUUAUUGCGAGAUUUGUAGAUUGUCAUUUUGAUGAAUCAGAUUUUUCAACAUUAGGGGGGAGAUAAAAAUCAACCGAAAAAGGAAAUCACUUUAAAAAUAUCAUUGAAUUUUCUCGAUUCUCGUACAAAAGAAUGUGAACUAGAAAUUCAAAAGAUUAUACAUUUGCAAAAAAUUACAAAUCAAUUACCGGAUGCAUUUAAUGACUCCAGAAGAGUUACUAAAUCACAUAUUCCUAUUGAAAAUGCUCUGAUUAAAAUUAAUAUCCUUGAAGGACAAAUUACAAGUGCUAAUGAGUCUAAAGUGCGCCUGAAGCGUGGGAGAUUUCUUGGUUCCAAAGAUAAAAAUUUUCGAAAGAAAAGAGGAGUACAUGAAUCAACAAUUAAUGACAAAAUUUAACCUCCUGAAGAGAUCGCUCCUAAAGAGCCAAUUCUUGAAGAGAAUAAAAUCAUAGAAAAUUCAAUAAAUUUUGUCACUUCAGGGAAAAGUUGGAACCGAAAAGAAAUAAUUAUUGAUAGUAUUUUUGUAUAUAAUGUAGCACUUGAUAUUAUGGUAGAGAAUGGGGAUUACGAGCCUAAAUCGAUUGAUGAAUGUCGACGUAGAAAUGAUUGGCCAAAAUGAAAAGAUGCGAUCCAAUUUGAAUUGGACUCACUGGUUAAAAGAAAAGUUUUUGGACCUGUAGUCCAAACACCUGAAGGUGUGAAGCCAGUAGGAUAUAAAUGGGUAUUUGUGAAAAAAAAAUGAGAAAAAUGAAAUCGUGAGGUAUAAAUUAAUACUUGUAGCCAAAGGAAUUUCACAAAGGCCUGGAUUUGAUUAUGAUUACACGUAUUCACUUGUAGUGGAUGCUAUCACAUUUAGAUAUCUUGUGAGUUUUGCAGUACAUGAAAAAUCAGAUAUGCAUCUAAUGGACGUCGUUACUGCAUAUUUAUAUGAAAAUCUUGAAAAUGAUAUUUAUAUGAGAAUUCCCGAAGGAUUCAAUAUGCCUGAAACAUGCAAAUCAAAUCUUAAAAAUAUUUAUUUAAUUAAAUUACAAAAGUCUUUGUAUGGAUUCAAACAAUCUGAACGUAUGUGGUACCGCCUUAAUGAAUGUUUAACUAAAGAAGGCUAUACCAAUGAUCCAAUAUGUCCAUGUGUCUUUAUCAAGAAAAAUGGAUCAAAUUUUGUGAUAAUUGUUGUAUAUGUUGAUGAUCUAAAUAUGAUUGGAACACCUGAAAAGAUUCAAAAUAGUGUUGAAUAUUUGAAAAAAAAUUUGAGAUCAAAGAUUUUGGAAAAAUAAAAUUUUUCCUUGGUUUACAAAUUGAGCAUUUGAAAAGUGGAAUUUUGUCCACCAAACUGCUUAUACCCGGAAGGUAUUAAAGCGAUUUUAUAUGGAUAAGUCACAUACAUUAAGUAUUCCAAUGGUCAGAUCAUUAGAUCCUAAUAAGGACCCUUUUAGACCGCGAGAGGAAGAUGAAGAGAUACUUGGUCCUAAAGUACCAUAUCUCAGUGCAAUUGGUGCACUACUGUAUCUUGCUAAUUGUACAAGACUUGAUAUAUCAUUUACAAUAAAUUUAUUAGCAAGAUUUAUUUCCUCGCCCACAAGACGACAUUGGAAUGGUAUUAAACAUAUUUUUCGUUAUCUUUAAGGAACAAAUUGAUCUUGGCUUAUUUUAUUCAAAUAAAUCUAAACUUGAAUUGCUUGGUUAUGUUGAUGUUGGAUAUUUAUCUGAUUUGCAUAAAGCAAGAUCUCAGACUGGUUAUCUAUUUACAUAUGGAGGUACAACCAUUUCUUGGCGAUCUAGAAAGCAAUUAUUAGCCGCCACUUCAUCGAAUCAUGCUAAAAUAAUAGCAAUUCAUGAGGCUAGUCGAGAAUGUGUUUCGUUAAGAUCAAUGACCUACUAUAUCCGGAAGAGUUGUGGGUUAUCCUCUGAAAAAGAAAAUCCUCCGACUAUAUUUUAUGAAGAUAAUGCAGCUUGUAUAGCUCAAUUGAAAGGAGAAUAUAUUAAAGGAGAUAGAACGAAAUAUAUUUCACCAAAAUUCUUUUUUACUCAUGAUUUACAAAAGAAUGGUGAAAUUGUUGUGCAACAAAUCCGAUCAGAUAAUAAUUUGAUAGAUUUAUUUACUAAUGUAUUGCCGACUGCAAUAUUUGAGAAAUUGGUGAAGAAUAUUGGAAUGCGACGACUAUAAAAUCUCAAAUGAUAUUUGCAUCAGGGGGAGAAAUCAAUACACAAGAAUAGUGUACUCUUUUUUUUUCACUAGAGUUUUUGUCCCGUUGGAUUUUUUCCUAGUAAGGUUUUAAUAAGACAUAUUCUUUGUGUAAUUAAUAUCCAAUGGGGAGUGUUAUGAAAUAACUAAAAGUGUGGAUGUCCAUUUGUAUUCUCAAGAAGAUCAAUUCAUAAUUCAUUGCUCCCAAGAGAAUUAAUUCAUAAUUUAUUGCUACAUUAUGUAAAGGAAUUACAUUGGAUGAUCGGUUUCAAUCCAUAAGAGCUAUUCAUGUAUUGGAUGAACCAUUUCAUAUGGCUAUUCAUGUUCUUGUAGUAACGAGUGUUUAAUAGAAUUGAUGUACCUUUAAUUUUGUAGUACCUAUAUAUAGAUGUACCUUAGCUGAUAGGUUGCAAUUUUAUCAUUUAUUUUAUAAUUAAUUUCUCCUAUUACCUGACUUGAUGUGGAUUAAUUGCGGGAUUCUACUCACUUUUAGUAUUUUGCAUUUAUUUCAGGGAGUAGAGCGAAAAUAUAAUAACAGGUGCUAAUUUGACAAAAAAAGAGUCCAAGGCACAGAGCUUAUCCCGGGGGCAUUAUUGGCAAAGGAAGACUUUUGCCCAUUUUGGUAAUUUCAAAAGAAGAGAGCAGGGCAGAGGCCUCUAUUUUACUGGAGGCUGGAGCGCCGCACAAAGGGAGCUUCUUCUUCCUUCGGAGGCUCCGUCCUCUCCGCAAGGGGGCUGCCGCACACAGCAGCCAUUAGAAUAGGAGCAAUUGAUAUAUGACAGAGAAUGAGCACUAGCACCAGGGAGUUGCCUUUGUUGACUUUUCUUCCCUUUUAGUUCUUAGUAGUUGUUUUACCUUCCUCGUACGUAGGACCUUUAGCAUAGUUUCCUUUUGACUUUCCCUUGAGUCUUGGGUGGAUGUCUCCUGCGCAUGUCAGGAGCAAUUGAAGGUCUCGGUCACUUUCUGUAUUCUUCCAUCAACUGAGCGAACUGAGCUCCCUUGGUCAAGGGCAAUGGCUGCGGCUUCCUCUCCAACUUUGUGUGGGAUUCGUUCACCAGGAAUGAACUAAUUUUUCUUUUCUAGUCAAGGAACAACGGAGGUCUUGGUUGGCCUAAAUUUGUGAGAUCGAAUUAGUUUUUAUUUAUUUCCAUUAUUCACUGGUAUUUGUCUAUCUUCUGCUUUAUGUUCAUAUGGUUGUUUUAUUAUUCGAUUAUCCAGGGCCCGGAUACUAGAUUAAUUCAAUAACCUGAAGCCAAUUAGGAUAGUUAAAUCCGUAAUUGUUUAAUUAUUCUAAACUGCUGGCAACUGGCAUGAUUGGGUUUGUGUCAGGGGGAUAAACAUGCUAACUUAAAGAGACCCUCGUAGCGUGUUGAUUGGUUAGAAUUAGGCUCUUCUAAUUAUUCAUGCAAUUAGGGAAUUGAACUUCUAUGGUCGUACCUAGGGUUAUUUCCUGAUUAGAGAAAUAGUCAACGGUCGUACCUUGGCUAUCGACAAAUUGAGGAAGAGUUGGUUGUUUAUCGCGUGUAUGGCAACUAUAACUAAUUUAUCAGAUAGUAACUGGAAUAAUCCUUGCAUCUGUGAUCGAAUUAAGUGAACCAUCUCCGAAGUUGUCUCUUGGCUAGAGUUCGUCAAUUAUUAUUUUUAUUGUGAUAAUUAGUUAUUUGAGUUGUAGUUAUUUUAUUUUAUUUAUUCCAAGUAAUUUAGUUACUCUCAUUUUCAAAAACCCCCCAUAUCUGGAACUUGAGAAGAAAUUAAAUUAUCCCCAGUCCCUGUGGAUUCGACCCUGCUCACCGCUAUAUACAGAAUUUGUAUUUUAUUUGAGCAGGUAUUUAUUAUUGCACAGGUUCGGCACCUGUCAAUUUUUUGCUACAUUAUGUAAAGGAAUUACAUUGGAUGAUCGGUUUCAAUCCAUAAGAGCUAUUCAUGUAUUGGAUGAACCAUUUCAUAUGGCUAUUCAUGUUCUUGUAGUAACGAGUGUUUAAUAGAAUUGAUGUACCUUUAAUUUUGUAGUACCUAUAUAUAGAUGUACCUUAGCACCUCUUGGGUGUACUUUUUGAUUAGUUGGAAUAAUAAAAAAAUCAUUCUCCAUUUCUGUACUUCUUUCUCUAAUAUUUCAAUUCCUAUCACAGUAGUUAUUUUUUUUUAGCUUUACAACAUUACUUAAAUAAGAGAGUUAUUGGACUAUAUGUUUAUUGACCUCUACUAACUUAUUUAAGGUCAUUUCAUAUCACUAUCCAAAGAAGAAUUAAGGUCAUUUCAUAUCACUAUCCAAAGAACAAUUCUUGGGCGCUAACAUUUUUCUUACAUGACUAUUAAUGAAAGUUGACCCAAAUCUCUCUGUCUCUCUCUUUCUUUCAAUUCUUAGGACUGAUGCCAAUUCUUACCAUUUAGAAAGAAAAAUUAGAUUGUUUAUAUAUAUGAUGAGUUCCCUCUAAGUCAUGGUUAAGAAAAAUUCUUAGUUAAACGCAGUUUUAUGAAAUGUGAAUUUCCUUUUCUUUGUCUUUAUUCAUUAGUAUUAUUGGGGUUAUUGUAUUAUGAUUGCAAUGCACAGAUACAUGGAUUUUUGACAUUUUUUCUUUUUAAUUGACUCUGACUAUGCCUCAAACUCGAGACAUCAAACCUGGACACGACUUUUGUCCAAAAUGCUUGUAAAAAUUCAGAAGAAUAAUUUUGGACCUUAUUAUUUGAUAAUGGUACAAUUAUGAGAGUCAUUCCAGGUUAAUUAUCAAACUUGGAACUUGAAAAUAAUGUCGACAUCAUGUCAUUAUUAUUUUUUAGUUUCAUAGAAAAAUGAAGUAUUCUCCAACUCGACAUUAUCAUAGUAUUUUCAAUUGGCAGCUCAUGUGAGAAAGACAAGAAAUUCACAAUCAACUGGCCAAGAGAGUGCCAACAAAGAAAGCACUAAAUGGCUUAAACAAUGCAUGCAAAUUUGCUUGGCACUUAAACAAUAGACACCUAAAUCAACCAUGUCACUGUCUUGCCAAAAAAGGGCAUUAAAGUAAAAACAACUCAUGCCUACCACAGGUAACAAACUUCAGCACCUUCACUUCACUACCAUGUCAGCAACAACAUUUGCAAAUUUCCAAGGAAGUCCACGCACUAAAGGUGCCCAUGCCCUUAGGGGACCUCAGGUUAGUGUUCUUAACCUCAACUCCUGUCUUUCUGUUCUUAGGAAAUAUUGAAAUUAAACGUUAUAACUAAUCCUGAUUUCCUUGUGCUAUAUUUGUACACAAUUUGGCAACAAGGGUAAAAAAAAAUAAAAAUAAAAAGGUUUAUCUGCAAACUGUAGUUCGGCCUGGCUCUUUUUUUUUUUUUUUUUUUUGGGGAUAAGAUCAUCUCAGCACCCGCAGACCCCGUCAUGUAUCAAUAUUUCUGUACUUAGCAUUGGCUUCUUCUCGCCUGAAGAACACACGAACCACCGAAAUAGAUGGUGCAUGAAAGUGCACUUAACCCUUUUAAUUUUUCAAAACAAUCUUUUAGAAAAAAUAAUAAAAACUUUUUGAAUUUAAUUUUAGAGAAGAAGAAUUUUAAAAUUUUUUGAAUUUAAUCUUAGAGAAGAAGAAGUUUAAAAUGUACUUUAAUUUUCACAACUGAUGAUGAAAAUAGCAAAAUGUACACGGAUAGUGACAAAAGUGGGAUCACGGGCAGGAAAUCCUGAAGGUUGCGUGCAUUUUACACACGGCAUAAUUCUGUUUGUAUAUAGUGUAAUUUACUUUUUACAACGUGUAAUUUUAAAACAAAAUUUUGUAAGUCUCACACAUUUUAUUAAAAAUAAGGUACAAGAUGAAAUUUGGACCAUAUAAUUUUUUUUAAUCAAAUCUUGACCGUGAACUGCUCAGAAACGGUUUACCUGAUGACCGUCCCUGGUCCAAACCCGACAAAGGUGCCAUCUUAUCCUUUUACUGACUGGCCCGUUUUCCAAUGAGAGGGCCCAGAAGGGGUGCCUCUGCUUCAUAGUUUAUCCAUAUUGAUAUUUCUUUUCUGUCCCCCUAACUAUUAAAUGUGAAAGGUUGCCCACCAAAUUUGACGAAACCGUUUAUCCUAAUUGAUUAUUAUCAAUAGGGCAUAACUUUAAUAUUCUUCUUCCAACCCUUUCUGGUGAUUCCUGCAACUCCAGCCGUCCGUCAAUGACCAUAAAGCACCAUUAACCGACAACUAACUAACCACUAUUAAUCUAUUCUCAAAUUUUAAUGAAAUUGCACAAUCUAUUCUCAAAUCAAAUUUGAACAACAUUUUAUAGUCGAUAACUUUGAAACUUGAUAAAAAAGUCUGUUUAAACUCGGUUUAGUAAAUAAACAAAUCAAGUUUGAACAAAAUUUUAAACUCAUUAAAAUAAUUAAACACGUUUGAAUAUUAGGGUAUUCGAUUUAAUUAGACACGUUUGUAUCCCUAAUUAAAGCAUGCACUUUUAUAAGUUUAGGAAUCAACAUUAUACAUUUAAUAGCUAGCUAGAGGGUCAAAAAGUUAAUUGCCUUAAAUUCUUUUAGCAGCCAUAAGGUACAGUUGGAGGGAUUCCCUUGAAAUUGGUUAGAUUCUUCUAUGUGACUAAAGAAUUUCGGGUGUGACGCAUUACUAGUCCUACCCUAAAAAAAAAUGGUAUUACUAGUCCUUUUUUUCUUUUUUGGCGUGCCCCCGUCGUGGGAUGUGGGGAGGGGAGUCUGUGCGAGAAUUCUAGGUCGGGGUACAAGGAGCCAAAGUUCACCUUAUUCAAAGUAAACAACCGUCCAUCUCAGUUGUCGACUUUCCUGUCGAUUGCGUAUAUAUAUAUAUUACUAUCUUUUACCAUGACUUUAGAGGAUAGCUAAUUUUGCUUGCUAUUAAAUAAUAAUUUCGGUAGUCUAUAAAUACUCUUGUUCCUCACCGCUCCUAGCACCACAUAAUUCCUUCAAGAACAGCCAAAACCUUCUUGAAAUCCCUCUUUUUCCUUCUAGUUCAUUUCCAAGAAACAAAUGGCCCCUGUCACUUCCAGUUAUGAGGUCACCUCCUCAAUCCCUCCUGCAAGGUUGUUCAAGGCCACCAUCCUCGAAGAGAAGCAUCUUCACAAGAUCUUGCCACAGGGCGUUAAGAGUGUCGAAAUCCUUGAAGGAGAUGGUGGAGUUGGCACAAUUAAGUUGACCACAUUUGUUGACGGUAAGAUAAUCAAUACAAAGUGAUUAUUUUCACACAUUUGAAGUCUUCAAAUUUUUCUCUUUUUUUCCCUUUUAUUUGGGAAAAACUAAUGACUUUUUUUUUUUGGUUGGGUUAAAUAUUUAGGUGGCGAGCAUAAGACUGCCAAACAGAGAGUUGAUGGAAUUGACAAAGAAAAAUUUACAUACAGCUAUACUGUACUUGAAGCUGAUGGAUUUAACGAUGUAAUCGAGAAAAUCUGUUGUGUCAUCAAAUUUGAACCCUCUGCUGAUGGAGGUUCAAUCUGCAAAACCACUAACACAUACUACCCCAAAGGUGGUGCUCAGAUCAGUGAGGAACACCUCAAGGGAGGAAAAGAGAUGGGUUUGGGAAUGGUUAAGGCUGUUGAGGCAUACCUCCAUGCAAAUCCUACUGCCUACAACUAAUUAUAAUGAAUGCUACUGCAAGGACUCUUCGACAUAUUUUCUUCAAGAUUGAAGUAUAAACUGAGGGUGUCUGUUUCCUUUUUUGCUUGGUUUGCUUAAGCUGUUUGGUUAAGUUAUUCGCAGCAAGAGAAUAAAAUAAUUCAUUUGCUGUUUUUAGAUAUGAAUUCAUGACUGUCAGUAGUCUAUAAAUACACUUAUUGCUCACCACUCUUUGCACCGCAAAAUCUUUUCAAGAUCCAUCAAACCCUCCUGUUCUUGAUCUUUCUCCAUUUGUGAAAAAACAAAUUAAAGCAUCAUGGCCCCUAUCACUUGUAGUGCUGAGAUGACCUCCCCAAUGCCUCCUGCAAGGUUGUUCAAGGCCGCCAUCCUUGAUGACCACCUUCUUCCCAAGAUCAUGCCACAGGCUAUUAAAAGUGGAAAUUCUUGAAGGAGAUGGUGGAGUUUGAACCAUUAAGUUGAGCACAUUUGGUGACGGUUAGAUGUUAUAUUAAAUGUAGAACCCAAAUUUUAAGGAUCUAAUAAUAAUCAAUUAAUAAUAAUCAAUGCGUGCAGGGUUACAGAAUUGGAGGGAUAAAACAAAUACUCAAAUAAAUGUGGAAGAAAAGAAAAUAAUAAAUUCAACUCACAAAAUUAUUGAAAUUUCAAACAAUGAAAAAAAUCAUACCUUAAUAAAUUCAGUUGGUUUUAAUAAUAAUCAAAGCAUACAAGGUUAAAGAAUUAAAAGGAUAAAACAAACACUCAAAAUAUAUGUGGGAGAGAAGAAAAUAAUAAAUUCAACACACAAUAUUAUUGAAAUCUCAAACAAUGAAAAAAGUCACACCAUAAUAGAAAAUCUUGCAAAUUCUUCUAGAUUCUUUCUCUUGAGAAACCAACCUAAAUAAUGUUCUAUUUAUAAUCUACCAAACUUGUUAGGAAAGAAACCACUUGCAUAAGAAAUUACCAAAUAAAACAGAAAUUCCUAAAUCACACAACUACUAAAAACAUAACUCAAAUAAAACUAAAAAAUAAAUAAAUUUUUCUUGGCUUAGUUUAAUUUGUUAACAUUGCCUCCCUUAAACCAAACUAUCCAUUGAGAUAUGUUCAACACCAUCUCGAGUAACAAUUUCUAUGCAAAUCUAUGUUGUAGUAUACUUGACAUGAAACUCUAACUUGUUACCAGUUAUUAAUUUCAUCUUUACACGUAACAGUGGACGUACUAUGUAUUUUGUAAAAAAUUUCUCAACAAUUUCUUCUUGAUCAAAGUACUCAUUUAUACAAACCCAUUCAUCACCAGAAUCAUCAUAUUUACCACCAAUGUAAGUUCCUAAAAAUACAAAAUCAUUGCUUGCUUUCUCGCUAAAAUUAUCAUAACCAAAUAAUUUAAAAUAGCCACUACUACAAUCAUCCAAAAUUUUCAUACUGUCAGUCAACUCUUUUGGAGUAAAAUAUUUUUCAACUAUAAUGACAUCCAUAUCUAUCAAAUCAAGCAUUCUCCCAUCACUUUGAAGAAAGUCCGAACCAACGAAUUUUUCAACAACAAUUUCAUGAUCUCUUCUCUUAUCAAGUCAAAAUUUUCUUCUUCUUUUGUCAAAUUACCAUAUUAUUGUUUCAACAAAUUCAUUACUUCUAAUUUCUCCAAACAAGGUACGCAAAUCAAAACUAUCAAUUGAUUCAAAAUUUUCGAUAUCACCCAUAUUAUCAACAAAUCUAUCAUUUUUAAAAUCCACAAACCAAUACCAACAACUAGACUUCGGUUUGAAAGCAUAAUUUCUCUCAAUCGUGUGCAAAACAAAGUAAAUAUCCUUCCAAAAUCUCUAAAGUAUUUUAGUAUGACCAAUAAAGGUUUUAUAAAUACUUUCUGCCAUUAUUUUACACAUCACUUGAAAGAAUAAUUGUGCUUUUUUUCUUAAAAACAUGUUUUGCCAACUUACUUGCAUCAACCCAACAAAGAAUAUCAUCCAAAUUACAUUGUUUGAGAUAUUUUUCCACUGUUAAAAUUCAGCCAAAAUAUGUAUGUCUAUUUGUGUUUAUAGGAGUCAAUAUGGAAAAUUUUUCACCAUCAAUCAGAUCUUUAUAAUAUUCCAUUAUUUAACAAUUUGUAUACCUGAAUAAAUUUUUUUCCUCCAUCCUGUCAUGUUUUCUUGGCCUCCUUGGUUGACUGACCAAAUUAUUGUUGUAUGUAUACCCAUGCUUGUCAAACCUCAUUCGUGUACACUCGUAAGGAGUGGUUUUGAGCUUACUGUGAAUGCUUAAUACCAAGAAGUAGAAGAGAGAAUGCAUAAGAGAGAAUUAACUUGGCUAAAGAAUUGGGAAGCAAUUUAGGGAUUUUUUAAGAAAUUAAUUCUCCAACCGCCACUUUUGGAAAUUUCUAUCAACAACUAGUUACCAAAACACUAGGACAGCGAUCCGUCUCUAUUUUACUCUUCAAGUCUUCGCCGGGGAAGCAACCCGGCCUUGCGAGACUAUAAUGAAUAGGCACUUGCCUUCUGUUUUUACUUUUUUUUUGUUCAAAGACUAUAAUGCCCUUAUUAUUUGACUGCGCAUCUCGCAAGAUAAUGCUUUCCAUCAAAAUUAACUGUUGGGUUUGACAGAAGCGCCACGAAUAUUCUAUUUUAUUAGAUCCAGAGUCAAAAUUUUACCGUUAAUUGUUAGAGGGUUAAAACUUUAUCUGGAAAGGAGUUGGAGGGCCAUUGGAACUCUUUUUCCAAAAAAAAAAAAAAGUCACUUUUGUCAUUUGUCCAAGAACAGUUCUGGGGCCAUCUCGACAGUAUAUAUUUUUCUUACAUGCCAAGACAAUUAAUGAAAAUUGACCAAUAACACACGCACACACACACACACACACACACACUCUCUCUCUCUCUCUCUCUCUCUCUCGGUUGCUGCCAAGUCUUUCCAUUGAAAAAGGAAAAUUCAUAUUGUUUACAUAGAUAAAUUACCUCCAGUCCGUGGAAUGUCUUGAUGUUAGGUGAGUUCUAAUAUUUUGGUAUCAUCUAGAGGUGGCAAAUCAACCCACUUAACUAAAUUUACCCAUAUCCGCCCAUGAAUAGAUGGGUAUGGAUAUCUUAAAUUUUUGUAUAUGAGUAUAAAUGGGUUACCCAAUAAUACCCAUUUAAAUGGGUAACCCAUCAAACCCAAUUAACCCAUUUAGAAUUCUCUUCCCCUCAAGUCUCUUCUUUUCCCCCACCUUUUUUUUUUUCAAAUUUUUCAUUUUGUCAUGAUGUUAACUACUUUUGUUUUAUUAUUAUUAUUUGUUGGUUUUAUCUUAUUAUUUUAUUUUCUCUUAGUUUGUUAACUUACUCAUUUUUUACCAUUACCAAUUUAUGAUAAAUUUUAGCCUAUUUUCUUAUCUUUAUAAAAUGAAAUUUUAAAUUUAUAUAUGAAAAAAAUGUUAGGGGUUCAAAAAUUUUGGAUUAAGUUUUUAUAUUAAUUUUUAUAGUACUUAGUUCAAAAUUUUAUAUUCUUAUUAUUCAAUUAUUAAAUAAUAGGUAAUUUUGUGACAUAGAGUAUAAAUGAAAAAAAAUUGGUAAUUAAGUUUAUUGAACAUUAUAAGUAAAUAUUUAAAACUAAUGAUGGGUAUAAAGAGUGAUAUAAAUUGAUAACUUAGUUUGCAAAAAUGAAUUUAAAUGAGUUUGCAAAAAGUUAAAAUAAAUGGGUUAUAAAUGGGUAAUUGGGUUACCCAAUUCAUUUUUUGACUUGCCUAUUUAUACCCAUAUAAUUAAAUGGGUAUAAAUGAGUUGACUCACUUAUACCCAUUACCCAUUUUACCCAACUCAAACCCGCCCAAGUCACCCAUUUUGACACCUUUAGUAUCAUCUAAUGUUCAUUUGUGAAAGAUUGAGAAAUGAUAAAGAGCAAAACACCAAUUUAUUCCAUAAAUUAUUUUGCUAAAAUCAAAAUAGUCCAUAAAUUUUCUUUUGGCCAAAUUUUUGUCAUGAACUUUCAGAAACGGUUGCAGGGGAUUUCAUCCGGAUUGCUUGUGCAGUUGAGUAACUAUACAGAAAUUCUUUUUGGGAUGCUGAGUAUCUUAGGAUGGGUACAAUGAUCGCUUAGAUCAGUAGAGAUGAUUGAUGAUGUAGUAGGGGAAGAUUCCCUUUAUAAAGCUGAUUUUCUCAUGAUUAAUAAGAAUAUAAAUGUUACCAAAUUUUCUUUUCAAAUGUGUAACGAAAAUAUUGGCCAUGAUCAGCAAGACCUCCUUAAUUAUAAAAGUUUCUUGAAUGUCAUCAUCCAAUUUGUUUAAGCGAGGAUUUUUAAAUGCUAUCUUUAAGCAAAUUGAUUUUUGUAUUAUAGAUACUUACUACUAUUACUUCAUACCUAGCUACAAACCUCAUGUAUGUUUUAGUUUUAAUCCAGAACAAAUCAGGGCCACGGGCCACCUUGCACAUAGCGAGAGUGGAAAAAUAAAACUACACAAUUGCUUUUUUGAAGCCAGUGACUCAACUGAUUUUGCGCUCGGCAAUUCAUCCGAUUUUCAUUAAAAGGGCCCUAAGAGGCCAUUGGCGUUUUGGGCCUGUGAAAAUUUGGAUGAUUUGGUGUGUCCAAUGCAUGUGUAAGCACAAAUUUUGUUGUCUAAAAUAAAAGACAAGAAAACUUACAUAAAUAUCAAAUUUAUUAAAUUAAAUAACAAGAGGGUUACAAUAUUUGAAAAUUUUUGAAUCAAAGAAAUUAAUCUCCUAAUUUUUAUCUUCAAAAGGCUUUAAUCGGAAGGCCAAAAAGGCUUGUUCUCCGAUCAAGAGGGUGUUUUCUAUGAUUUCUAUGUAAAAAACGGCUGCUUUGAUGAUGACGUUAAUAUUUGAAUCUUUAAAUCUUCAACGCCGAUGGAAGGAGGAUUUAUUUAACUUAAUUUGGAUUUGGAUUUGAAUUUGAGGGAAAAAGCUCUCAAGAGAAUUUGACAAAGUUACUUUGAAAUUUAGGAAUUUUAAUGUAUUUUUGCCUUGAGGGAAGACCUUUAUUUAGAGUCAACAUAUGCAAGCUAUGUCUUCAAGAGAAUCCUUCAAAACCAUCUUGCGUUUGGGUAACUUGUACCUUAAGAAACCCAUUUAACUUGGAGUUAAAUAGUCGGCCGACCCAAAUAGUCAAUUGUGAAUUAACAAAUCAAUUAAAUCACUUUAAUUUAAAUGGGCAUCACAUUUUUUAUUUGAUUUAAUAGCUCAUAUAACAUUGGCUCAAUUUGUCAAUCCAAAACAUAAUGAACUUCUAUAAUUUAAUUUAAUUUAAUAAAAAUCAAUUUAAUUUACUUAAUCUUGCCUAAAAAUAAAUUAAAUAAAUUUUCGUUGUCUAUGUCCCCACUUCAAAACUUGGCAAGGCAUUGCAUGUUUAUUUGAAUUAACUUAAAACUUCUUAAUACGAUUCAUCUAAGCACCUUUAUAUAUAUAUAUAUAUAUAUAUAUAUAUAUAUAUAUAUAUUUAUUUAUUUAUUUAUAUAUAGAGGUACAGAAGACAUGUCUUUGUCUUGAAACUGUGACAAACAGGACACUUAAGACAAGGGCGUGUGAAGACUAUCGCACUAUUUGAGCGAAAAAAACCUGUUUUGCACGUAUAUUUUGAAGGUAAUCAUCUUUAUUGUCUUUUGACAACUUCAUGUUGGUCGAGUAUCAGAUAUUCACCAAAUUUUGUUGAAAUUUGUCAAAACUUGAUUUGUUUCCAAUUUGGAGAAAAAAAAAGAUUUUUUUCUUCGUUUCUGCAAUUUUCCAGGUCACUCUUUCCUAUCAACAUGUUACGAUUCAGAAAUUGAGACAAAUCUUGUACAUAGGAAUCUUUUUUAACAGCUGAUGGUUGGAAUUUAGCAGACACCUUGAAGUCAAAGAAGGCAAAUAGCAUUCCAAUAGCAUUAUUUGGUUGCAUGCCAUAUCCAAGAUUUUCACUAGUAAGCCACCAUUUUCUUGCUUUUGAUUGUUAUUCAUUCUCUGUUGCGCAAUUUUAUUUUCGCACAAUCUAUUUUUUUCGUUGAAUUUUCUCUUUUGCAAAACAGCGACCACCAAGGAAAGACAGAAAGAUUUUUUUGUUUUUGUUUUUGUUUUUGUUUUUGUUUUUUUUUUUAUGGUUGCACCUUGUGUUGGCACCCCUUAUUUGAAGCAAGUUGAUGUUCCAGUUGUGUUGGGGAUUUUAGGGCCAUAGCUCUUAGAACUCAAAAUACUAAUGUAAUUUCCGCACUCCAUGACAUUUACUUCUUGUCAAUGCCAAACUCUCCUCUUUUUUUUUGUGAUAUGAAAGGAAGAUCUCUCGUUGCAACAUAUAUGGUGGACACUCAAUUUGAAAGAAGGUGCAACCACCAACUUGCACGAGAGCCAUAUCAUGGUUUGAGGAGUAUAAUGAAAAUGAUGCAACUGCAAACUCUUAUGAGAGCCAUAUCAUGGUUGAGAAGUACAAUGAAGAUAGUGCAAUCAAAAAUUUGAAAAAGGUGCAAUCGCAAACUCCCAUGAGAGCCUAUCAUGGAUUGAGGAGUACAACGAAGAAUGUGCCACAAAAAGUUGAAAAAUGUGCAAUCGCAAACUCGCACGAGAGCCUAUCAUGGUUUGAGGAGUACAAUGAAGAAGGUGCAACUACCCACUUCAAUGAGAGCUUACCAAAACUCGAGAAGCCCUUUCAUUUAACUUCACAUUGACUAUUUAUUACUUCUCUCACUGUCUUCGAUCACACCAUUGUAAUCAAAUUUUUUUCUCUUGCUUUUGGUCCUAACGAAAUGGUGAUGGUCAAGGAAGUUACAUCUUCAAACAAAAGGCACCUCCUUAUCACUAAUAGCCAUGAUGACUCUGCUGACAAAGGAACGAAAUUAUUGGUGCAUCCCUCUAUACAAGAAAUUUACUCUGGUGAUUGGUUUUCUCACAAGUAUUCCGAAUUAAAGGAUUGGUCACUAAAAUUUUCUCAAGAUGAUGGUACGAAAGUUCACUCCUUGAAAUUCCUUAUCAUAAUAAGGAGCCAAGGACAAUUGGCAGGCGAAUCCUAGAUGAGACUAAGGGUGCAAACGAGGCAAGUCGAAUCGAGUUUUGAAGUUAUUGAGUCGAGUUACACUUAUUUAUAUGCGAGCUCGAGUUCGAGGUCGAAAAAUAGAGCUCGAACUCGGCUCGAUGUAGGAAAAGGAAAACUCGAGAUCGACUCGCUUAUGGCUCGCGAGUUUAGCUCGAAUUCUGGCUCGCGAGCAGCUCGAGUUUUGCUAGAUUUUCUGGCUCGCAUGAAGCUCGAAGUCAGCUCGAUUCUAGCUCGUUAGGAGCUCCAGUUCGAACUCGAAAACAGCUCGAUUUUCUGGAAAUUUAUGCAAGAAAACAGAAUUUUUGUCCGCAUAUUUUUGAUAAAAUUUGAGCAUGAUAACAAUAAGUUUUCACAUAUUCUUGAUCUUGAGGCCUACAAAUUAUGCACUAAUACAAUCAUAAAUGUCCAAAUGUCCACUAAUACAAAUUAUCCAAAUGUCCACAAAUGUCCACUAAUACAAAUUAUCCAAAUGUCCACAAGAAGUCUGAAGAAUACCAGCUUGUUGUCCACAAAAACCAAGGCAUGACAUGAAGCGAGAAUUUCCUGACUGCGUCCUGGAACUUUACUCAUUUCUGUCUCUAAUUCCUCAUGAUCAGUUAGUCCACCAACAUUGAACAAUAUGGAUCAGGAAUGGGGAAAAAUCACUUUCUAACACUCAAGAUCACAUACAACUCAUAUCCAACAAAUAUCCUGAAGUUUCAUGAGUAUAAUCACAUUAAAAGAGAAAAGGAUACUGACAAGCAUGCUAAUCAAACUCAAGCAGAAAAGGUACUUUCUCCUUGCCGUCUCCGACAUCCCAGCCAGCAAAUGGCUGGGGUUCGUGACAGCUGUUUGGGUCCAAUCCAUCUCCGGCAACAACUAUACCUUCUCCAAUUACUCCGACGCCCUCAAAUCACUCAUGGCCCUCACUCAGCUCCAACUCAACAACCUCUCCGUCGCCAAUUGAUGUCAUUAAAGCAGAAAAUCGGCCUGAUGGCCUCCACCAGCUGCCAUCCCUAAUCCAAGAAGGUCGAGUGUAGUAUGCUUAGGACCAAAUACAGAUGGAGUUCCCAACAUCAGUUCCUUCAAGCUAGACCCACCAUCACACGGCAGCCCUAGUCCUAGGCCUACUACCAAUGAUGCACUAUCAGACUCAAUUGCCCUCCCACUCUUCGCCCGGAAAGACAGUGGUGAAAAGAGGUAAGGAGGUGGCGGCAAAGAGCGACGGGUUAGCCAAAGUUAGAAGAUCCUCUUUUUCUAGAUUUGCAAGUUUCCUACUCUAGAGACAAAAAUGUCCUUGAUAUUUGGUCGUGCAUCUUACAAGAUAAUGCUUUCCGUCAAUUUUAACCGUUGGAUUUGACGGAAGGGCCAUGAAUAUGCUAUUUUAUUAGAUCGAGAGCCAAAAUUUUACCGUUAAUUGUUGGAGGGUUAAAACUUUAUCUGGAAAAGAGUUGGAGGGCCAUUGGAACUCUUUUUCCAAAAAAAAAAAGUCACUUUUGUCAUUUGUCCGAGAACAGUUCAGGGGCCAUCUCGACAGUAUAUAUUUUUCUUACAUGCCAAGACAAUUAAUGAAAAUUGACCAAUAACACACGCACACACACGCGCACGCACACACACACACACUCUCUCUCUCUCGGUUGCUGCCAAGUCUUUCCACUGAAAAGGAAAAUUCAUAUUGUUUACAUAGAUAAAUUACCUCCAGUCCGUGGAAUGUCUUGAUGUUAGGUGAGUUCCAAUAUUUUGGUAUCAUCUAAUGUUCAUUUGUGAAAGAUUGAGAAAUGAUAAAGAGCAAAACACCAAUUUAUUCCAUAAAUUAUUUUGCUAAAAUCAAAAUAGUCCAUAAAUUUUCUUUUGGCCAAAUUUUUGUCAUGAACUUUCAGAAACGGUUGCUUCCUGCAACCGUUGGUGAGGGAUUUCAUCCGGAUUGCUUGUGCAGUUGAGUAACUAUACAGAAAUUCUUUUUGGGAUGCUGAGUAUCUUAGGGUGGGUACAAUGAUCGCUUAGAUCAGUAGAGAUGAUUGAUGAUGUAGUAGGGGAAGAUUCCCUUUAUAAAGCUGAUUUUCUCAUGAUUAAUAAGAAUAUAAAUGUUACCAAAUUUUCUUUUCAAAUGUGUAACGAAAAUAUUGGCCAUGAUCAGCAAGACCUCCUUAAUUAUAAAAGUUUCUUGAAUGUCAUCAUCCAAUUUGUUUAAGCGAGGAUUUUUAAAUGCUAUCUUUAAGCAAAUUGAUUUUUGUAUUAUAGAUACUUACUACUAUUACUUCAUACCUAGCUACAAACCUCAUGUAUGUUUUAAUCCAGAACAAAUCAGGGCCAUGGGCCACCUUGCACAUAGCGAGAGUGGAAAAAUAAAACUACACAAUUGCUUUUUUGAAGCCAGUGACUCAACUGAUUUUGCGCUCGGCAAUUCAUCCGAUUUUCAUUAAAAGGGCCCUAAGAGGCCAUUGGCGUUUUGGGCCUGUGAAAAUUUGGAUGAUUUGGUGUGUCCAAUGCAUGUGUAAGCACAAAUUUUGUUGUCUAAAAUAAAAGACAAGAAAACUUACAUAAAUAUCAAAUUUAUUAAAUUAAAUAACAAGAGGGUUACAAUAUUUGAAAAUUUUUGAAUCAAAGAAAUUAAUCUCCUAAUUUUUAUCUUCAAAAGGCUUUAAUCGGAAGGCCAAAAAGGCUUGUUCUCCGAUCAAGAGGGUGUUUUCUAUGAUUUCUAUGUAAAAAACGGCUGCUUUGAUGAUGACGUUAAUAUUUGAAUCUUUAAAUCUUCAACGCCGAUGGAAGGAGGAUUUAUUUAACUUAAUUUGGAUUUGGAUUUGAAUUUGAGGGAUAAAGCUCUCGACAGAAUUUGACAAAGUUACUUUGAAAUUUAGGAAUUUUAAUGUAUUUUUGCCUUGAGGGAAGACCUUUAUUUAGAGUCAACUUAUGCAAGCUAUGUCUUCAAGAGAAUCCUUCAAAACCAUCUUGCGUUUGGGUAACUUGUACCUUAAGAAACCCAUUUAACUUGGAGUUAAAUAGUGGUCCGACCCAAAUAGUCAAUUGUGAAUUAACAAAUCAAUUAAAUCACUUUAAUUUAAAUGGGCAUCAUAUUUUUUAUUUGAUUAAAUAGCUCAUAUAACAUUGGCUCAAUUUGUCAAUCCAAAACAUAAUGAACUUCUAUAAUUUAAUUCAAUUUAACUAAGAUCAAUUUAAUUUACUUAAUCUUGACUAAAAAUAAAUUAAAUAAAUUUUCGUUGUCUAUGUCCCCACUUCAAAACUUGGCGAGGCAUUGCAUGUUAAUUGCUGGAGGCAAGACUUGAAGUAUUAAUUUUACUGCUGACCUAAAGUCAAACUAAAUUAAAGACUUCAAGCGUUCGGCAUACGGGUGAUCCACUUUUUUUUUUUUUUUUUUUUUUUCCUUUUUCUUUGGGAAGAGAAUGGUCCACAUCAAUUGUAGAAUUGCACCUCAAAGUCCAAUUGAAUAGGCAACGGUCACGGGUCUUCACUUUCACCUACUACUUGAAUAAAGCCUUGAAGCUCUUGAAUUUUCCAACUCUUAAUUUAGUCGUCAAUGGAAGUGCAGCCCCACAAUAUUAGACCGCAACUUUGACCCGUAGAAUUAGAAACCCCCGUUUGAUUAUGCGAUGUGGGCUCCUGCGCAGAAACUCCCAUAUGCUGAAAUUUGGAGUUUGCUCGUACGUUUCUGACCACCAAAUCUUGUUUUGGCACUUGGCAAUAUGGAAUUUGCUGAGUUUCAACGCUUCCUAAACGGAACUUUAAUGUAUUUCCAAAACCAAUGUUUGCAACUUCUGAAUAAGAAUAUGCCAAAUUUUAAGAGCUUCCCAAAUUGACUUCCAGCCAUUGAAAUUAUUCUUGGGAACCAAAUUCAAAUGAUUUCCAAAAAGUUAAACGAUAAUCACUGAAUUUAGUAUCUGUCCAAAACUUAAAACUUCUUAAUAUGAUUCAUCUAAGCACCUUUAUAUAUAUAUAUAUAUAUAUAUAUAUAUAUAUAUAUAUAGGUACAGAAGACAUGUCUUUGUCUUGAAACUGUGACAAACAGGACAUUUAUGACAAGGGCGUGUGAAGACUACCACGCUAUUUGAGGGAAAAAAAACCUGUUUGACACGUAUAUCUUGAAGGUAAUCAUCUUUAUUGUCUUUUGACAACUUCAUGUUGGUCGAGUAUCAGAUAUUCACCAAAUUUUGUUGAAAUCUGUCAAAACUUGAUUUGUUUCUAAUUUGGAGAAAAAAAAAGAUUUUUUUCUUCGUUUCUGCAAUUUUCCAGGUCACUCUUUCCUCUCAACAUGUUACGAUUCAGAAAUUGAGACAAAUCUUGUACAUAGGAAUCUUUUUUAACAGCUGAUGGUUGGAAUUUAGCAGACACCUUGAAGUCAAAGAAGGCAACUAGCAUUCCAAUAGCAUUAUUUGGUUGCAUGCCAUAUCCAAGAUUUUCACUAGUAAGCCACCAUUUUCUUGCUUUUGAUUGUUAUUCUUUCUCUGUUGCACAAUUUUAUUUUCGCACAAUCCAUUUUUUUUCUUUGAAUUUUCUCUUUUGCAAAACAGAGACCACCAAGGAAAGACAGAAAGAUUUUUUGUUUUUGUUUUUGUUUUUGUUUUUGUUUUUGUUUUUUUUUUUUAUGGUUGCACCUUGUGUUGGCACCCCUUAUUUGAAGCAAGUUGAUGUUCCAGUUGUGUUGGGGAUUUUAGGGCCAUAGCUCUUAGAACUCAAAAUACUAAUGUAAUUUCCGCACUCCAUGACAUUUACUUCUUGUCAAUGCCAAACUCUCCUCUUUUUUUUUGUGAUAUGAAAGGAAGAUCUCUCGUUGCAACAUAUAUGGUGGACACUCAAUUUGAAAGAAGGUGCAACCACCAACUUGCACGAGAGCCAUAUCAUGGUUUGAGGAGUAUAAUGAAAAUGAUGCAACUGCAAACUCUUAUGAGAGCCAUAUCAUGGUUGAGAAGUACAAUGAAGAUAGUGCAAUCAAAAAUUUGAAAAAGGUGCAAUCGCAAACUCCCAUGAGAGCCUAUCAUGGAUUGAGGAGUACAACGAAGAAGGUGCCACAAAAUGUCGAAAAAUGUGCAAUCGCAAACUUGCACGAGAGCCUAUCAUGGUUUGAGGAGUACAAUGAAGAAAGUGCAACUACCCACUUCAAUGAGAGCUUACCAAAACUCGAGAAGCCCUUUCAUUUAACUUCACAUUGACUAUUUAUUACUUCUCUCACUGUCUUCGAUCACACCAUUGUAAUCAAAUUUUUUUCUCUUGCUUUUAUUGCAAGUUGGUCCUAACGAAAUGGUGAUGGUCAAGGAAGUUACAUCUUCAAACAAAAGGUACCUCCUUAUCACUAAUAGCCAUGAUGACUCUGCUGACAAAGGAAUGAAAUUAUUGGUGCAUCCCUCUAUACAAGAAACUUACUCUGGUGAUUGGUUUUCUCACAAAUAUUCCGAAUUAAAGGAUUGGUCACUAAAAUUUUCUCAAGAUGAUGGUACAAAAGUUCACUCCUUGAAAUUCCUUAUCAUAAUAAGGAGCCAAGGACAAUUGGCAGGCGAAUCAUAGAUGAAGACACACACUGGGGUGCUUCCUUGAGAUUUAGUGAUGAAUUUGGUUAUAUCGAGAAUUAUUAGGAGCGGUUGGAAGAUAUUUUUGGAAAAAACAAACAAGUGUUUCGUGAAAAUUACUUGUUCGAUGUCUUAUAUGCUUCGCUUCUCAUAUAUAACAAAAAUUCUCAUGUGUUUAGAGCAUUUUGCGAGACAUGGUGCCUAAACACUAAUACCUUGCAUAUGUCAAUUGGAGAAUUAUCUCUCUCACUUUGGGAUCUGUGUAAAUUAGAAGGACUUCCAAUCAUCGGAUACAUCUAUGAAGAGGCGAUCCCAUGUGUAGAGGAACUAACUGGAGUUAAUGAAAAGAAGUUGAUGCAUAUUCCGCAAAAUUGUGAGUAUUUGUUCGCGGCUCUGCACUACCUUCAACAUGGAGAAUACUACAAUUAUGGAGUUUCUGCUAGCCAAUAGAUUAACUUUUGGUUUAAAGGCAACGUGAGGUAUUCAAAACCAAAACAGAGAAGGAUAAAGAGAGCAUCUAGUGCUUAAGCAACCCAAAAUCCAGAUGGAAAGAUUGGACAACCACGUAAUUUUUAAUUCAAGACAAUGGCAUAUAUGAUACCAUUGGAGACAAGUCUCACUUACGAGAAGAGACUUAUCUUGUAGCAUUUAUAUCUUGUUGACUCUACGUUUUUACUCUACCAGAUGAGGACGUCUAUUAUAUUAGACUAUCUACCUUCAAAAUGGCUAGCAUGAUGGCUGUCGGAUAUAAAACUUGCCUUGCUGUUCCUGUCUUGCUGAGUAUCUAUCACGGAUUCAAUAAAAUUUCAAAUUCAUCUACUCCAAGGUGUGCGCGUGCAUUUUUUUCAAUGCACUACGUGUAUGCUUAACUGGCGAGUUAUUUCUCUACCCAUUAUUCAACUCCGAAUAUCAUGCCUGGACCAACAAUUAUCAAUUAUUCUGGAAAGGGUGUGCACAAUAUUUUGAUGAAAAUAGUGCUUGCGACCUCAUUCAUCAAGGAGACAAAGUAACUUGGGGGACAACUUCUCUUGUGAAGAAUUAAAAUGAAUUUUUUGUUGAUGAUGGCAAGUUAGCGAACCCAGAACUGAUUUAUUUCGUAAGUGCUUGCUCAAAUUAUUUAGUCUUACAUGCUGAAGGAGAUUUUCUUGUUGAGCCAUACAGGUUUGCAAGGCAAUUCGAAUUUUAUCAAAACACCCCACAAGAACUGGGAGCAGAUGUUCAUUCUACAAAUUAUGACUUGAGUCAAAUACUUUGACACAUUGCUAUUCAUAAUAAGACAGAGUCGAAGGUAUUUUUUUCUAGUUACCCCUUGAAUGCUAACAAGCAUAUAUCUCCAGAUUUUCAAACAUGAUGUUUUGAUUAAGAGUGUCCAACCAAAUUUGAAACAGAAGAAAUCGAAAGGAAAGAAACUUGCAAAUUUGAAUAAUCCUGUCAAGGUUGGCAGUAAUCUUGAGGCGAAACAGAAAAUCACCAAGACUGUGAGGAUUGAGGAGAAAGCAUUGCAGAGCUCCAGCAACUCGUGAAAUUCUAAUUUUCAAUGAAGAAUUUUCGAAUGGUAAUUCAUUUUGUCUUCCUUCAAUAAUUGUAAAAGCCACCAAUCAUGAGUCUCGCAAUUCCAAUGAAAAGAAGAGGAGCAACUCUUUUGAUGAGAAGGAUGAGCAAUCUACUAGUACAGACUAGCACUAGAAGCAUAAGAAAUUCAAGGUAAUGACUUUCUCUUUGGAUGAUAUUGUUUUAGACCCUAAAGAAAUGUUUAAGGACAUUCUGGACAAAUAUGUGCUUGGUAUAAGUCAUGCCAAUAUUAUAAGAACAUUCUCUUGCCUUCUUUAGUUUGGCAUUUGAAAUUUACUUAUCAAUUUCAUAUUCAUGAUAUGUCUCAUAACAUUUUCCAUGUAGUUGAAUGAUCAAAACUUGAUUUUUAUUAAUGAUGGGAAAUCAAGCUAAGAAUUCGUUGAAGGACCCACUAUAUUUUAACUUUUAACAAAACAAGUGGUCAAUUCUACUCAAUAAAAGGGCAUCAUUGAAAAUUUCAAAAAGGCAGUGCAUGAUGAAAAUUCAGUUCAACAAAUCAUGCUACAGAAGAAAGAACAUGUGACUUCACCGGAGAAAAAAAAGUUCAAAAUUUUUGAUCCACAACCGUAGCCAAGGGCACCUCAAGUGUCUGAAUUUUGCCCCCAAACUAUGAUCUUAACAUGUCAUCGAGAUUACAUUCAAAUGCUCUGAAAUAAUUUGAAGGUGCUGAUAUCCGAAACAAUCCUGGAACGCAUUUCUGCUCUUAAGAUGAAAGCAAAUGAAAUCAUGGAGGAAAUGCAAAGUUUCAAUGCUAUGAAUAUUUCAAACUUGUAAGGCCUUUUAAAGCCUUUCUUUACAAAACCAAUUCGUUCUGUCGUAAUAAAGUCUUCUUUCUCAAAUAAAAUUUCAAUUGAAUCAUAUAAUGAGUUGUUUUCUAUAGCUACCCAACAUCUUAGAGAUGCUCAGAGUAAGGAGAAAUAAUAACUUAAAAAGUUCUCAACGUACAUGUUAAAAUUUAAAGAGAUUGACCAUGAGAAAAUAGAGCUAAGGAAAUGACUUGAAUCUAUGGGUACUCAUAGGAUGGAAAUACUUUCACUGCUACGAAAGAAACAAGACGAGCUUACCUAAAUGCAAGGCAAGAUGAUCAACUUAUGAAAUGAAAUUCAAAAGAUUGAAGAUUCCCUAUCUUUACUUGUUGAGGAGAGCCAAACAUUGAACAAAAUGCAAGCACUACUUGAAAGCAACUGCAAAAAACUGUCAUCAUUUGAACUUUAGAAUUAGUUACAAUCUUUUACUUUUUUCAAAUUUUAUUUAUUGUCACUUGCCUAUAUUAUAUAGCCACAGGCAUAAUUAAUUUUUUAUUUCACCAUGAAUCAUGAUUUUUUUUAUUUCAUGAUACUCUUGUGGAUAUUUCUUACUUUCCUUUGUUGCUUUCAUUAACCACCAUUUUAGACUAUCGAUUGCAAAAUAAACAAUUCAACAUUUGCAUAAUUUUAAUCACAUUUGAAGAGGUAAUUGUCUACAUAAUUUGAUAAUUUGAACAAUAUACUUUCAGGUGUAUGUUGCAAAGUAAUUUGAAUUGCCCUAAAGAGAAAAACUUUUUAUCUUUUAUUGCAUGACAUCUUUAUGGGGUUGUAACUGAAUUUCGAAGUUACCAUCUAAACUGUUUGCAUAUCCCAAAAGGGAAUAAAUUCACGUGUAGUUCCUACCAUCCACAGUUUAAUUUCUUGCAGGUCAGGAGUAUCUAUUUGCUUAUCACUUUAAACUUGGUGGAGUGUUUUAGUAGUUUAACCAUAUACUACACUAUUGGUGAUUGCCGUCCACAGUUUUAACUCAUAUGGACCAAGAGCAACAUGCAGUUUAGACUCAUGUGUCAUGAAACAACAUGCAGUUUAGGGUCAUGCGUCAUGUUGUCCUUUAUUUUUUUUAUGGCGUGUAUAAUCUUAAGAAAUUUUCAUUUAUGGGUCAACAUUUACACCAUUUUGUCAACUACCUUGUACGCGUUAUUUGUAUAAACAUUUCGGAUAAUAUAUGGUCCAUCCUAUUCGGAGACAAAUUUAUCUUUAGCAUGAUGAGUCAUAACUAUUGAUUUUCGAACGGCGAACACUAUGUCACCAAUUUGAAAGGAAUGAUGAUGAUAGCUUUAGAAAGGUAAGCCUGGUAGCAUUCAAGAUUUUGUUGAGUUUCCAAUUCCUUUUCAUCUAAAGUUUCUAAUUCUUUAAGAAGCAAGCAAAUAUUUUCUUUCUCCAUGAGCCCUUAUUGGAUGGCAAUUCUCAGAGAAAGAAUUUGUUGUUCAAGAAGCAAGACAACUUCUACACCAUAAACUAAGGCAUCAGGGGUGGCUUGCAUUGGAAUUCGAUAUGUGGUGCGAUAAACGCAGAGAGUUUCACCUAUCAUUUCAUGCCAAUCCUUCUUUGAUCUGGCCAUCACUUUUUUCAACAAGUUGCAUAGAGUUUUAUUGAAUGCCUAAACAAUACUGUUGGCAGGGACAUUAUACAUAAAGGACUUGCGAUGUUUGAAUUUAAAUUUCUCACACAACCUAUCCAUUAAACAGUUGAAGAAGGGUUUCCAUUAUCAGUGAUAAUGUGUUAGAGAAUUUCAUAACGAUAAAUAAUAUUUACACGAAUGAAAUUCACCAUAUCUUCUUUUCUCACUUGAGUGGUAUAGUUUCAUCCCAUUUAGAGAAGUAGUUGGUUGUAACCAAUAUAUAUAGAUGUUGUCCGAACGACUUAGGCAAUGGUCCAACAACAUUAAGGUCCCAGGCAUCAAAAGGCUAAGAAGUAAUAGUCAAAUGUAAUAGUUCGGGUAAUUGAUGAAUGUAAUUUGCAUAGAAUUGACAAGUUUGACACCUUUGAGCGUAUUCCAUACAAUCUUUGACCAUAGUAAGGCAAUAAUAGCCCAUCAUUUUAAUCCAAAAAUGCAACUUGGGACCGAAUUGGUGAGUUUGACAUAUUUCAAAAUGUGCCUCUUGCAUAGCUUGAUAUUCAUUAUCUUCAUUCAGACAGCGCAAGAAUACACUUUCAAAUGAUUUUUGAUAUAGCGUAUCUUUGUAUAAGAUGAAACGGGGGCACGACAAUAGAUAUCAAAUCUUUUAUGUUGCUCCUUAGGUACCUUUUGAUACUUGAUAUAAUUGAUAACAGGUUGUCUCCAAUCUUCUUUAUCAACUUCAUAAGUUGAGACGACAUAAGCAUCACCUUCCUCAAUAUUUUCAUUAUCAAAUAAUGGUGAAACUAUCCACUUUUGAUACACACGAACUUGUAUUUCAUAAUUUGACAUAGUCAGAGAAGAAGCAAGCAUAGCUAAUGCAUGAGUUUGCUUAUUUUCUCUUUUAGGGACAUGUUCAAUACUUGUACCUUCAAGUUACCUUAUAAGUUGCGUUGCAUUCUUGUGAUAUGGAAUUAAUUUAAAUUUUUUAACAUCAUAAUUUCCCAAGGGUUGACUAACGACUAAUUGUGAGUUGCCAUAGAUUUGAAACUCAAAUUAUUUCAUGUCAAUAGUUAUUUCAAGUCCGAAUAUGAGGGUUUGAUACUUAACGACAUUAUUUGAACAACGUUGAUUUAGAAUAAAGGAGUAUGGCAAAACUUCUUCAUCAGAUGUUGUAAAUACAAUUUUGACUCCAACUCCAUGACGAUGAGUAGCAGAUUUCAAUAAGGAGUACAUUUUUAUUUGGUAGAUCAUCACUUAACUCCCAUUCAACAAGUAUCGGGUGAUCAAUAAGAAAAUCUACUAGUACUUAACCCUUCACGGCCUUUUGGAAUACAUAAAUAAUUUUAAAUUAUUGUAACUAGGUACCAUUUAGCUAGACAGUUGGAUAGUGUUGGUCUACUUAUCACGUAUUUUAUGAAGUUUGCCUUGAAGAUGAGUCUCACACUGUGUGCUUGAAAGUAGUGUUUUAACUUCUAUAUUAUAAAAAUAAGAGUUAAACACAACUUUUCAAUCGGUGAGUAGUUUAAUUUAUUAGAGAUCAUCAUAAAUAAUAAAGGGCAGUUUCUUUCACUUCAUUAUUUUCUUGUGCAACCAAUACCUCCACUAAACGUUCUUGGGUAACAAUGUAAAGAAUUAAUGGCUUUCUAUAAAUAGGUUCAAUCAAGACAGAUGCCUUCAUGAGAUAAGAUUUAAUGCUAUUGAAUGUAUUGCUGUACGCUUCAUUCCAUUGGAAUGGUACACCUUUCUUCAUAAGGUGAUUAAAUGGUUGACACCUUUCAAUUAAAUUUGAGAUAAACCUCCACAGAUAGGUUAAUCGCUCUUGAAGGCUUUUUAUUUCUGAAUAUUGCGAGAUUCAGGCAUUCUCAAUAUAGCAUCAAUGUUGACUCGAUCAAUUUUAAUACCUCGAUGACAGACCACAAAAUCAAGAAACUUUCCUGAUGUAACUCUAAAUGCACAUUUGAGAGGAUUCAAUUUGAGUUGAUAUAUUUUCAACCGAUCAAAAUUUUGUUUCAAAUCCUCCAAGUGAUUAUUUCUUUUUUUUUUUAUUUAACAACCAAAUCGUCCAUAUAACAUUUAAUAUUUUUAUGAAGCAUGUCAUCAAAAAUAUUUUACAUUAAUCUUUGAUAUGUAGUUUUGAUAUUUUCAAACUAAAGGGUAUUAUGUUAUAACAAUAAAUACCCUUAGGAGUAUGAAAUCUAGUGAGUUAUUUAUCCUCAGGUGUUAUUCGAAUUUGAUUAUAGUUAGAAAAGCUAUCCAUAAACGACAAACCCUCAGACCCAAUAAUUGCAUUAAUCAUGAGUUUGGUGAUGGGUAGAGAAAAAUCAUCUUUGGAACAAGCACUGUUAAGAUCCCUAAAAUUUACGUAGAUGUGAAUUUGCCUGUUCUUCUUUCGUACAGACAUGAUAUUUGAAAUUCAUGUGAAAGACUUAAAUUCAUGAAUAAAUCCAUCAUCAGUGAAUUUAUUGAUUUCAACUUCGAUCAAAUAGACCAAAUCGGGUCUAAAUCACCAUUGUACUUACAUUACAGGUCGAACUCCCUUUUUAAUAGGUAAAUGGUGGACUGCUACUUUUGAAUUUAGACCUAACAUUUCUUUAUAAGUUCAUGUAAAAAUAUCUUGAUACUCUUGCAAGAACUCAACAUAUGUCUUCUCUUCAUCAGAAUUCAAUAAAGCACUUACCUAUAUAGGAUAUGGGUCCUGUGAAGUGCCAAAAUUGAUUUUUUAAGUCAUCUACAGUGGCCUUAACGCCUUGUUCAAAUUCAGGUGAAGCAUCUUCAACAUCUUCUUCUUCUCCAAGGGAAUUAUUAUCAAAUAUGGUUAUAUGGUUGUAUGAAACAAUACUUUCUUCAUCAUCUUCCUUUGAUCUUGUUUCUACAAUAGUAUGCUCUCUAACCUUUAGUUCAGUCCCAUAAAUUAUUAUAAGAUUUGUACAUCUCCUCAUUCUUGAGAGAAUAAUGUUACCAAACUUAUAAAUGUUAUGGGGACAAUCAAAAGAUUCUUCAAAUUCUUUCAGUGAUUUUGUCAUUCUCCAUUUAUUCUUAUGAGAAUUUUGAGACUUUUAUUUUCUUUGUGGUCCUAGUCUUUUGAAGACGAAUACUCACAGAGCCUUAUCCCUAUUUUUAUGAAAAACGUGUGACUUAUUGACUAUUUUAGAAGAUUCAUCUCUUAUAGCAAUAAAUUGACUACCAGCUCUAUUGAUUUUGAUGCGAAUUGGUACAGGUGAAAAAUAGUAAAGAUCAGAUUUAGAAUUCUUAACAGCAUAUCCUUUCCCUUUCAACAUCUUUUGAGUAAGGUUUAACCCAUAAGUCACAUCGCUAGUGGCUUGAGGAGGUUUCAAUACCAGAGAUUUCUUGAAAUCAUACCCAAUUUUGGUAAGAAGUUUAUAAGCAAUAUAAUCAAAAGCUUCAUUAAUUCUUGACGUCAGUAGCAUAUCUUGCUUGAUGUCAAACUCUUUAUUAAGAUGAUCAAACCCUUUGAUUAAAGGCGAUGGUAUAUUCGUAGCAUCAAGUUUAGCCACAGGAAGAGUUAAUCCUUUCAGAGUUUUGUGUGGAAUUGAAGAUGGUUGUCCUUGUCCCAAUCUUGACUUGGGAGGGUAUCCGAAGACAACUGAUUUAUUUUUUAACAAUGAGGCAUCAAUUUUUUUAUGAACUACCUCUUUUGAUUUUGGAAUCACCACUUUCUUCGUUUUGCACUUGAUGAUUCGAGAUCUUGGAUUUUAACCAUAGAUGGAGAUUGUUUAAACUCAUUCUUUAUGUUAUACUGAUUUAUUUUUUAACAAUGAGGCAUCAAUUUCUUUCUGAACUACCUCUUUUGAUUUUGGAAUCACCACUUUCUUCCUUUUGCACUUGAUGAUUCGAGAUCUUGGAUUUUAACCACAGAUGGAGAUUGUUUAAACUCAUUCUUUAUGUUAUAUUUUUGGAUAUAAAAUUUAGCAUUAGCGAUAUGCAUUUCUACUUCAGUGUAAAGAUUAUAAUCAGUUUUCACACUUUUUACCACUCCAUUUCGGUAAUACUUGAAAUAUUGGUGAAGAGUUGAAAGCACAACCCCAUUUUCAUGAAUCCAGGGUCUUCCCAGUAGCAUAUUAUUUAUUGUUUUAGUAUCUAUUACAUACAGUUGUGCUUUAGACAAUAUAUCAUCGAUAACUAUCUCUAAAUUUAACGAUCCAAUAGCUCUUUGCCCUCCUUGAUUAAGGUCUUGUAUUAUUAGUCAGCUUAUUGGAAAGUUUAUCAAUGGAGAUGCCAAAUUCCUUUAGAGUUUUUAAGACAAGGCUAUUGACAGCAGAACCUCUCUCUAUCAAAAUUUUAUUCACAUUUUAUUUUUUAGCAUAAACAGUUACAAACAAAGGACGGUUAUGUGAUGUUGACCCAAAAAACAAGUUGAUAGGGUGUUAAUUGUUAGUAAUUUUAUUGCUAUUUUUCCCCUUUGUCCUUGCCAAAUAUUAUUUUAAUUGUUAACAUAUACUUAUUUUUGGUAUUUGGACCAAUCUACAGGAAGUGGAACUGACAAAUGCUAAAAAGGAGAUUUUAUUGAGAAAAAUCCUUCACAUGCUAGAGCCUCCAGCGGAUAUACAAGUUGGGCCCACAUGGUGUUACAAAUUCGGUUGCUGAUGGGGAGCUCUUAUUAUUGGGAGUUGACUUGUACGUGUAGGAGUCCUCCUACCAAGAGGAAACAAGAAAAAAGGAAUUCGGCAGAGGCCCAUCUUUUGUACUUAGCUUUCUCAAUUCGGUAGGGACCAUGGACUAGAGGUUUUCAUUAGUGAUUGGACUUUAAAAGGGAAGAAACGUAUAGAGGCUUGGGGAUUAUUAUGAUUAGCGUAGCUUUAGUUUUAGUGGUUAGCUAGCGUUUCCUUUUCAUGCGCACGAGGUGCUCGACAAUAUUUUUCAACGGGAAAAAAAAACAUCUUUUACUCUUGCUUUCUAGUGAAAAACUUGAUGCCUUUGCAAUCAAUUAAUUUGCGUGGAGAUUUAAUUAUGCGGCGUGGCUAAGCCUUUUAUCUAGUCAAGGAUCAACUCGACGGCGCAGUCCCAAAUAUCUGUGAGAUCUAAUUAGUUUUCACGCGUUUCUUAAUUUGUUAAUAUUUGCAUGUUGCCUAUUUGAAUUUCCACGGGAUUAUUUUGUUAAUUGGAUAUCAAGAGCCCGAUGUUCAAUGUGACUUAUUAAUUUCCUGCCAAAUUAGUCAAUUAAAUCCGUAAUUGUUUGAUUGAUUAAUAUUAGUAGCAACUGACAUGUUUACACACUAGAAGAACGUGCAAUCUAAUUUAAAUAACCCUCGUAGCGUGUUAUUGAUUGGGAUUAGAUUUUUCUAGUUAUUAAUGCAAUUGGGAAAUUAAUUCAUACAGUUGUACCUAGGAGUAUUUUCUGGUUAGGAGUAAUCAUUGGUCGUACCUUGGUUAUCAAUAAAUUAAGGAAAAAUUGGUCGUUAGAAUUCGUCGGCGACUAUAACUAGCCUAUUAAUAAAUUAAGUGAACCUCCCUUGCAUCAAUGAUCGGGUAAGUGGACUGUGUCUGAGUAGUUGUAUUCUUAACUAAAAUUUAUCUAUUCUUGAUUUAAUUCCUGCCUAUAUUCGUGCUAAUUAAUUAUUUAUUUUUAGUGAAUUGCUUAAUUAUUUUUAGUUUUACUCCAAUAAAAUUCCUCUUUACCAAUUGGAAUCUCAAAAAGACAAAUAUUCUCAGUCCCUGAAGAGACGACCCUACUUGCCAUUGUCUACUAUUUAGUAAGUUUUGUCAACUAAUUAAUUUUGGUAUAUCGGAUUAAGCAAAUUUUUCGGGAACAGGGUGAAUUAAGUAACCUAUUGCACAUCUAGAGUCCCGGCUCUAAUAUCUAGGAUUCAUUAUUGACUGCUUUUAGUGGUAUUUAGGUUAUUAUUAUUAUUAUUGCACAGUCUCGACACCUGUCAAUUUUUGGCGUCGCUGCCAGGGACUGGCGUUAAUUAUUUGUUUUUUUAAGUUCAAUUUUGUUCUAAUUUUCUGGUAUUUUUUCUAAUUUAUGCAUCAUUCUUCUCGUAUAAGUGAAUUAAUUUUCGACCCUGAAGUAGAGAAGAUCGCGCGUAGAACGAGAAAAGAAACCAGACAAUUCAGAGAAGAGCACUCAAGUACUACAUCUCAGAGACUUGAGCCGGAAGUUGAACCGGCAAAUUCGUUUGGUAACACUUCGAGUGACUCGGAUCAAGAGAAACUCACCAUGGCAAAUGCACAAACAUUAAGGGAGUUGGCUGCUUCUAAUUUAAAUCAACAGCCUUUAUGCAUUGCUUUCCCAAGUUUGAAUGAUGACACCCUCUUUGAACUAAAAUCUGGUCUAAUUCAUCUCUUGCCAUCUUUUCAUGGUUUACCAGGUAAGGAGCCCUACAAACAUUUACAAGAGUUUGAUGUUGUUUGCAACAGUAUGAAACCCCCGGGAAUCACAGAAAAGCUGAUAAAAAUGAGGGCCCUCCCCUUCUCUUUGAAGGAUUCAGCGAAAGAUUGGCUAUACUACCUACCACCAGGUAGUAUCACCACGUGGGACCAGUUGAAAAAAAAAUUCUUAGACAAAUAUUUUCCUGCGUCUCGGGCCGCCAGCUUAAGGAAAGAGAUAUGCGGUAUCAAACAACACCCAGGCGAGUCUCUCUAUGAGUACUGCGAGAGGUUUAAGAAGCUGUGUAUCAAAUGCCCUCAGCAUCAGAUAAGUGAGCAACUGCUCAUCCAAUAUUUCUAUGAGGGACUACUCUUCACGGACUGGAGCAUAAUCGAUGUUGCCAGUAAAGGGGCGCUAGUGAACAAGACCCCUCGAAAAUCUUGGGAGUUGAUUGAGGGGAUGGCUGAAAAUUCACAGCAGUUUGGUGGGCAGUGGCGAUGGCGAAGGCUCGCGGGGGUGGAAGAGCCGUUGGCGCGACUGGGGCCGCGCGGCUGCUAGAAUCUAGUUGCAUCAGUCUCUGUGGUCCUUGGGAUCUUUGAUUCGGCUGUUCCAUAGCUUGUCGAUCCUUUGUUGCAUCCCUGUAGGCAUUGUAAUUCCUGUUGAUUGAGUUGUUAUCUAGUUUUUGAGGGCACCUCUAGUAGUUCCUUUAUUUGGGAGUUAUUUGGGGUUGAGUUGGGAGUUAUUGGCCAAUUGAUUCCUAUUUUGCUUUCGUCCUGUUUCUGGUACUGUAUGGUUUUGAUUGGGGGGUGUCUCAGUGGUUUGGGUUGCCUGUUUGAAUUGGUUCUUACCUGUGUGUGCACCAGUGGUACUGGUUGUGUUGGGAAUCCGUGACUGAUUUGUUCUUGUCCAAUUGAAGCCAUUUUGAGCAAUUUUGGGGUGAACACAUUUUGUCAUUAAUUGUUGAUUGUUGGGGGACGUUUUUGGUAACACUUGAGUUGAUAGGGUGUUAAUUAUUGGUUAUUUUAUUAUUAAUCUCCCUUUUUAUUCUUGCCAAAUAUUGCUUAAUUGUUAAUAUUUACUCAUAUUUGGUAUCUGGACUUAAUUUCAGGAAUGAAGUAGAAAACUACCAAAAAGGAGGGAUUUUAUGGAGAAUAUGGAAACUUCUAAGGGCUUCAAUUCUUGGGCCCUUGAAUUGGUGGGGACCACAAGCUAGUGAAAGGCAUUUAGUCAUUUGAGCUCUUCAAAAGAAGCUACGUAUAUUUUAUUUUAUUUUAUUUUAUUUAUUUUAUUUAUCUCUUAUUUUUUUUUAUAUAGUUUAUGGCUUCUAACACUUCGUAUUUUGGUGAUAUACUGGAUUUUGUUUCCGGGAAAGGCAAUGUGACUAGUUUUUUUGCUAAGUCUGCAUAUGCAGAGGCACUAAACUCUAUUAGAGAAAGAAUGGCUGCUGCAACCUGUAAAAUUUGUUAUACCAGGGAUCAUUCAACCGGUAUGUGCCCCGAAUAUCAAGAUAAUCUGAGUGUCCCAUUCGAUAAUUAUGGAGAAUUUUCACCCUGGUCUCAAACGUGGUACGACCCUAAUCCAAACGGGUAUGAUCAAGGAUGGUGGGAUAACUCCAAUUAUAAUUAUACAACGGGACCAAUGAAUUUUCAGCAGUAUGAGUCUCAAGAAUCGUCAUCUAUGUCAGGUAUGUCUCUUGAAGAAAUAGUUGAACCAAUAGCUACUAACACAUACCAAUUCCAACAGGAGACACAAAUGAGGAAUGAGAUGAUGAAGGAUGCAAUGAGUUAUCUGGCAGAUCAACUAUGUCUAUUGACAUCCAGAAUAAAUCGAUGGGCUUCUCAAAUGGAAGAACUGCCCUCGAAAACCAUUGUUGACCUAGAAGAAAAUGAGAGUGCAAUUUGCUUGACUAGUGAUGAGGAGAUGCAAGAGUGUCAAAAUGAAAAAUCUACAGAUACAGUUGAAAAAGAAGCCGAAAAGGAAGAAAUGGAACCCCAACCGCAACCCAUUCAAGUGAAAGAAUCCAGUGAAGAAUCAUCAAAUGUGGUGACACCACCUCCAUUCCCUAACCCGCAUUUUUUCUAACUCUUACUCUAUGAUUUCUGUUAAUGAGAUUGAUUUUGUUAUACCGGAAGUUUUUGAGUCUCAUGGCAGAAAUAAGUUGAGAGUGGAGAUGGCGAAAUAUCUUGAACCGUUGAAUGCUCUUGAUGGAGGAAUGGAUGAAGAAUUGCGAUCAAUGCUUGAUUAUGUGGCGCCAUCAACUAGUCCAUGGAAGCCCGUGGUUCGUGUGCUCAAAGAUUACUCCAUCUAUGAGGGUUACCAGGAUCAUAUUGAAGAUGAAGCAUUGAAGCGAGCUACAAGAUUUUAUCCUCCAUGAACAAGACAUAACAAUGUCUAGCCAAAGACAUUAAAGAAAGGCGUUUUUUGGGAGGCAACCCAAAUAUUGAUUUUAUUAUUUUUAGUUGUUCAAUUCUUUCGUUCUGUUGUUUCUCAUUUGGAUAGUAGUUGGUCUUGAUAUUUUUCUCCACUGUGAUCAGGAAGUGAAAUCUUGGCGUGCCCACGCGGUGUUUAGGUCUCCUGAGAUCAGAGGACGAACACCAAUCUUGGCGUGCCCACGCGGUGUUUGGGUCUCCUGAGGUCAGUGAAUGUUUUGUAAUCUUGGCAUGCCCACGCGGUGUUUGACGACCCAAAACAUGAAAAAAAAAAAGUUUCAAAAUUUCACAUUGAGAAAAUUCAAAAAUUCAAAAGGCAUUUUUCUUUUUCUUCAAAAAUUCAAAUUUUGGAAUUUCAAAUUCAGGAAAAAAUUUGAAAAAAAAACAUUGAGAAAAAAAAACCCAAAAAGAAAAAAUUAAGAUUCAAAAAAAAAAAAAAACUAUUUUUUUUUCUCUCUUUUUCUUUUUCUCUUUUCUUUUUCUUUUUUCUUUUCUUCUUUUUUCUUUCUUUCUUCCUUCACCACCGCAGCAGCUACCCCACGCGACUCUCCUCCGCCUACCCCAGCGCACAGCCCAGGCCACGCGCUCCCUCCUUCCUGCAGCCCGUCGACGAAGCCCACCAGCCACCACCAGCAGGCCGCGGCUCCUUCCCCCUUGCGCGGCCACAGCUCGCGAACCACCUCUCCCACAGCGCGCGGCCUUCUCCCUUAUCUUUUGGCCGCGCGUCAUUGGCUCGCCCAAGGGCAGCCGCCGCCGCCGUUCCUCACAGUCAAGCAAUCGCAGGCCAAAGCCCACAACCCCAGCCGGCGCCGCCCGCAGCUCCUCGUGCGUGACAGCCGUGCGACGCCGCGCCUCCCUCAGCAACAGCUCCAAGCUCCAGCUCACUCGCAGACAGCCGCGCGAUUCUCAGCCAUUCACCUCGCGCGACCCCGAGCGCACAAUUCCGCGUGCCGCCAUCGAAGACCGCCGCGCCUCUCCCUCAGCCCGCCAUUGCGCCCCACCACUGUCCCGCUGUCUACGGUUGGGCACAAGGGAGGUACUUUUAAAAGAAAUUUUUAAUUUAAAUACGAGAAUGUCAAUUUCUAAAUUCUGGGGCUGUUUAGUGAUUGUUUGGAUUUCUUGGUGGAUUUGGUUGGCCGUCUGAUUAAAUUCUUCCUUGUGUGAUAACCAGUGGUACUGGUUGGGGUCUUUCGACCAUAGUUGUUGCUUAUAUUUGGUCAGAUGUCUGCUUGUUUGAAAGUUCACGUUCUUGUGAUUGAGUUGUUGCUCAAAUUCUGAUCUGCUGUUGCUAGAACUUUUGGUUGGUUGAGUUGUGCAAUUGACUGUCCAAUUGGAGACAGUUAUUGAGAUCUUAGGUGGGAUGGUGUCCAAUUGCUAAAAUUUGUUGCUUUGUUUCGUCACUCGCACUGCUCCUAGUUUGUUCGAGUGAAAUUGGUUGGAUGUUCUUUGCCCGUGGAGUGUAACUGUUACAUUGUUUGGGGCAGUUUUUUGGUAUUGAUUGAAUUGUUGGGCGUAAAUUGCUCAGGACUUUACAUUGCUAAUUUGGUGGGCCAUUUAUUGUGCAUUACCCUUUUGAAUUGGGAGAUACCUGUGCUUAUUGGGUUUUGACUACUUGAGAUUUCUGUUGCAUCUGGGGGAUAAAAUUUGAUGACUUUUGUGCCAGUUUAUUUGUUUGGAAAUUGUUGGGGGUAAUUUGGGAGUUACUUGUCAAUUGGGUCCCGUGUUACCCUCUACCAUUCAGUGGUACUGAUUGGUGUGUUUGGCUUUAUCACAUGUCUUGGGUUGGCCAUUUGAUUUCAAUUUUCCUUGUGCAUGCACCAGUGGUACUGGUGAGGGUAGUUUACAUAAUAUUUGUUACUCCUGUGUUAUUGGUUGCCUAAUCGACUACUGGGCAUUUGUGGUUGAAUUGUUUCUGUCCAACUUCUGAACUGUUGUUGCUGGAGUGCCAUUUUCUUGGGUCAAUUGCUGAUUUUAGCAAGUUGAAGUGGGUAAUUGACUGUCCAAUUGGAGACAGUUGUUACGAUAUUGGGUCCGAUUGUGUCUAAUUGCUGGAAGUUGUUGAUUUAUUAAGACACUAGCACAGUUCCUAGUUUGUUCGAGUUGCUGUUCUGUUGCAUUAUUGGGAGCUGUGCUCUAGUAUUGUGGCUACUUUCCUGCGUUUAUUUGUUGAAUUGGGAUAUGAAUGUGCCUAUUGCUCAUUUUGUUGCAUCUAAUUGACUUGCUUGGGGUAAUCUGCCCAUCAAUUUUAAUUACUCAAGUCUUUGGAGCAGUUGUUGCACAUUUGGACUACUUUGUUUCUAUAUCUGACUGAAUUGGGACCACAAGUGCUUAUCAAUUGCAUUUGCUAUAAGUAUUGGGGUAUUCGUAUAGAUUUUAGGAGCCUGCAUUGUGCAUUUUAUUGUUUGGGUUGCCUACUAGUUACCAUGGUGAAGCCACGAUCCUCCCCCAGGGGCCGAUGACUGGCUCCAACUUUCGAUGACAGUUGAGAGACUGGAGACUCGAGUGACCCACAUUGACAUCGACUUGCAUAACAUGGCGCAGAAUUUGGCAGCACUCCGCCCGACCCGCCCCUGUUUUGACAAUUUCAAGGAAGUACCGUUGCCCUUCUCUUUACUUUUGUUGUUGGUUUAUCACAUUGAGGGCAAUGUGUGAUUUAGGUGUGGGGGGAUCAGUUUGGGUGCUAGUAUUUUUAGUUUUUAGGUUCUAGAGGUUUUUCUUUUGUUUUAGUUUGAUAUUUAGUUCUUUUUUUUUCGUCUAUUUUAUUUUAUUAUUAUUAUUUUUUUUUCUUUCUCCUUUUUUCUAGUGGUCAGUCUUCAUAUGAAUACCAAGUUUGAUACUGGAUUGUUGUCUCUAAUUCUGCUAUUGCCAAGUCUUAUUAAUAAAAGGGUAUUAAGUUAAUGUGCUUGAGUUCAGGAAUAUCUCUUUGGUGAAUAUCGGUAAUUGCUUAACUUUUUCAAUUUUUGGUUAACUUUUCUAGGCAUAGGGAAUGAUUGUUGGCAUUUUUCAUGUGAAUUGGUUCAGUUAUUAAUUUUAGUUCUCCAUGUCUGGAAAUUUGAGGCUGGCUGCUGUUAAUCUUAUGUUGCUUUUAGAUAUCGUGUUAUAUGGUUGUAAAUAAGAGUUGACUGUACUCCGCUAGUGGUUACUACUGAGUAACCGGGGAUUUUCACCUAAAGUGUCGAUUCUCGCGUCAAAAGGUAGUAGUUGCUAUGAAUGCGUGGUCCUGUAGCGAUCGGAGCUGAGUAACCGGGCUCCUCCAUCUGAUAAAUGUUGGAGUUCGCGUCAAAAGGCUCUAAAUGGCUAGAGACUAAGUCUUUUGCUAUUCCCAAAAAAAAAAAGAAAAAAAACAAGUAAAGUUUGUGUUAGUAUUUAAAAAAAAAAAAAAGAAAGUCAGCUUGCCUAUUUGUGAUCUUAAUGUCGAGAUUUUGGUUAAUAGAUGGACCAUUUGCUGAUAAAUGUGAGCAACCAUUCCUUUUCCUUAGAUUAGUUUGCUUCAAAUUGAAGGAGUUGGUGGUUUAGAGGCUAAUCGGGGUGAUUUUUCUUGGAUGUUGACCUGUGAUGCUUGAUAUUUAUUUUUCUUGGACAUCUUGGCAAUACGGUAGUUGGAGUAACAGCCAUGGUCAACUUUUGGUGUUCAAUUGUUGUUCCCAUACUUGAGGGCAAACAUGAUUUAGGUGUGGGGGGAAUUGAUAGGGUGUUAAUUAUUGGUUAUUUUAUUAUUAAUCUCCCUUUUUAUCCUUGUCAAAUAUUGCUUAAUUGUUAAUAUUUACUCAUAUUUGGUAUCUGGAUUUAAUUUCAGGAAUGAAGUAGAAAACUACCAAAAAGGAGGGAUUUUAUGGAGAAUAUGGAAACUUCUAAGGGCUUCAAUUCUUGGGCCCUUGAAUUGGUGGGGACCACAAGCUAGUGAAAGGCAUUUAGUCAUUUGGGCUCUUCAAAAGAAGUUACAUAGAGAGACUUGGAGAAAGAAGUACUUUGGAGGCUUUGUCCAUAUGUGUGGGGACCACCUAGAUAGCUUUUAGUCAUCUUUCUUUUGUUGCUUUAAAAGGGGACAACGUACAGAAGCAAAGGACAUCUAGGGCUUUAGUUUUAGUUUUUUUAGUUUAGUUCUAGUUUCCUUUCUUUGGACUGGCCUCUGACACACGCCAGGUGUUCGACAAUAUUCCCCAACGGGAAGAUUUUCUCAUGAGGCGUGGUUAAGCUUUUCUAGUCAAGGGGACAACUGACGAUUUGGUUCGACAAUUACUGUGAGAUCGAAUCUGUUUUAAUUAUUUUCUUCAUUUAUUGGUAUUUAUAUGUUCCUUGAUUUUAAUUGCUAUGGCCUUGUGUAUGAUUGAUUAGUGCGCAAUAAUUAAUUAUUCAUAUAGGCUAUUUUUGCUAAAUAGGGGUAAUUGAAUCCGUAAUUGUUCGUUAUCUCUACCUCAGUAGCAACUGGCGUAAAUGGGUUUAUGUCAGGGGAGCAUAUGAUCUAAUUUAAACAAACCCUCGUAGCGUGUUUGUUGGUUAGGAUUGGGCCUUUCUAAUUAUUAAUGCAAUCUAGAAAUUAAAUCCUACGGUCGUACCUAGGGUUGUUUUUGGGUUAGAGAAAUAGCUAACGGUCGUACCUUAGCUAUCGAGAAAUUAAGGAAGGGUUGGUUGUUUAUCGCGUGCAUGACAACUAUAACUAAUCUAUUGCUAAAUGUUGGAAUUAUUUCUGCAUCAAUGAUCAGUGCAUGAACCAUUUCUGAUGUGUACCCUUGGCUAGAGUUUCCCCAAUCAUUUCUUUUAAUUAAUUAUUUUCUGCAGUUAAUUUAUUUAGUUAGCAUUUAAUCCAAAACCCCCCAUACUUUGGACUCUAGAAGAAACGAAUUAUCCCCAAUCCCUGUGGAUUCGACCCUACUCACCGCUAUAUACAAAAUCUGUAUCUUUAUUGAGUAGGUAUUUAUUAUUGUACAGGUUCGGCACCUGUCAAUUUUGGGGUGAACACAUUUUGUCAUUAAUUGUUGAUUGUUGGGGGACGUUUUUGGUAACACUUGAGUCUAUUUUGCUGAGUUCUGUUGAUAGAGCAGUUAUUUGGCACAUUUUACAGUGUUAUUUUGUCCUAAUUUUGGCUAUUCAUGGUGUUAAGAAUUGGAAUAUCACUCAUAUUUGAUGUUUGUGUGAAUUGUAGGUGGUCGGCAUUAAAAAUGACCUCUCAAGGCAAAUUUCUAGAAGACUCUUCGUCUCAGAGCAUGGCCACGCCAGAGAAGGUCGAUGUUACCGAAAAGCCGGACCCCGGUCCACGUGAACCGCAAGGAGCACGGGAUUAAAGCUCUAAAAGGCUAGCUUUUGUUUCAAUCAAUUGGGUCAGACAUGACUUGGCUCCUAGAGGCUUCAAUUAAAAAAGAAAAGAAAGGGCCAGACGUCGAGGGAAUGAGAAUGAGGAAACUAGGUCUACAUGGACCAGCUACACGGGAUAAAAACUCCAAUGAAGAGAAGAGCUCUGCUCCGCGUGGAUUUCCCCUGCGGCACUAUAUAAGACAACAAAAAAGGUGAUGCAGCGGAGAAUAUAGAUUAGCUUUGAUUUUCUUUUCGAGAGGGGUCAGGCGAUUGCAGACUUUUGUAGCUUUUCGGUUGUGACACUUGGACUCCUUGGCUUUUGUUUUGACUCUGCACAAUUUACGUUAGUUUUUGUUCGUACACUUGCGGCACCAAAGCAAAGACGAAGGCAGUGCCUUCUCUGUUGUUACUGCAAUUAAUUCCCCUUCCCCAAUUUUCGGCGAAUAAUUGAAUGAAUUCAAUUAAAUCACGCGGGAUUGACACGAUAAGGAGCGGCUAAUUUUCUCCUCUACCCAAAGGUUGACGCGAAGGCGCGGUCCAUAAUAUCUGUGAGAUCUAAUCGAAUUUUCAUUAUUUCUUUCAAUUUAUUGCUAUUCGUACGUUUCCUGAAUUAAUUGUUCAUGAGUAUUUUACUAAUUGAAUAUCAACGGCCGGGUAUUUGAUUUAAUUUAAUAGUCUACUGCCACGUUAAUUAAAUAGAAUCCGUAAUUGUUCAUUUAGUUAACACCUCGUGGCAACCACCAUAAUUGGCUUUAUGAUGGGAAAACGCAAGAUCUAAUUUAAAUAAACCCUCUUAGCGUAUUUAUUGGUUAGGGUUGGAUUCUUCUAGCUUUAAUGCAAUUGGGUAAUUAAAUUCUCACGGUCGUACCUAGGGUUGUUAUCUGGUUAGAGAAGCAGUCAAUGGUUGUACCUUGACUAUCGAAAAAGUAAGGAAGAACUGGUUGUCAGAGCUUAUUGAUAACUAUAACCAACCUAGUGAUGAAUGGAUGAAAUACCUUUGCAUUGAUGAGCAUCUGUCUUGAGUCCAUUGAAGUGCCGUUGGUUGAGUAAUUUCUGCGUCUUUUUGUUGAAUUGGAAGGCUAUUGUGACACUUCCAUUGCACUUUCGGAAUGCAUUGUUUCUGUAUUUGACUAAAUUCAGGCCACCAGUGCUUCUUGAUUGCAAUCACUGUGCUGUUGGGGUAUUUGUACAGCUUUGAGUACCUGAAUUGUGUUUGUGUUGGUUGGAGUACCAUUUAUAGAGAAUGGUGAGACCUAAAUCCUCCUCUAGGUCUAGGACACCUAGAACUUCUCAGCCUCCUCCCACCCUAGGGGCUAACGAUUGGCUCCAACUCCGAAUGCAAGUUAAGAGACCGGAGAUUCGAGUGACCCACAUUGACAUCAACUUGCAUACCAUGGUGCAGAAUUUGGCAACAAUUAUGCACCAUGCGGGUCUUGUUCCUCAGUUUCCGUCUGACCCACCCCUGUUUUGACGACUUCAGGGAAGCACCGGUGCUCUUUUGCUUACUUUUGCUAUUAAAUUAUCACAUUGAGGGCAAUGUGUGAUUUAGGUAUGGGGGGGAUCAGUUGUGGUACUAGUAUUUCCAGUUUUUGAUUUUUAAGUGUUUUUCCUUUGUUUUUAGUUUGAUAUUUUUCUCUUUUUCGUUUAUUUCUUUUAUUCGUGAUCAGCUCUUAUUUGAAUACCAAGUUUUGAUGUUGGAUUGUUGCCUCUAAUUCUGCUCUUGCCAAGUUUUAAUAAUAAAAGGGUAUCAAGUUAAUAUGGUUGAAUUCAGGAACAUCUCUUUGGUGAAUAUCAAUAAUUGCUUAACUUUUCCAAGUUUUGGUUAACUUUUCUAGGCAUAGGGAAUGAUUGUUGGCAUUUUUCAUGUAAAUUGGUCCAAUUAUUAAUUUUAGUUCUCUAUGUUUGGAAAUUUGAGGCUGACUGCUGUUAUUUUUAGUUAUUGUGUUAUAUGAUUGUAAAUAAUAGAUAACUGUACUCCAUUAGUUGUUACUACUGAGUAACCGGGGAUUUUCACCUAAAGUGUCGAUUCUCAUGUCAAAAGGUAGCAGUUACUAUGAGUGCGUGGUCCCGUAGCGAUUGGAGCUAAGUAACCGGGCUCCUCCAUCUGUCAAAUGUUGGAGUUCGCAUCAAAACGCUCUAAGGGUUAUAAACUAAGUCUUUUGUUAUUCAAAAAAAAAAAAGAAAAAAAGAAGCAGAAGAAAACAAAAGAAGCAGAUUGUGUUAGUAUAUGAAAAAGUCAGCUUGCCGAUUUGUGAUCUUAAUAUCGAGAUUUUGGUUAAUAGUUGGACCGUUUGCUGAUAAAUAUGAGCAACCAUUCCUUUUUCUUAGAUUAGUUUGCUUUAAAUUGGAAGAGUUGGUGGUUGGGAAGCUAAUCGGGGUAAUUUUUCUUUGAUCUUGACCUGUGAUGCUUGAUAUAUGUUUUUCUGGAUAUCUUGGCAAUACGGUAGUUGGAGCAAUAGCCAUUGUCAAAUUUUGGUGUUCAAUUUCUGCUCUCAUGCUUGAGGGCAAGUAUGGUUUAGGUGUGGGGGGAAUUGAUAGGGUGUUAAUUGUUAAUAAUUUUAUUGCUAUUUUUCCCCUUUGUCCUUGCCAAAUAUUAUUUUAAUUGUUAACAUAUACUUAUUUUUGGUAUUUGGACCAAUCUACAGGAAGUGGAACUGACAAAUGCUAAAAAGGAGAUUUUAUUGAGAAAAAUCCUUCACAUGCUAGAGCCUCCAGCGGAUAUACAAGUUGGGCCCACAUGGUGUUACAAAUUCGGUUGCUGAUGGGGAGCUCUUAUUAUUGGGAGUUGACUUGUACGUGUAGGAGUCCUCCUACCAAGAGGAAACAAGAAAAAAGGAAUUCGGCAGAGGCCCAUCUUUUGUACUUAGCUUUCUCAAUUCGGUAGGGACCAUGGACUAGAGGUUUUCAUUAGUGAUUGGACUUUAAAAGGGAAGAAACGUAUAGAGGCUUGGGGAUUAUUAUGAUUAGCGUAGCUUUAGUUUUAGUGGUUAGCUAGCGUUUCCUUUUCAUGCGCACGAGGUGCUCGACAAUAUUUUUCAACGGGAAAAAAAAACAUCUUUUACUCUUGCUUUCUAGUGAAAAACUUGAUGCCUUUGCAAUCAAUUAAUUUGCGUGGAGAUUUAAUUAUGCGGCGUGGCUAAGCCUUUCAUCUAGUUAAGGAUCAACUCGAUGGUACAGUCCCAAAUAUCUGUGAGAUCUAAUUAGUUUUCACGCGUUUCUUAAUUUGUUAAUAUUUGCACGUUGCCUAUUUGAAUUUUCAAGGGAUUAUUUUGUUAAUUGGAUGUCAAGGGCCCGAUGUUCAAUAUGGCUUAUUAAUCUCCUUCCAAAUUAGUCAAUUAAAUCCGUAAUUGUUUGAUUGAUUAAUAUUAGUGGCAACUGGCGUGUUUAUACACUAGGGGAACGUGCAAUCUAAUUUAAAUAACGCUCGUAGCGUGUUAUUGAUCGGGGUUAGGUUUUUCUAGUUAUUAAUGCAAUUGAAAAAUUAAUUCCUACGAUCGUACCUAGGAGUAUUUUCUGAUUAGGAAUAAUCAAUGGUCGUACCUUGAUUAUCAAUAAAUAAAAGAAAAAUUGGUCGUUAGAAUUCGUCGGCGACUAUAACUAGCCUAUUAAUAAAUUAAGUGAACCUCCCUUGCAUCAAUGAUCGAGUAAGUGGACUGUGUCUGAGUAGUUGUAUCAUUGGCUAGAAUUUAUCUAUUCUUGAUUUAAUUCCUGCCUAUAUUCGUGCAAGUUAAUUAUUUAUUUUUAGUGAAUUUUUUAAUUAUUUUUAGUUUUACUCCGAUAAAAUCCUCCUUUAUCAAUUGGAAUCUCAAAGAGACAAAUAUCCCCAGUCCUUGAGGAGAUGACUCUACUUGCCACUGUCUACUAUUUAGUAAGUUUUGUCAACUAAUUAAUUCUGAUAUAUCGGAUUAAGCAAACUUUUCGAGAAUAGGGUGAAUCAAGUAACCCAUUACACACCUAGAGUCCCUGCUCCAGUAUUUAGGAUUAAUUAUUGACUGUUUUUAGUGGUAUUUAUAUUUUUAUUAUUAUUAUUGCAUAGGCUCGACACCUGUCAAUUUUUGUGAUGUUGACCCAAACAACAAAGGACGGGUUAUGUGAUGUUGACCCAAAUAACAAGUCUUCACUAGUGAAUGUGAUAUUUGUGAUAUCCACCUCUUUAUUACCAGUGGGCACGUGAGUUAUCUCACAAGGAGAUUCGCGAGUAUCAUCCUUUGUUCUUCAAUAUCAUCAACUUGCGUUGUGUGACAUGAGACCAUAUCAAUAUCAAAGAAUCUUUUAGAUAUGAAUUCUUUUAAAAUGAUAGAAACUCGCGACUUUUGCUUGAAUACUUGAUUUUCUUGAAGAUUGUGAUUAUUAUUAUUUUUCUCUAUAUUCUUCUCUUUUCUCUUCCAGACCAUUCUACUUCUUGUUAAGGCCUUGUUUACCUUAUUAGAUGGACGAGAGUUUCAUCUUCAUCUUCGCGUGAUCAGAGUUCAUCCAUCAUCAUCUACGUCUGAUUGUAAUGACUUCUCAUCUUCAUAUUCAUAUUUUUGAAGAGCUGAAGGGGCGAUUUUUUGUUCAACUUCUAUAGGAUCAAAUGAUCCAAAUUGAAUGGUUGGCAAUAUAGGUAUCGUAAACUUUUCGACUUCCAUGGACUGUAGUGAAUCAACGGAGGUUUGAUUCAUACUUGCUUUGUUUUUUUCAAGAAAAUUUUUUUCUUGUCUUGCCAAAUCCAUCAUCUCAUCUUUAAAGACAAAGUAUUUUUGAAUGGGAUGUCCAACCAAGCAAUGAUACUUGAUUUGGAUCAUCCGUAUUACUAAUCUCGUCAAGUCAGUUCAUCUUGGAAGCAUGAUCAAGUUCAUGCUUAACAAAUUAUCAAAUAUACUAGGAACAUCAGAAUCAAGGAAAUUGUACUUCUUGUUUUGCAUCUCCUUGAGUGUUGGUUUUUUCUUUCCUUCGUCUUGAUGCAUACUGGUUUUCUUGUCUUCUCUUUUAGCAGUUCUGAGAAUAAUCUUGAAAGGUGUUAUACUUGCAGCUAUGGCCUCUUUCUCACUUUGAUUGGGGGCUUGCCUCCUUUCCUCACUUCUUGUUUCUCCUUAGCCUUGCGAGAAUCAGGAAUUGGCGGCUCUUGUCCAUCAAGGUUAAUUUCUAUCUUAUGAGUUUUUGGGGAUAAUUCAUCAAAUAUUUCUGGUUAUACCCCUUACAAGAUAUAUCUGAAUCCCCAAUGCAAGUCUUGAAUACACAUCUCAAUAGCGGAAGACUCGAAAAUUCGAUCCUUACAGUUUAGGCUUAGAUUUUUUCGAGCGAUUGAUAAAGUUAAUAACAUGUUCAUUCUUUCACUAGCACAUAUUUUAGAGUUCAAUUAUGCUGACAGUCCUUUUCGUGCUAUAGAAGCAAUUAAGGAAUUCCUACUCUAAUUGCUCCCAACUGUCAAUGCUGCUAGAUUCUAAAUCUGUGUACCAAUCAAACGUGUUACCCUUCAAUGAGUGAACAAAUUGCUUAACUAGCAAGUCACCAUUAGUGCCAGCAUUGUUACAAUUUUCGACAAAGUGCGCAAUAUGUUGUUUAGGGUUACCUUUGUCAUCAAAUUAUUGAAACUUUGAAAAUUGAAAUCCUACAAGCAUCUUCAAACAUUUACUCUUGUGGUGUAAGGUUUGAUAUAAUUGCUAUAUGACUUGGUAUUUCCACCAAUCUUGUCCUUGAUCGUACCUUUGAUAAACUCCUUUAAAUUAUCAACAUGAAUGGUACUAUCAGGAGAGAUUGAAAACUCCUUCAUUAUUCGUGACUUGGUAUCCUCUUUCUCUUUCUUCCUUGAUGAUGAGUUACCUUCAUAUUUUUUACCAUGGCCAUUAGUUUGGCUAUUUUGGCAUCUUGACUUUGCACGUGCCCUGCUAGCCCUUCGACAAUUUGGCAAGAUUUGAAAUUUGAUCUCUACGGUUGUGGUGUUAGUCAUCAUGAUGGGCAUUACCACAGAAGUAGCUAAAUUGCUUGAGCUAUCAGCAGAUUCAUCAUGGACUCCCUUCUUGUUGGGAAAAAUCUCAAAAUUUUUUCUUUCAACCACAGCAUUCGCCUUAACCCUAUCUACUAAUUUCUUAGCCUUGCUCCUUGUCAUAGGUGUAGUAUACUGCAUCUCCUGAGUUGUUGGGAUGCCAGCAACUGAGCCUUCAAGAGCAAAACUCAUCUUCUUGGACUCCAUUGAUUCUUGAAACAAGUAAGCUAUUCAAAGAAAAGAGAUGAAAAACAGAGAUGGUCCCACCAGACGUGUCAUAAAAUUUGUGAGCAUAAAUUUUGUUGCCUAAAAUAAAGACAAGAAAAUUUGCAUAAAUAUCAAAUUUAUUAAAUCAAAUAAUAAAUGGGUUAUAAUUUUUGAAAAUUCUUGAAUUAAAGAUAUUAAUCUUCUAAUUCUUCUCUUCAAAAACUUCAAUUGAAGGGUUGAAAAGACUUGUUUACCGAUCAAGAGGGUGUUUCCUACGAUUUUGACAUAGAAAACCGCUGAUUUGAUGAUGACGUUAAAUAGUUGAUGUUGGGUUUGGAUUUUAUUCCACCAAUCGUUCAUUUUGUUGGAUUUGAGUUUUAUACCACCAACUGUGGGAUAAAACCCAAUCCCAAUAAAAUGAACGGUUGGUGGGAUAAUACUCAAAUCCAAUAAAAUGAAUGAUUGGUGGGAUAAAAUCCAAACCCAACACUUGUAUCUUUAAAUCUUCAAUGUCGAUAGAAGGAGGAUUUAUUUUAACUUGAUUUGGAUUUGAAUUUAAGGGAAAAUGCUCUCGAGAGAAUUUGACAGAAUUUCUUCAAAAUUUAGAAAUUUCAAUGUGUUUUUGUACUAAGAGAAUACCUUUAUUUAUAGGCAAAAUAUGUAGAUUAUGUCUUCAAGAAAAUUCUCCAGAACCUUCUUGCGUUUGGGUAACUUGUACCUCAAGAAACUCAUUUAACUUAGGUUUAAAUAGUGGGCCUAUUCAAAUAAUCCAUUGUGAAUUAAUACAUCAAUUAAUCCACUUUAAUUUAAAUGGGUAACACAUUGAUUUGAUUUGAUUUAAUAGCCCAUAUAUCAUUGGUCUAUUUUGUCAAUCAAAACAUAAUAGACUGCUAUAAUUUAAUUUAAUGUAAUCAAGAUCAAUUUAAUUUAUUUAAUCUUGACUAAAUAAAUUUUCUUUGUCUACAGCAUGUACGUGUAAUUUUCCAAAUAAUGAUACUUUUCAAAGAGAGUUUUCAAAUAAUGAAAGUUCUAAAACAAGGCAUUCACCGAAUGCGUGAAUGUAUCUUUUUAAACAACGCAUUUAGUCAAUACGUUUUUAAGGAAAAAUGCCUAUACAAAUAAAAGAAUGAAUUCUAUAAAUGUGUCUUUUGAGGAAACAACACAUUUACUAAGUACGUUUUUUCACUCUUUGGGAAGAAGUUCAAAAAACACCACCAUUUGAAAGGUAAUUUUAGAAAAUCCCACUUUUUGAGAAUUUACUCAAGCUUGUACUUGACAAAAUGUGUUGGGAAAAUUGUGACGUCAGGUGAAUUGUAAAACUGUUGUGCCAUCGUAAUGUAUGUUUUGCACUAGAUUGAGUAAGAAUUAUAUCAAAAUAGUCGGCCACAAUAUAGGAAUGUGAAAACUUUGUGUUAAGUAAGUUGUAAUAUUUUUGUAUCAUCUAACGUAUAUUUGAAAACGAUUGAGAAUAUAAUAUAUGGAAACAACAGGUCACAAUGUUGAAAUGUCAAACCUCUUGUUUCAAACCAAAUACUUAUUAAACUCCUUCAUAUCGCUAACGAAUUUUGAUUCUGAAGUAAUAAUAGUUUUAUUUAAUUAUUUGCCUUUUUUGGAACAAUAUUAAAAUGUAGCCAUAAAUUUAAAUUCCAAAAUUGUUGAAUACUUGAGGAAUUCUAGAAAUGGCACUGAGAGUCAAAGUUCACCUUAUUCAAAAGUCACCAGCCAUCUCAGAGUGCAUGUUUCUAUUGAGUUUCAGGUUCAAUGUGUACCCACUUCCACUUUUGGCUGAUCAAUCAGGACUAAGGUUCCGUUUGAUAAAACUGAAUCUGAAUUCUGAAAUCUGAAUACUGAAACAAUUAAUUUGCUGAAUUUUAAGUUCUGAAAAGAAAUAUAUGAAUGUCUGAAUUUUAAUGUUAAAUCUAUUUCUACUGUUUGAUAAACAUUUAUAACUGAAUGCUUAAUAAGUUAAAUUUGACAAAUUUGCCCUUAAUCUUUUCAUCCAAAAAAGAAGUAGAACCUAUGAUUUAAUUAGGUAAAAAUGUUAGGUAUGAAAAUGACAAUAUUUAUUUUUAAAUCAAAUUAAUAUAAAAGAUGAAAUAUAUUAUAUGCGGAGUGGAGAAGAUGUAAAAAUCAUUCAAAAUGGAGAAAAAAGAAAUAGAAAAUCAUUAGAUAGAGAAUAUUAGAUUGUUUAAUUAGAUAAGAAUUUUGAACAUAAUUAACAAACAAUGGUAGAUUUGAUAGAUAAGAUAAGGUAAUUGAAGUAAUUCUAUUGAUUCUUAUCAGAAUUAAGUAUUCAGUUAGGAUUUUUGUGCUGAAAAAAAUACACACAAUUUCAGCACUACUUAACAAGUUCAGCAAAUAGAUUUUCAUUUAUCAAACAUUCAAAACAUCUAAAUGUCUAAAAAAAUUUAGAUUCAACACUUUUUUAUAUUAUUAAACAGACCCUAAGAGAAUAAAAUAACUUGCUUGCUGUUAGCGAUGGCAACGGGGCGGGGUUGGGGCGGGGGACCCCUCCCCCGUCCCCCGCCCCGUUGCCUAUUAGUUCCCCCUGUCCCCCGCCCCCCCCCCCGCUUCCCCCGCGGGGUUAAUAAAAUUUUAUUAUAAUUAAAUUUUAAUAAAUAAUCAAUUACUAAAAUAUCAACACAUCACCAAAUUAUUAUUCAUUGUAAUUUUACAAUUAAAACUCAUAAAAACAAUCAAACAAAAGUUAUUUGAAUACAAUCCAAUAUGAUGAAAUAAAUAUAACUAAAAUAGUUAAGUUUUCGCUUUUAGUACAAAUGCAAUCACUAAUUCAUUAUUGUGUUUGUGCUUUUCUUUUGAGAAAAAAGUGUUAUUCUAUUAAGUGUAAUUAGAAAUUUAGUAUAAAUGUAUUAGUAAAUUUAGUAUAACUAAUUAAUAAAUUUUAUUAGUAGACAUGUAUAAUUAUUCAUAUAAUUGAUAAUAUCAAUUAUAUUACAUAAACUACUAUACAUUAUAUAAUACAUCUAACUAAUAAUAUCAUUAUCAUAAGUUUAUAACUAAUUAACUUACAUAUUAUAUAUAAUUAUAUAUAUAUUUUUUUUAGGGUGGCGCGGCGGGGGAUGGGGCGGGGGUAUACUCCCCCGUCCCCCGCCCCGUUUCUAAGCGGGGGGAAAAAUUCCCCCCCCCGCCCCAACCCCCGCCCCGAGAGCCCCCCGUGGGCACCCGCCCCCAUUGCCAUCCCUACUUGCCGUUUUUAAAAAAGGAUUCAUUAUUUUUUCUUUGAGCAUUGGUAUCUCCACCCUCAAUGACACUAAUCUGGAUUCAAUAUGAGGAGUGUCCGUAGAGGCUGACUCUUACUCGAGAGUAAAGACUUGACCCAGAGCUUUUCAAGGCGUCAUCAUAUGUAGGAGUCAAACUUAUGAACUCUGUGCAUAGAUAAUUUAGCUCCAGUCUGUGGAAUGUCUUGAUGUUAGGUGAGUUGUAAUAUUUUGGUAUCAUCUAAUGAAAUUUUUAAAAGAUUGAGAAAUAAUAUAGAGCAAAACACCAAUUUAUUCCCUAAAUUAUUUUGCUAAAAUCAAAAUACUCCGUAAAUUUAUUUUGAGUCAGUUUAGUCCCCCAACUAUUUUUACAAAGCUGAAAUAGUCCUUAAACUUUAUUAUGAGCCAAUUUAGUCUCUCAACUAUUUUGUUUAAGUGAAAUAGUACCCCACCUUUAUUUAUUUGGCCAGUUUGGUCCUUGUUUGACUCAUCCACCCAAUUUAUCAACCUUGUGCACUAACAAUCAGGGGCAAAAUAAGAAAUUUAGUCAAUGCCCUUACUAAAAUGAUAGAAGAAUUAGAUAUCUGGCAAAAUUAAAAACAAAAUUGAAUCAUAUAGAGAACAAAAAAAUAUAGUGUUUCUUAUGGAGGAAAAAAAUGGAGCUGAUGCCUAAAAUCUCACAUGGAUCCAACUCAGUCCAUUGAAUGGAGAAAAGGGAAAAUAACACAACAAGAAUAUGUUAAAAGUUGGAAAAUGUGCUAUAAUUAUGAUUACUCCUUUAAGAAAUAAAGCUGAAAGAAGCUCAAUUUCUUUUUGUUUUCCAUAUUAUUCAAUUUCGUUGUCGAUUUUUCGAUAGAUGUAUGUUUUUUUUUUUGUUUUAAUAAGGGCUAUGAUUGGAUUUCCUAUUAUGCCAUUGGCUGUCGAUGCUACACUUGAUAAAUUAGAUGGAUCAUCCAAAUAAAGACAAAAUUGGCUAUGUAAACAUUAGUGAGGGACUAUUUCAGCUUAAGAAAAAUAGUUGAGGGACUAAAUUGGCUUAUAAUAAAAUUAGGGACUAUUUCAGCUUUGUAAAAAUAGUUGAGAGACUAAAUUGACUCAUAAAAUGUUUAGGGACUAUUUUGACAUUAAGGAAAUAGUUUUGGGACUAUAAACAUUAGGUCACAAUGUUGAAAUAUCAAAACCCAUGUUUUGGACCAAAACUCAUAGAACUUCUUCACGUCGCUAACGAAAUUUGAUUAUGAAGUAAUGCUAAUUUUAUUUAUUAUUUGUUUCCUUGCUGGUCUUCUGUCUUUUUGGUUAUUCCAAAAUUGUUGAAUAUUUAAACGAAUUCUAGAAAGGGCACUGAGAGUCAAAGUCUUAUUCAAACAGCCAGCUAUCUCAAAGUACAUAUUUUUUUAUUAUCAGGUUCAAUAUGUAUCUAUUGCAAUUUUUGAAUGACCAGCCAUGACUAAGAGAAUAAAAUAAUUCACUUGCUGUUUUUAGAUAUGAAUUCAUGACUGUCAGUAGUCUAUAAAUACACUUAUUGCUCACCACUCUUUGCACCGCAAAAUCUCUUCAAGAUCCAACAAACCCUCCUGUUCUUGGUCUUUGUCCAUUUGUGAAAAAACAAAUUAAAGCGUCAUGGCCCCUAUCACUUGUAGUGCUGAGAUGACCUCCCCAAUCCCUCCUGCAAGGUUGUUCAAGGCCGCCAUCCUUGAUGACCACCCUUAAUGCCACAGGCUAUUAAGAGUGUGGAAAUCCUUGAAGGAGAUGGUGGCGUUUGAACCAUUGAGUUGAGCACAUUUGGUGAAGGUUAGAUGUUAUAUUAAAUGUAGAACCCCAAAUUUAAGGAUCUAAUAAUAAUCAAUGCGUGCAGGGUUACAGAAUUGGAGGGAUAAAACAAAUACUCAAAAUAUACGUGGAAGAAAAGAAAAAUAAUAAAUUCAACUCACAAUAUUAUUGAAAUUUCAAACAAUGAAGAAAAUCAUACCACAAUGAAUUCAACUGGUUCUAAUAAUAAUCAAAGCAUACAAGGUUACAGAAUUAAAAGGAUAAAACAAACACUCAAAAUAUAUGUGGGAGAGAAGAAAAUAAUAAAUUCAACACACAAUAUUAUUGAAAUCUCAAACAAUGAAAAAAGUCACACCAUAAUAGAAAACCUUGCUAAUGCUUCUAGAUUCUUUCUCUUGAGAAACCAACCUAAAUAAUGUUCUAUUUAUAAUCUACCAAACUUGUUAGGAAAGAAACCACUUGCAUAAGAAAUUACCAAAUAAUACAGAAAUUCCUAAAUCACACAACUACUAAAAACAUAACUCAAAUAAAACUAAAAAAUAAAUAAAUAUUACUAGGCUUAGUUUAAUUUGUCAACAUUGCCUCCUUUAAACCAUACUAUCCAUUGAGAUAGGUUCAACACCAUCUCGAGCAAUAAUUUCUAUGCAAAUCUAUGUUGUAGUACACUUGACAUGAAACUCUAACUUGUUACCAGUUAUUAAUUUCAUUUUUACACGUAACAGUGGACACACUAUGUAUUGUGUAAACAACUUCUCAGCAAUUUCUUCUUGAUCAAAGAACUCACUUAUACAAACCCAUUCAUCACCAGAAUCACCAUAUUUACCACCAAUGUAAGUGCCUAAAAAUACAAAAUCAUAGAUUUCUUUCUCGCUAAAAUUAUCAUCACCAAAUAAUUCAAAAUAACCACUACUACAAUCAUCCAAAAUUUUCAUACUGUCAGUCAACUCUUUUGGAGUAAAAUAUUUUUCAACUCCGAUGACAUCCAUAUCUAUUAAAUCAAACAUUCUCCCAUCACUUUGAAGAGAGUCCGAACCAACGAAUUUUUCAACAACAAUUUCAUGUUCUCUUCUCUUAUCAAAUCAAAAUUUUUUUCUUCUUUUGUCAAAUUACCAUAUUAUUUUUUUCAACAAAUUCAUUACUUCUAAUUUCUCCAAACAAGGUACGCAAAUCAAAACUAUCAAUUGAUUCAAAAUUUUCGAUAUCACCCAUAUUAUCAACAAAUCUAUCAUUUUUAAAAUCCACAAACCAAUACCAAUAAAUAGACUUCGGUUUGAAAGCAUAAUUUCUCCCAAUCGUGUGCAAAACAUAGUAAAUAUCCUUCCAAAAUCUCUAAAGUAUUUUAAUUAGUACGACCAAUAAAGGUUUUAUAAACACUUUUUGCCAUUAUUUUACGCAUCACUUGAAAGAAUAAUUGUGCCUUUUUCUUAAAAACAUGUUUUGACAACUUACUUGCAUCAACCCAACAAAGAAUAUCAUCCAAAUUACAUUGUUUAACAUAUUUUUCCACUAUUAAAAUCCAACCAAAAUAUGUAUGUCCAUUUGUGCUUAUAGGAGUCAAUAUGAAAAAUUUUUCACCGUGAAUCAGAUCUUUAUAAUAUUCCAUUAUUUAACAAUUUGUAUACCUGGAUAAAUUUUUUUCCUCCAUCCUGUCAUGUUUUCUUGGCCUCCCUGGUUGACUAACCAAAUUAUUGUUGUAUGUAUACCCAUGCUCGUCAAACCUCAUUUGUGUACACUCGUAAGGAGUGGUUCUGAGCUUCUUGUGAAUGCUCAGUACCAAGAAGUAGAAGAGAGAAUGCAUAAGAGAGAAUUAACUUGGCUAUAGAAAUAGGAAACAAUUGAGGGAUUUUUUAAGAAAUUAAUUCUCCAGCUACCACUUUUGGAAAUUUUCUAUCAACAACUAGUUACCAAAACACUAGCACAUAAUAAGAAAUCAGGAUAAUUUCAGAAACCUCCCUUGAGGCUUUUAAUAACCUCAAGAAGCUCCCCUCAAUAUUUUAAAAUUACACGUACCUUCCCUAUUGGUGCAAAAGUACUCUACUACCCCUAAUAGGAUACUCAAAAGACUUUUUUUUAUGGGAAAAAUGAAGCUCAGAAAUCCAAGCAAAAUCAAAAAAAUCAAUUGAUUUUCUCUUUUAGCCUUUUACACUUUUGCCUUCUACCUUUGCUCACUUUCCCAUCCCAAUCUUCCUACACCCGCUUUCCCAAUCCCCUUUCCCCAACUUUUCUCCUCUACUUCAAGACCAAUUUUUGUCUAUCUAUCCUGGCUUGUGCUUUGUUCCAUUCCCUUCCCUUCUCCUUCUUUGAUUUCGCCUACAUCUCCCUUUCUCUUUGCAAAAGUGACUAGGCUCAUGUCUCUCUUUUUCCCCCCUAUUCUAAGUGUAGUGGGUUUGAUUAUUUUGCAUCUAUUUUAUUUGAUUUGGGUUGAUUAUGGGUGAUAGAACUUGGCGAUGUCAAAUAUCAAAAGUUUGAUAGAUGGAUAUUGGGCUUUAGACAAUGAUUUGCUGAAAAAAAUGGCUGCAAUGAGACAAAGAGGCAAGGGGAUUUGAGUGUGGGGUUGAUUGUUGAUAAAUUGUUGUUUUGGACAAAAUUUGAGGUUGAGUUUUAUUAAAUUUGAUAGCAAGUGGCGAGUUUUGUUCAGGUUGCGGGAAAUAAAUUAGAUUGUGGUUUCUUGGGCACCCACAGUUGUUGGAAUUGGUUUUGAUUCAAAUUAGGGUGGUUACUUGAUUUUCCUAAUAGUGUUGCUUAAAAGCACACGAUCAUCAAAAUUCCUUAUUUUUAUCUUUUGUUUUUUCUUGUAGAAAAGAUUUCACGACUUUCGUGAUAGUCUAAUUUGGAAGAAGGCAAUCAAGGGAUGCAAUCAACAUUUAGCAAAAGCUCUUGUUCUUUCCUUUGUAAUUUUUAGGGUAAAAAGGGUAGUUUAGGGUAUUUGAAGGAAAUGAUAGUCUAUUGGGUCUAUUUUCAAGCAUAAAUAGUGAACGUAAGGGAGGUUGGUGUAAUUUCUGAAACCUAAGGGAAAUUGUCUGAAAUUGUUCGAGACCUCAGAGGAGGUUUUCGAAAUUAUCCCUAAGAAAUCAAAUGCGAAACUUGAUUAGUACACGCACACACGACACCGCACCACGCCGCGCGUGUGUUGAGGAUUGGUGUCCGUAACCAACGACAAGCAGGUUUUCAAUUUUUUUUUCCUUUCCUGGAUUCUCCAGAGAUGGUGUCAGCUUCUAUUAUUGAUGAGCAGGAGGAAAUCCACAAUAUACAGUACACAUCACCCAUAUUCUUUUUAAUUGAACAAUGUAUGAAAUUAUGGUGAUUCGAAAUUAAAUUAUAUGUUUAUUGGGCACUGAAUCCAAAAUAAGAGUUGGAAAUGUAUUGUGACAACAAUUGUUAACAUAGGCCACAAAUGAUCAAAACAAAUAUUUAAGGUUUAAUAUGACAUUAUGGGUUCAGAAUAUAGUUACUUGUUAUGAAACAACUAAAAGUAUGGAUAUCCAUUUGUAUUUUCAAGAGGAUCAAUUCAUAAUUCAUUGCUCCCAAGAGGAUUAAUUCAUAAUACAUUGCUACAUUAUGUAAAGGAAUUGCAUUGGAUGAACGGUUUCAAUCCAUAAAAGCUAUUUAUGUAUUGGAUGAACCGUUUCAUAUGGCUAUUCAUGUUCUUGUAGUAAUGAGUGUUUAAUAGAAUUGAUGUACCUUUAAUUUUGUAGUACCUAUAUAUACAGGUACUUUGGCACCUCUUGGGUAUACUUUUUGAUUAGUUGGAAUAAUAAGAAAAUUAUUCUUCAUUUCUGUACUUCUUUCUCUAAUAUUUCAAUUCCUAUUAUAGUAGUUCAUUUUUUUUAGUUUUACAACACGUUAUUAGCAUGAGUCUCUACUUUUGAACAAAAAGGUGAAAACGGAGCCUCUACCUUAAAAAAAAGUGAAACACGAGAUUCUGCCAAAAUUUUGCCCGUAUUUUUCCGGCAACUUCUGUCCACUUAUUGAGAAAUGGAUGCCAAAUAUUUGGGAUUAAAUAAUGGUGAUGAUGAUAUUUGUCUCAUUGAUAGUGCUACUACGCACACUAUAUUGAAAAAUAAAAAAAAAAUUUCUUGUAUGAAAAUGGGAGAGACAAAUGUUAAUACCAUAACUGGUAGUGCAAAAUUGAUUGAACGCUCCGGAAUAGCCUCUCUAUUUCUUCAUGAAGGGACUAAAAUUGUCGUAAAUAAUGCACUACUGUCUCCCAAGUCUCGGAGAAAUUUAUUGAGUUUUAAAGAUAUCUGCGAAAAUGAAUACUAUAUAGGGAUAAUGACUGAGACAAAUGGAGAAUUUUUAUUAAUCACAAGUAUCAUUUCUGGGCAGAAAUGCGUAGUAGAAAAAUUACCUUCUUUUUCUUCUAGCUUAUAUUAUGCACAAAUUAGUGCAAUUGAAAUUUAUCACCUAGUAGACCAGAAGUCUACUCAUCCCAAUAAUUUUAUGAUUUGGCAUGAUCGUCUCGAAAAUACUGAAUCUAUAAUGAUGAGACGAAUAAUCAAGAAUUUACAUGGUCACUCAUUGAAAAAUUAAAAGAUAUUAAAAGCAAAUGAAUUCUCCUGUGUUGCUUGUUCCCACGGAAAAUUAAUUAUUAGACCAUCACCAGUUAAAGUUGGGACUGAAUUCCCUACAUUUCUAGAACGAAUUCAUAGUGAUAUAUGUGGACUCGUAGAUCCACCAUGUGGACCAUUUCGAUAUUUUAUGGUGCUAAUUGAUGCAUCAACUAGAUGGUCACAUGUAUUUUUAUUAUCUACUCGCAACUUGAUAUUUGCGAGAUUGCUUGCUCAAAUAAUUAAAUUGCGAGCACAAUUUUCAGACUAUCUAAUAAAGAAAAUUCAUUUAGAUAAUGCUGGUAAAUAUUCGUCACAUGCUUUUGACAAUUAUUGCAUAUCUAUUGGAAUAACUAUUGAACAUCUUGUAACUUAUGUUCACACACAAAAUGGUCUAGCCGAAUCAUUUAUUAAAUGGUUACAAUUAAUUGCUAGACCAUUGUUGAUGAGGUCUAAACUUCCUUCAUCUGCUUGGGAAUAUGCUAUAUUAUAUACAGCAAUACUUGUGAGAAUUAGACCGACAAGUUAUCAUACUUAUUUUCCUCUAUAAUUAACUUUUGGUUAUAAGUCAAAUAUUUCUCAUUUACGAAUAUUUGGUUGUUCGGUUUAUGUUCGAAUUGCACGGCCCCAAUGUCGUAAAUUGGGUCCACAAAGAAGAUUGGGGAUAUAUGUCGGAUAUAAAAUCACCUUUAAUUAUUAAGUAUAUGGAACCAUUGACAGGUGAUUUAUUUACUGCAAGAUUUGCAGAUUGUCAUUCUAAUGAAUCACAUUUUUCGACAUUAGGGGGAGAUAAAAAUCAAUCGAAAAAGAAAAUCACUUGAAAAAUAUCAUUCAAUUUUCUCGAUUCUCGUACCAAAGAAUGUAAACUAGAAGUUCAAAGGAUUAUACAUUUGCAAAAAAUUACAAAUCAACUACUGGACGUAUUUAAUGACUCCAGAAGAGUUAUUAAAUCACAUAUUUUUAUUGAAAAUACUCCGAUUAAAAUUAAUGUCCUUGAAGGACAAAUUACAAGUGUUAAUGAGUGUAAAGUGCGCCUGAAGCGUGGGAGACCUCUUGGUUCUAAAGAUAAAAAUUCUCGAAAGAAAAGAGAAAUUGAUGAAUCAACAAUUAGUGACAAAAUUCAACCUCCUGAAGAAGUCGCUCCUAAAGAGCCAAUUCUUGAAGAUAAUGAAAUUAUAGAAAAUUCAAUAAAUUUUGUCGCUUCAGGAAAAAGUUGGAACAAAAAAAAAUUAUUAAUAGUAUUUUUGCAUAUAAUGUAGCACUUGUUAUUAUGGUAGGUAAUGAAGAUCGUGAGCAUAGAUCGGUUGAUGAAUGUCGACGUAGAAAUGAUUGGCCAAAAUGGAAAGAUGCGAUUCAAUCUGAAUUGGACUUACUAGCUACAAGAAAAGUUUUUGGGCCUGUAGUCCAAACACCUGAAGGUGUAAAGUCAGUAGGAUAUAAAUGGGCAUUUGUGAGAAAAAGAAAUGAGAAAAAUGAAAUCGUGAGGUAUAAAGCAAGACUUGCAACCCAAGGAUUUUCACAAAGGCCUGGAUUUGAUUAUGAUUACACGUAUUCACCUGUAGUGGAUGCUAUCACAUUUAGAUAUCUUGUGAGUUUUGCAGGACAUGAAAAAUCAGAUAUGCAUCUAAUGGACGUCGUUACUGUAUAUUUAUAUGAAAAUUUUGAAAAUGAUAUUUAAACGAGAAUCCCUGAAGGAUUCAACAUGCCUGAAGCAUGCAAAUCAAAUUUUAAAGAUAUUUAUACUAUUAAAUUACAAAGGUAUUUGUAUGGGUUCAAACAAUCUGGACGUAUGUGGUACCGCCUCAAUGAAUGUUUAACUAAAGAAGGCUAUACCAAUAAUCUAAUACAUCCAUGUGUCUUUAUCAAGAAAAAUGGACUAAUUUUAUGAUAAUUGUUGUCUAUGUUGAUAAUCUUAAUCUGAUUGGAACUCUUGAAGAGAUUCAAAAUAGUGUUGAAUAUUUGAAGAAGAAGUUUGAAAUCAAAGAUUUUGGAAAAACAAAAUUCUACAUUGAUUUACAAAUUGAGUGAUAGGUUGCAAUUUUAUCAUUUAUUUUAUUAUUAAUUUUCCCUAUUACUUAACCCAAUGUGAAUUAAUUAUUAGAUUCUACUCACUUUUAGUAUUUUACAUAUAUUUCAGGGAGUAGAACGAAAAUACCAUAAUAAGUGCCGAUUUGACAGUUAUCAGGAAAGAGUUCAAGUAGCAGGCAUCCAGGGCAUUUUUGGAACAAGGAGAUACAAGUCCUUUUUGGUAAUUCGCAGAGCGCAGCAUUAAAAGGAGGAACGAAGGGCUGAAGUAGGGAGUCUUCUUCCCCCUGGGAGGAACCGCCGCACAGCAGAGGGCUGUCUGGUCCUCUUAGUUUUUCCGUUUCUUUAGUUUUAGCUUCGGAUUUUGACUUUUCUUCUCGUAGGAAUUUUGGGUAGCCUUGAGCUUAGCAACUUUUGUUGACCCUUUUUUGGCCUUUUAGCUAGUUUGUUCUUACGCAUGGAAGAUGGCUGAAUAGCUGAGGCUUGUUCUUUGUUUUUCUUUGACUUUUCCUUUUGGUUUGCUUCCUGCGGACGCCCAGACCGAAGGAAAACUAUGAAGUCCCUUUUGUAGCUUUCUCUCUUUAUUAAAUAGACGAAUUGAAUUCCCUCAACUUGCGAAUUGAUGGCCGCAGCUUUUGCUUCAAUUUCUUGUGGGUUUAGUUCAUUAAUUAUGAACUAAUUCUACAAUUCUAGUCAAGGGGACAACUGACGAUUUGGUUCGACAAUUACUGUGAGAUCGAAUCUGUUUUAAUUAUUUUCUUCAUUUAUUGGUAUUUAUAUGUUCCUUGAUUUUAAUUGCUAUGGCCUUGUGUAUGAUUGAUUAGUGCGCAAUAAUUAAUUAUUCAUAUAGGCUAUUUUGCUAAAUAGAGGUAAUUGAAUCCGUAAUUGUUCGUUAUCUCUAUCUUAGUAGCAACUGGCGUAAUUGGGUUUAUGUCAGGGGAGCAUAUGAUCUAGCUUAAACAAACCCUCGUAGCGUGUUUGUUGGUUAGGAUUGGGCCUUUCUAAUUAUUAAUGCAAUCUAGAAAUUAAAUCUUACGGUCGUACCUAGGGUUGUUUUUGGGUUAGAGAAAUAGCUAACGGUCGUACCUUAGCUAUCGAUAAAUUAAGGAAGGGUUGGUUGUUUAUCGCGUGCAUGACAACUAUAACCAAUCUAUUAAUAAAUGUUGGGAUUAUUUUUGCAUCAAUGAUCAGUGCAUGAACCAUUUCUGAAGUAUACCCUUGGCUAGAGUUUCUCUUAGUUAUUUCUUUUAAUUAAUUAUUUUCUGCAGUUAAUUUAUUUAGUUAGCAUUUAAUCCAAAACCCCCCAUACUUUGGACUCUAAAAGAAACAAUUACUCCCAGUCCCUGUGGAUUCGACCCUGCUCACCGCUAUCUACAGAAAUCACUUUUAGUUUGAGCAGGUAUUUAUUAUUGCACAGGCUUCGACGACCUGUCAAUCUUUGGCGCCGUUGCCGGGGACUGGUGCCAGAUUAAAUUGUUUCUUUUUGAGUUUAUCUUGUUUUCAUUUUUUUAAUUUAUUUUUCUCUUAUUUUUUAUUAUUAUUAUUAUUUUUUUUAUGGCUGCUAACAUUCCAUAUUUUGAUGAUAGACUGGAUUUUGUUCCUGAAUGGGGUUAUGAGACUCAUGUUUUUCCUAACGAUCAAUGGGCUGUUGCAAAUUGUGGAACUUAUUUUGACUCAAGUUAUUCAACUGACACAUGCCCCGUAUUUCAAGAUAAUUUAAGUUCUCCACUUGAUACUUUUGGAGAUUUUUCACCCCAAUAUCAAACGUGGUAUGACCCUUAUUCAAACGGGUAUGAUCAAGGAUGGUGGGAUAAUUCCAAUUUUGAUUAUGCGACCGGGCCAAUGGAUUUUCAACAGCAAGAGUCUCAGCAAUCAUCCUCCGUGUCAGGUAUGUCUCUUGAAGAAAUGAUAGGUUUACUAAUUGCUAAUUCAAAUCGAUUUCAUCAGGAGACACAAGCGAGCCUAAAUCGAUUUCAUCAGAGGACACAAGCGAGCUGUCGCGACCUGGCGGAUCAACUGCGUCAAUUGACAGCCAGGAUGCAGCGAUUAGAGGCUCACCUUGAAGAAUUGCCCUCGCAAACCAAUAUCAAUCUUGAGGAAGAUGAGAGUGCAAUUGUCCGGGCAAAUGACAUGGAACUGCAAGAGUUUCAAGAAAACGGAUUUAAAGAUGCAGUUGAAAAGGAAGCUGAAGUGCAAGAAAUGAGACUCCAAGAUCAACUCGUUCAAGUGAAUGAAUCCAGUGAACAAUCUCCAAAUGCGGUGACAUCUUCUCCACUCCUUAAUCAAUAUUUUCCUGGCUCCUAUUCUUCAACUCCUGUUACUGAAAUUGAUUUUAUUAUACCAGAAAAUUUAAAAUUUCAUGACAGGAAUAAGUUAAGAGUGGAGAUGGCAAAAUAUCUUGAACCAAUGAAUGCGUGUGAUGGAGGAGUGAGUGGAGAAUGCAGAUCAUUGUUGACUUGUUUAGCGCCAUUUACUAGUCCAUGGAAGCCCGUAACUCGUGUGCCCAAGAAUUACUCCAUCUAUGAGGGUUACCAGGAUCACGUUGAAGAUGAAGCAUUGAAGCGAGCCACAAGAUUUUAUCCUCCAUGAGCAAAACAUGAUAAUGUCUAGCCAAAGACAUUAAAGAAAGGCGCUCAUUGGGAGGCAACCCAAUUUCUUUUAGUUGUUUGUUUGAUUUUAUUUGUUAGUUUAAAUCUGUCUUCCUUGAAUUUGACUGAUUUUGGGUGUUAAUUUUCGUUUUUACUGAUUUGUAGGUGACCUUCAGUCAUGACGCGCCCGCGUGGUGACGUGCAGGAAGCUCACGAUCAGAAACUUCUGGGAGCUCUCUUACCCUCAUGACGUGCCCGCGUCAAGUCACCUGGAGAGUUCCAGAUUCCGUGCCUUCAUGGUGUGCCCACGUCACGUUCACGGGAGAGAUAAGUAUUUAAAAAAAAAAUUCAAAAACGAUUGUUGAUUGUUGGUUAUCUCUGCUUUUGAAUCUCGAAAAUAAAAUUUGCUAAUGAAAAUAAAUUUCAAAAAAAUAAAAAAAAAUUUUUUAAAAAAAAAAAUUUAAAUUUUUGUUUCACGGUAGCUUAGAUUUUCAAAUCCUAAAAAAAAAAAAAAACACAGAAACUCUUUCUUAUCAACGUAGCUUUAGUGUCAAAUAUUUUAAAAAAAAAAAAGUCUCAAAUGAAAAAAAAAAAGGGCUUUUCUUUUUCUUUCUUUUCUUUCUUUCUUCUUCUUUCUCUUUUCUGUCUUCCUUCUCCCCUGUUUCUUCUUCCUCUCUGUUGACCGAAGCCCUCUGUCCGCCGCCGCUGCUGAAGCGCCCUCAGCCGUCGCGCAGCAGCUCCUCACUCGAAGACGCCGCGGCCACAGCACCUCUGCACGCGGCCUCCACCUCUCCAUCGCGCGCCGUCAAGAGCUCCGCCGACCCACGACGCGCGAGGCACCAGCUCGCGCGCCUCCCCCACCUAGCAACUGCUGGCCGACCAGCCCCACCACCAGCCCGCGCCGCACCUGCUGGCCGACCUAUCAACUCCUAAGCUCGCGAACCUCCUCAGCUCAGCUCCACCAGCGAGCUGCUCCUCGCUCACUCCAUCGCGUGAAGACCAGGCGAGCACGGCCCGCAGCCUCUCACCGCCACUGCGCACCUCUGACCAGCUCGCAGCACCUCUCUCUGCCCUCCGUGCGCUGCCCGCGCGUGGCACCAGCGCCUCCACAGCUCGUCGACGAAGCCCAAGCUGACAGACCACGCCGCUCGUCCACUUCCACCACUCGCGACGCACAGAUCAGCGCUGCCGUUGGUUGCCCAACCUCCCUGGUGCCAGGUUUUUCUUACUAAUUUUGUGGUCUACGAUUCCAAUUUCUUGAUGAUGGGAUUUUUGAUGAUUACGAUUUCAUUGAGUAAAUUUGAUUGGCUUGCAUCUGUGUUACUGGAGCCCGUGGGUUGGGUUAUGACCUGCAACUGAUUUGCCUAGUCUAAUAUAAUUGUCAUUUGUUUGGGCUCUUGAAGUACUGUCUAGUGUUGUUUGUAUUUCUUAGUGAAUUGAGUUUGCCGUUUGAUUUCAUUCUUCCCUGUGCGUACACCAGUGGUACUGGUUGUGGUAGUUGCCUAACAUUUAUUCAUUCUCAUUGGUGUGGCUGUUGGGAUUGAAAGCUCAGAACUUGUGACUAAGUUGUUAUUGCCUAAAUGCUGACCUGCUAUUACUAGACUUGCUGAUUUCUUGGGAGCAUUUGUUGGGAUUUUGGGUGGAUAUUAGCAAGUGGUAUAUUGCUUGAUUUUUUUUACCUGUGCCUUGCUUGGAGUUUCUAGUGCAUGUUUGGGGCUGCCUUGGGAGUUAUUUGCCACAAUUGAUUGCCGUUUUGGUUUCUUCUGUUUCUGGUACUGCUUGUGCUGAUGGAUUUAUCAGUGUUUUGGGCGGCUUAUUUGAAUUGCUUCUUCCCUGUGUGUUUGGUCAGCUGUUUGCUUGAAAACCCAAACCCUUGUGCUUAUAUUUGCUCCCAGUUGAGUUAUGUGUUGGACUUUCCAAUUGGUGACAACUUUUGGGCUUUAGGGGUGAGUUCAUUUUGUCAUUAUUUGCUACCUUGUUGGGGUCAUUUUUGGUUUCACCUGAGUCUAUUGUCCUGCCUUCUGUUUUGAGUCCAUUGGAGUGACGUGAGUUGAGUAAUUUCUGCUUUUGUUUGUUGAUUUGGAAGGCUACUGUGCCACUUUCAUUGCUUAUUGCUUAGUGAUUAUGUCUAAUUAACAAUGUGCAUAGCAUGGCGCAGAAUUUGGCAGCAUUCAUGUAGCAUGCCGGUCUUAUACCUCAAUUGGGUACCUCUAUUUGGUUGGCUGCGUUCUUAUUGUCCAAUAUCUAUGCUGUUUUCAAUGGAAUUGCUGAUCUUGGGUUAAGACUUUAGCUGGCCAACUGGAGCCAUUUGUUGAGAUUUUGGGUGAACUGCAAUACUGCACUCGUUUGUUCAAUUGGGAGGUUUCUUUUGGUAUUCUGGUUGAGUUAUUUCUAAAGUUGCCUGAUGAAUUGAGAGACAUAGAUGGCUAUUGCUCUGCCCUGAUAUUGCUUGGUUGCCAGUGCGCAUUCUCUAUGCCAAGUGGCAAGGAUGUCUCAGAACUCGGCUUCCCUCCACUGUUCCCUCCUAUCCCUUAGCUGUUCAGCAGGGAAGUCUCGUUAUCCUCUUCGCUUUAAUUAUUUUAUUACCUCCAUUGAGGACAAUGUAGGAUUUAGGUGUGGGGGGAGCAGUUAUGGUGCUAGUGUCUUUCGUUCAUUUUCUUUUUCUUCUUUUUAGUGAUUGGCUCGUAAGUGCAUGCCAAGGUUUGAUGUUGGAUUAUUGCCUCUAUUUCUACUUUUGCCAAGUUUUAAUAAUAAAAGGGUAUCAAGUUAAUGUGGUUGAAUCCAAAAACAUCUCUUUGGUGAAUAUCAAUAAUUGUUUUACUCUUAUAAUUUUUUGGUUAACUUUCCUAGGCAUAGGGAAUGAUUAUUGGCAUUUUUAGUGAAUUGGUCCGGUUAUUAACCUUAGUUCUCCAUGUUUGAAAAUGAGGCUAGCUGAUGCAAGUUUUCUUUUGGUUCUUGUGUUAUAUUGAGUUUUUGUGAUUUUUAGCUCUGAAUAAACUUGACUGUACUCCGCUAUUAGUUACUACUGAGUAACCGGGGAUCUGCACCUAAAAGUGUUGAUUCUCGCGUCAAAAGAUAGUAGUUCCUAUGAGUACGUGGUCACGUGGCGAUAGAAGCUGAGUAACCGGGCUCCUUCAUCUGGCCAAUGUUGGAAUUCGCGUCAAAAGGCUCUAAUGGCUAGCGACUAAGUCUUUUGUUACUAUUGAAAAAAAACGAGAAAGAAGAAGAAGAAAAAAAAAAGAAAAAAAAGAGAAAAGUAGAAAAAUGUGAAAGAAAAAGUGAAUGCUGUGUUAGUGUAUAAUAAAAGUCAGCUUGCCGAUUUAUGGAUUUAAUGUUGAGAUUUUGGUUAAUAGUUGGACCAUUUGCUGAUAACUGUUAUGCGUCAUUCCUUUUUCUUAGAUUGGUUAACAUGAAAUUAGAGGAAUUUAUGGUUUAGAAGCUAACCGGAGUGAUGUUUCUUGGACUAGACCAUUGAUGCUUGAUUAUUAUAUUUUCUUGGUAUCUUGGCAAUAUGGUAGAUGGAGUAAUAGCCAUUGGCAAGUGUUGGUGUUUAUUUGCUGUUCUCAUGCUUGAGGACAAGCAUGGUUUAGGUGUGGGGGGAAUUGAUAGGUUGCAAUUUUAUCAUUUAUUUUAUUAUUAAUUUUCCCUAUUACUUAACCCAAUGUGAAUUAAUUAUUAGAUUCUACUCACUUUUAGUAUUUUACAUAUAUUUCAGGGAGUAGAACGAAAAUACCAUAAUAAGUGUCCGAUUUGACAGUUAUCAGGAAAGAGUUCAAGUAGCAGGCAUCCAGGGCAUUUUUGGAACAAGGAGAUACAAGUCCUUUUUGGUAAUUCGCAGAGCAGCAGCAUUAAAAGGAGGAACGAAGGGCUGAAGUAGGGUCUUCUUCCGCCUGGGAGGAACCGCCGCACAGCAGAGGGCUGUCUGGUCCUCUUAGUUUUUCCGUUUCUUUAGUUUUAGCUUAGGAUUUUGACUUUUCUUCUCGUAGGAAUUUUGGGUAGCCUUUAGCUUAGCAACUUUUGUUGACCCUUUUUUGGCCUUUUAGCUAGUUUGUUCUUACGCAUGGAAGAUGGCUGAAUAGCUGAGGCUUGUUCUUUGUUUUUCUUUGACUUUUCCUUUUGGUUUGCUUCCUGCGGACGCCCAGACCGAAGGAAAACUAUGAAGUCCCUUUUGUAGCUUUCUCUCUUUAUUAAAUAGACGAAUUGAAUUCCUUCAACUUGCGAAUUGAUGGCCGCAGCUUUUGCUUCAAUUUCUUGUGGGUUUAGUUCAUUAAUUAUGAACUAAUUCUACAAUUCUAGUCAAGGGGACAACUGACGAUUUGGUUCGACAAUUACUGUGAGAUCGAAUCUGUUUUAAUUAUUUUCUUCAUUUAUUGGUAUUUAUAUGUUCCUUGAUUUUAAUUGCUAUGGCCUUGUGUAUGAUUGAUUAGUGCGCAAUAAUUAAUUAUUCAUAUAGGCUAUUUUUUGCUAAAUAGGGGUAAUUGAACCCGUAAUUGUUCGUUAUCUCUACCUCAGUAGCAACUGGCGUAAUUGGGUUUAUGUCAGGGGAGCAUAUGAUCUAGCUUAAACAAACCCUCGUAGCGUGUUUGUUGGUUAGGAUUGGGCCUUUCUAAUUAUUAAUGCAAUCUAGAAAUUAAAUCUUACGGUCGUACCUAGGGUUGUUUUUGGGUUAGAGAAAUAGCUAACGGUCGUACCUUAGCUAUCGAUAAAUUAAGGAAGGGUUGGUUGUUUAUCGCGUGCAGGACAACUAUAACCAAUCUAUUAAUAAAUGUUGGGAUUAUUUUUGCAUCAAUGAUCAGUGCAUGAACCAUUUCUGAAGUAUACCCUUGGCUAGAGUUUCUCUUAGUUAUUUCUUUUAAUUAAUUAUUUUCUGCAGUUAAUUUAUUUAGUUAGCAUUUAAUCCAAAACCCCCCAUACUUUGGACUCUAAAAGAAACAAUUACUCCCAGUCCCUGUGGAUUCGACCCUGCUCACCGCUAUCUACAGAAUUAAUUUUAGUUUGAGCAGGUUUUAUUAUUGUACAGGCUUCGACAACCUGUCAUUGAGCAUUUGAAAAGUGAAAUUUUUGUCCACCAAACUGCUUAUACCCGGAAGGUAUUAAAGUAGUUUUAUAUGGAUAAGGCAUAUACAUUAAGUACCCCAAUGGUCAGAUCAUUAGAUCCUAAUAAGGACCCUUUUAGACCGCGAGAGGAAGUUGAAGAGAUACUUGGUCCUAAAGUACCAUAUCUCAGUGCAAUUAGUGCACUAAUGUAUCUUGCUAAUUGUACAAGACCUGAUAUAUCAUUUGCAAUAAAUUUAUUAGCAAGAUUUAGUUCUCGCUCACAAGACGACAUUGGAAUAGUAUUAAACAUAUUUUUUGUUAUCUCCAAGGAUCAAUUGAUCUUGGCUUAUUUUAUUCAAAUAAAUCUAAACUUGAAUUGUUUGGUUAUGUUGAUGCUGGAUAUUUAUUUGGCCCACAUAAAGUAAGAUCUCAGACUGGUUAUCUAUUUACAUAUGGAGGUACAACCAUUUCUUGGCGAUCUACAAAGCAAUCAUUAGCUGCCAUUUCAUCGAAUCAUGCUGAAAUAAUAGCAAUUCAUGAAAUUAGUUGAGAAUGUGUUUGGUUAAAAUCAAUGACCCACUAUAUCCGGAAAAGUUGUGGGUUAUCCUCCGAAAAAGAAAAUCCUUCAACUAUAUUAUAUAAAGAUAAUGCAGCUUGUAUAACUCAAUUGAAAGGAUGAUAUAUUAAAAGAGAUAGAACGAAAUAUAUUUCACCAAAAUUCUUUUUUACUCAUGAUUUACAAAAGAAUGGUGAAAUUGAUGUGCAACAAAUCUGAUCAGAUAAUAAUUUGACAGAUUUAUUUACCAAUGCAUUGCCAACUGCAAUAUUUAAGAAAUUGGUGAAGAAUAUUGGAAUGCGACGACUAUAAGAUCUCAAAUGAUAUUUGCAUCCGGGGGAACAAUCAAUACACAAGAAUAGUGUACUCUUUUUCCUUCAUUAAGGUUUUUAUCCCGUUGGAUUUUUUCCUAGUAAGGUUUUAAUGAGACACAUUCUUUGUGUAAUGGACAUCCAAUGGGGAGUGUUAUGAAACAACUAAAAAUGUGGAUGCCCAUUUGUAUUCUCAAGAAGAUCAAUUCAUAAUUCAUUGCUUCCAAAAGGAUUAAUUCAUAAUUCAUUGCUACAUUAUAUAAAGGAAUUACAUUGGAUGAACGGUUUCAAUCCAUAAGAGCUAUUCAUGUAUUGGAUGAACCAUUUCAUAUGGUUAUUUAUGUUCUUGUAGUAAUGAGUGUUUAAUAGAAUUGAUGUACCUUUAAUUUUGUAGUACCUAUAUAUAGAGGUACCUUGGCACCUCUUGGAUGUACUUUUUGAUUAGUUGGAAUAAUAAAAAAAUCAUUCUCCAUUUCUGUACUUUUUUUUCUAAUAUUUUAAUUCCUAUUAUAGUAGUUCAUUUUUUUUUUAGUUUUACAACAUUACUCAAAGAAGAGGGUUAUUGGACUAUAUGUUUAUUGACCUCUACUAGGGAUGACAAUGGGGGCGGGUGACGGCAAUGGGGGCGGGUGACCGCGGGCACCCGUCCCGCGGGGGGCUAAUGGGGAGAGGGAUGGGGCCGGGGCGGGGGGUAGGGGAGUGUACCCCCGCCCCAUCCCCCGUCCCGCUACCCGCUUUAAAAAAAUAAAUAUAUAAAAUAUAUAUAGGUAUAUAAUUAUAUAUAUAAUAUAUAAUUUAAUUGGUUACAAACUUAUGAUAAUAAUAUUAUUAGUUAUAUGUAUUAUAUGAUGUCUAUUAGUAUAAAUAAUAUAAUUGAUAUUAUUAAUUAUACUAAUAAUUAUAUAUGUGUACUCAUACAAAUUAUUAAUUGGUUAUACUAAAUUUACUAAUACAUUUAUACUAAAUCCCUAAUUACACUUAAUACAAUAACAUUAUUUUCAUAAAAAAAACACAACCACAAUAAUGAAUUAGUGAUUGUAUUUGUACCAAAAGUGAAAAUUUGAUUACUUUAGUUAUAUUUUUUUCAUCAUGUUGGAUUGUAUUCAAAUAAUUUUUGUUUGAUUGUUUUUAUAAGUUUCAAUUGUAAAAUUGCAAUGAAUAAUAAUUUGAUGAUGUGUUGAUAUUUUAGUACUUGAUUAUUUGCUAAAAUUUAAUCAUAAUAAAAUUAUAUAACAAAUUUUUAUUAGCUCAGCGGGAGCACCCGCCGGAGAAGCGGGGCAGGGUGGGGACGGGGCGAGGGAAGCGGGGGAUGGGGGAGGGGUCCCCCGCCCCAACCCUCUUCCCCAUCUCCCGCCCCGUUGCCAUCCCUAACCUCUACUAACUUAUUUAAGGUCAUUUUAUAUCACUAUCCAAAGAAGAAUUAAGGUCAUUUUAUAUCACUAUCCAAAGAACAAUUCUUGGGCGUUAACAUUUUUCUUACAUGCCAAGACUAUUAAUGAAAGUUGACCCAAAUCUCUCUCUCUCUUUCUCUCAAUUCUUAGGACUGAUGCCAAUUCUUACCAUUUAGAAAGAAAAAUUAGAUUGUUUAUAUAUAUGAUGAGUUCCCUCUAAGUCAUGGUUAAGAAAAAUUCUUAGUUAGACGCAGUUUUAUGAAAUGUGAAUUUCCUUUUCUUUGUCUUUAUUCGUUAGUAUUAUUGGGGUUAUUGUAUUAUGAUUGCAAUGCACAGAUACAUGGAUUUUUGACAUUUUUUUCUCAUUUUUUCUUUUUAAUUGACUCUGACUAUGUCUCAAACUCGAGACAUCAAACCUGGAGAAGACUUUUGUCCAAAAUGCUUGUAAAAAUUCAGAAGAAUAAUGUUGGACCUUAUUAUUUAAUAAUGGUGCAAUUAUGAGAGUCAUUCCUGGUUUAAUUAUCAACAUCAUGUCAUUAUUAUUUUUUUGUUUCAUAGAAAAAUAAAGUAUUCUCCGACUCGACAUUAUCAUAUUAUUUUCAAUUGGCAGCUUUAAGUGAGAAAGGCCGGUGAAAAUUUUGGGCAUUACUAGUUUAUUUAGGCCUCACGCGCUCCGUGAAGGUGCCGACGUCAUCUUCGUUUUAAUGGAAAAAUUUGAGCGCGCUUUGAUCAUAAGGAAUUCACAAUCAUCGGGCCAACAAAGAAAGCACUAAAUGGUUAAAACAAACCAUGCAAAUUUGCUCAGCACUUAAACAAUAGACUCCUAAACCGACCAUUUUACUGUCUUGCCAAAAAAGGGCAUUAAAGUAAAAACAACCCAUGCCUAACACAACUAACAAACUUCAGCACCUUCACUUCACUGCCACGUCAUCAACAACAUCUGUAAAUUUCCAAGGAAGUCCACGCACUAAAGGUGCCAUGGGGGACCUCAGGUUAGUGUUCUUAACAUCAACUCCUGUCUUUAUAUUCUUAGGAAAUAUUGAAAUUAAACAUUAUAACUAAUCCUGAUUUCCUUAUGCUGUAUUUGUACACAAUUUGGCAACUUGAUAAAAAGUUUGUUCCAAUUUAUUCCAAUUUAAUUUGUCAGCUAGUCGAAUCUAAUUUGAAUAGUAUUUAACUUUGAAAUUUGAUAAAAAGUUUGUUCAAACUUGGUUUACUAAAUAAACAAGUUAAGUUUGAACAAAAUUUCAAACUUAUUAAAAUAAUUAAAUACGUUUGAAUACUAGGGUAUUCAAUUUAAUUAGACUCGUUUGCACCCAUAAUUAAAGCAUGCACUUUUUUAUAAAUUUAGGAAUCAACAUUAUCUAUUUGAUAGCUAGCUAAUGGCCCAAAAAGUUAAUUGCCUUAAAUUCUUUUAGCAGCCAUAAAGUAUAGUUGGAGGGAUUCCCUUGAAAUUGAUUAGAUUCUUCUAUGUGACUGUGACGUAUUACUAGUCCUACCCAAAAAAAAAUGGUAUUACUAGUCCUUUUUUCUUUUUGUGGCGUGCCACCGCCGUAGGGGGCGGGGAGGGCAGUCAGUGCGAGAAUUCUAGAUGGGGUAGAAGUAGCCAAAGUUCACCUUAUUCAAAGUAAACAACCGACAAUCUCAGUUGUCGACUUUCCUGUCGAUUGCGUAUAUAUUACUAUCUUUUACCAUGACUUUAGAGGAUACCUAAUUUUGCUUGCUAUUAAAUAAUAAUUCCUGGCACCACAUAAUUCUUUCAAGAACUACCAAAACCUUCUUGAAAUCCCUCUUUUUCCUUUUAGUUCAUUUCCAAGAAACAAAUUGAACCAUCAUGGCCCCUGUCACUUCCAGUUAUGAGGUCACCUCCUCAAUCCCUCCUGCAAGGUUGUUCAAGGCCACCAUCCUUGAAGAGAAGCAUCUUCACAAGAUCUUGCCACAGGGCGUUAAGAGUGUCGAAAUCCUUGAAGGAGAUGGUGGAGUUGGCACAAUUAAGUUGACCACAUUUGUUGAAGGUAAGAUAUCAAUACAAAGUGAUUAUUUUCACACAUUUGAAGUCCUCAAAAUGUUCUUUUUUUUUUUUAACAUUUUAUUUGUGGGGGUAAGUAUGUAUGUAAGCCCUAAUAACCUUUUUUUUUUUGUUGGGUUAAAUAUUUAGGUGGCGAGCUUAAGACUGCCAAACAGAGAGUUGAUGGAAUUGACAAAGAAAAAUUUACAUACAGUUAUACUGUACUUGAAGCUGAUGGAUUUAACGAUGUAAUCGAGAAAAUCUGUUGUGUCAUCAAAUUUGAACCCUCUGCUGAUGGAGGUUCAAUCUGCAAAACCACUAAUACAUACUACCCCAAAGGUGGUGCUCAGAUCAGUGAGGAACACCUCAAGGGAGGAAAAGAGAAGGGUUUGGGAAUGGUUAAGGCUGUUGAGGCUUACCUCCACGCAAAUCCUACUGCCUACAACUAAUUAAAAUGAAUGCUACUGAAGGACUCUUCGACAUAUUUUCUUCAAGAUUGAAGUAUAAACUGAGGGUGUCUGUUUCCUUUUUUGCUUGGUUUGCUUAAGCUGUUUGGUUAAGUUAUUCGCAGCAAGAGAAUAAAAUAAUUCACUUGCUGUUUUUAGAUAUGAAUUCAUGACUGUCAGUAGUCUAUAAAUACACUUAUUGCUCACCGCUCUUUGCACCGCAAAAUCUUUUCAAGAUCCAUCAAACCCUCCUGUUCUUGAUCUUUCUCCAUUUGUGAAAAAACAAAUUAAAGCAUCAUGGCCCCGAUCACUUGUAGUGCUGAGAUGACCUCCCCAAUGCCUCCUGCAAGGUUGUUCGAGGCCGCCAUCCUUGAUGACCACCUUCUUCCCAAGAUCAUGCCACAGGCUAUUAAGAGUGUGGAAAUCCUUGAAGGAGAUGGUGGAGUUUGAACCAUUAAUUUGAGCACAUUUGGUGAAGGUUAGAUGUUAUAUUAAAUGUAGAACCCCAAAUUUAAGGAUCGAAUAAUAAUCAACGCAUGUGGGGUUAUAGAAUUGAAGGGAUAAAACAAAUACUCAAAAUAUACGUGAAAGAAAAGAAAAUAAUAAAUUCAACUUACAAUAUUAUUAAAUUUUCAAACAAUGGAAAAAAUCAUACCACAAUAAAUUCAGCUGGUUCUAAUAAUAAUCAAAGCAUACAAGGUUACAGAAUUAAAAGGAUAAAACAAACGCUCAAAAUAUAUGUGGGAGAGAAGAAAAUAAUCAAUUCAACACACAAUAUUAUUGAAAUCUCAAACAAUGAAAAAAGUCACACCAUAAUAGAAAACCUUGCUUAUUCUUCUAGAUUCUUUCUCUUGAGAGACCAACCUAAAUAAUGUCCUAUUUAUAAUCUACCAAACUUGUUAAGAAAGAAACCACUUGCAUAAGAAAUUACGAAAUAAAUUAGAAAUUCCUAAAUCACACAACUACUAAAAACAUAACUCAAAUAAAACUAAAAAAUAAAUAAAUAUUUCUAGGCUUAGUUUAAUUUGUCAACAUUGCCUCCCUUAAACCAAAUUAUUCAUUGAGAUAGGUUCAACACCAUCUCGAGCAAUAAUUUCUAUGCAAAUCUAUGUUGUAGUACAUUUGACAUGAAACUCUAACUUGUUACCAGUUAUUAAUUUCAUUUUUACACGUAACAAUGGACGCACUAUAUAUUUUGUAAAAAAUUUCUCAGCAAUUUCUUCUUGAUCAAAGUACUCAUUUAUACAAACCCAUUCGUCACCAGAAUCACCAUAUUUACCACCAAUGUAAGUGCCUAAAAUUAAAAAAUCAUAGGUUGCUUUCUCGCUAAAGUUAUCAUCACCAAAUAAUUCAAAAUAACCACUACUACAAUUAUCCAAAAUUUUCAUACUGUCAGUCAACUCUUUUGGAGUAAAAUAUUUUUCAACUCCGAUGACAUCCAUAUCUAUCAAAUCAAACAUUCUCCCAUCACUUUGAAGAGAGUCCGAACCAACAAAUUUUUCAACAACAAUUUCAUGUUCUCUUCUUUUAUCAAAUCAAAAUUUUCUUCUUCUUUUGUCAAAUUACCAUAUUAUUUUUUUCAACAAAUUCAUUACUUCUAAUUUCUCCAAACAAGGUAUGCAAAUCAAAACUAUCAAUUGAUUCAAAAUUUUCGAUAUCACCCAUAUUAUGAACAAAUCUAUCAUUUUUAAAAUCCACAAACCAAUACCAACAACUAGACUUCAGUUUGAAAGCAUAAUUUCUCUCAAUCAUGUGCAAAACAUAGUAAAUAUCCUUCCAAAAUCUCUAAAGUAUUUUAGUAUGACCAAUAAAGGUUCUAUAAAUACUUUCUGCCAUUAUUUUACGCAUCACUUGAAAGAAUAAUUGUGCCUUUUUCUUAAAAACAUGUUUUGACAACUUACUUGCAUCAACCCAACAAAGAAUAUCAUCCAAAUUGCAUUGCUUGACAUAUUUUUCCACUGUUAAAAUCCAAUUAAAAUAUGUAUGUCUAUUUGUGCUUAUAGGAGUCAAUAUGAAAAAUUUUUCACCGUCAAUUAGAUCUUUAUAAUAUUCCAUUAUUUAACAAUUUCUAUACCUGAAUAAAUUUUUUUCCUCCAUCCUGUCAUGUUUUCUUGGCCUCCCUGGUUGACUAACCAAAUUAUUGUUGUAUGUAUACCCAUGCUCGUCAAACCUCAUUCGUGUACACUCGUAAGGAGUGGUUCUGAGCUUAUUGUGAAUGCUUAGUACCAAGAAGUAGAAGAGAGAAUGCAUAAGAGAGAAUUAACUUGGCUAAAGAAUUAGGAAACAAUUGAGGGAUUUUUUAAGAAAUUAAUUCUCCAACCGCCACUUUUGGAUCUUUUCUAUCUACAACUAGUUACCAAAACACUAGCACAUAGUAAGAAAUCGGGAUAAUUUCAGAAACCUCCCUUGAGGCUUUUAAUAAUCUCAAGAAGCUCCCCUCAAUAUUUUAAAAUUACACGUACCUUCCCUAUUGGAGCAAAAGUACUCUACUACCCCUAAUAGGAUACUCAAAAGACUUUUUUUAUGGGAAAAAAGAACCUCAGAAAUCCAAGCGAAAGCAAAAAAAUCAAUUUAUUUUCUCUUUUAGCCUUUAACGCUUUUGCCUUCUACCUUUGCUCACUUUCCCAUGCCAAUCUUCCUAUAACCACUUUCCCAAUCCCCUUUCCCCAACUUUUCUCCUCUACUUCAAGACUAAUUUUUGUCCAUCAAUCCUGGCUUGUGCUUUGUUCCAUUCCCUUCCCUUCUCCUUCUUUGAUUUCCCCUACAUCGCCCUUUCUCUUUGCAAAAGUGACUAGGCUCAUCUCUCUCUUUUUUCCCCUUAUUCUAAGUGUAGUGGGUUUGAUUAUUUUGCAUCUAUUUUAUUUGGUUUUGGUUGAUUAUGGGUGAUAAAACUUGGUGAUGUCAAAUAUCAAAAGUUUGAUAGAUGGAUAUUGGGCUUUAGACAAUGAUUUGCUAGAAAAAAAUGGCUGCAAUGAGAGGAAAAGGCAAGGGGAUUUGAAUGUGGGGUUGAUUGUUGAUGAAUUGUUGUUUUGGACAAAAUUUGAGGUUGAGUUUUGUCAAAUUUGGUAGCAAGUGGCGAGAUUUGUUCAGGUUUCGGGAAAUAAAUUGGAUUGUGGUUUCUUGGGCACCCACAGUUGUUGGAAUUGGUUUUGAUUCAAAUAAAGGUGGUUACUUGAUUUUCCUAAUAGUGUUGCUUAAGAGCACACGAUCAUCAAAAUUCCUUAUUUUUAUCUUUUUUUUUUUGUAGAAAAGAUUUCAUGACUUUCGUGAUAGUCUAAUUUGGAAGAAGGCAAUCAAGGGAUGCAAUCAACAUUUAGCAAAAGCUCUUGUUCUUUUCUUUCUAUUUUUUAGGGUAAAAAGGGUAGUUUAGGGUAUUUGAAGGAAAUGAUAGUCUAUUGGGUCUAUUUUGAAGCAUAAAUAGUGAACGUAAGGGAGGUUGGUGUAAUUUCUGAAACCUAAGGGGAAUUGUCUAAAUUGUCCGAGACCUCAGAGAAGGUUUUCGAAAUUAUCCCUAAGAAAUCAAAUGCGAAACUUGAUUAGUACACACACACACGACACUGCACCACGGCACGCGUGUGUUGAGAACUGAUGUCCGUAACCAACGACAAGCAGGUUUUCAAUUUUUUUUUCCUUUCCUGGAUUCUCCAGAGAUGGUGUCAGCUUCUAUUAUUGAUGAGCAGGAGGAAAUCCACAAUAUACAGUACACAUCACCCAUAUUCUUUUUAAUUGAACAAUGUAUGAAAUUAUGGUGAUUCGAAAUUAAAUUAUAUGUUUAUUGGGCAACGAAUCCAAAAUAAGAAUUGGAAAUGUAUUGUGGCAACAAUUGUUAACUUAGGCUACAAAUGAUCAAAAUAAAUAUUUAAGAUUUAAUAUGACAUUAUGGGUUCAAAAUAUAGUUACUUGUUAUGAAACAACUAAAAGUGUGGAUGUCCAUUUGUAUUCUCAAGAGGAUCAAUUCAUAAUUCAUUGCUCCCAAGAGGAUUAAUUCAUAAUUCAUUGCUACAUUAUGUGAAGGAAUUACAUUAGAUGAACGGUUUCAAUCCAUAAGAGCUAUUCAUGUAUUGGAUGAACCGUUUCACAUGGCUAUUCAUGUUCUUGUAGUAAUAAGUAUUUAAUAGAAUUGAUGUAUGUUUAAUUUUGUAGUACCUAUAUAUAGAGGUACCUUGGCACCUCUUGGCUGUCCUUUUUGAUUAAUUUGAAUAAUAAGAAAAUCAUUCUCUAUUUCUAUACUUCUUUCUCUAAUAUUUCAAUUCUUAUUAUAGUAGUUCAUUAUUUUUUUAGUUUUACAACACGUUAUCAGCACGAGUCUCUAUUUUUGAAUAAAAAACUGAAAAUGGAGCCUAUACCUUAAAAAAAGCAAAAAAUGUGAUUCUGCUGAAAUUCUGCAUGUAUUUUUCCGGCAACUUCUAUCUACUUAUUGAGAAAUGGAUGCCAAAUAUUUGGGAUUAAAUAAUGGUGAUGAUGACAUUUGUCUCAUUGAUUGUACUACUACGCACACUAUAUUGAAAAAAAAAAUUCUUGUAUGAAAAUGGGAGAGACAAAUGUUAAUACCAUAAGUGGUAGUGCAAAAUUGAUUGAAAGUUCUGGAAGAGCCACUCUAUUUCUUCCUGAAAGGACUAAAAUUGUCGUAAAUAAUGCACUACUAUCUCUCAAGUCUUGAAGAAAUUUAUUCAGUUUUAAAGAUAUCUGCGAAAAAUGGAUAUCAUAUCGGGACAAUAAAUGAGACAAAUGGAGAAUUUUUAUUAAUCACAAAUAUCAUUUCUGAGCAGAAAUACGUAGUAGAAAAAUUACCUUCUUUUUCUUCUGGCUUAUAUUAUGCACAAAUUAGUGCAAUUGAAAUUUAUCACCUAGGAGACCAGAAUUCUACUCAUCCCAAUAAUUUUAUGAUUUGGUAUGAUUGUCUCGAAAAUCCUAGAUAUAUAAUGAUGAGGCAAAUAAUUGAGAAUUCACAUGGUCACUCAUUGAAAAAUCAAAAGAUAUUAAAAGCAAAUAAAUUCUCUUGUGUUGCUUGUUCCCACGGAAAAUUAAUUAUUAGACCAUCACCAGUAAAAGUUGGGACUGAAUCCUCUACAUUUCUAGAACGAAUUCAUGAUGAUAUAUGUGGACUUGUAGAUCCACCAUGUGGACCAUUUCGAUAUUUUAUGGUGCUAAUUAAUGCAUUAACUAGAUGAUCACAUGUAUGUUUAUUAUCUACUCGCAACUUGGCGUUUGCGAGAUUGUUUGCUCAAAUAAUUAAAUUGCGAGCACAAUUUUCAAACUAUCCAAUAAAGAAAAUUCAUCUAGAUAAUGCUGGUGAAUAUUCGUCACAUGCUUUUGACGAUUAUUGCAUGUCCAUUGGAAUAACUGUUGAACAUCCUGUAACUUAUGUUCACAUUCAAAAUGGUUUAGCCGAAUCAUUUAUUAAAUGGCUAUAAUUAAUUACUAGACCAUUGUUGAUGAGAUCUAAACUUCCUUCAUUUGCUUGGGAACAUGCUAUAUUACAUGUAGCAAUACUUGUGAGAAUUAGAUCGACAAGUUAUCAUACUUAUUUUCCCCUAUAAUUAACUUUUGUUUUUGAGUCCAAUAUUUCUCAUUUACGAAUAUUUGGUUGUUCGAUUUAUGUUCUAAUUAUACCGUCCCAACAUCGUAAAUUAGACCCGCAAAGAAGAUUGGGGAUAUAUGUUGAGUAUGAAUCACCUUUAAUUAUUAAGUAUAUGGAACCAUUGACAGGUGAUUUAUUUACUGCGAGAUUUGCAGAUUGUCAUUUUGAUGAAUCACAUUUUUCGACAUUAGGGGGAGAUAAAAAUCAACCGAAAAAGAAAAUCACUUGAAAAAUAUCUUUGAAUUUCCUCGAUUCUCAUACCAAAGAAUGUGAACUAGAAGUUCAAAAGAUUAUACAUUUGCAAAAAAUUACAAAUCAAUUACCGGACGCAUUUAAUGACUCCAGAAAAGUUACUAAAUCACAUAUUCCUAUUGCAAAUGCUCCGAUUAAAUUAAUGUCUUUGAAGGACAAAUUACAAAUGUUAACGAGUCUAAAGCGUACCUAAAGCGUGGAAGACCUCUUGGUUCCAAAGAUAAAAAUUCUCGAAAGAAAAGAGGAGUAGAUGAAUCAACAAUUAGUGACAAAAUUCAACUUCCUGAAGAGGUCGCUCCUAAAGAGCCAAUUCUUGAAGAGAAUGAAAUUAUAGAAAAUUCAUUAAAUUUUGUCAUUUCAGGAAAAAGUUAGAAUCGAAAAGAAAUAAUUAUUGAUAGUAUUUUUGCAUAUAAUAUACCACUUGAUAUUAUGGUAGAGAAUAAGGAUCACGAGCCUAGAUAGGUUGAUGAAUGUCGACGUAGAAAUAAUUGGGCAAAAUGGAAAGAUGUGAUCCAAUCUGAAUUGAACUCACUGGUUAAAAGAAAAGUUUUUGGACCUGUAGUCCAAACACCUGAAGGUGUAAAGCCAGUAGGAUAUAAAUGGAUAUUUGUGAAAAAAAAAAUGAGAAAAAUGAAAUCGUGAGGUAUAAAGCAAGACUUCUAGCCCAAGAAUUUUCACAAAGGCUUGGAUUUGAUUAUGAUUACACGUAUUCACCUGUAGUGGAUGCUAUCACAUUUAGAUAUCUUGUGAGUUUUGCAGUACAUGAAAAAUCAGAUAUGCAUCUAAUGGACGUCGUUACUGCAUAUUUAUAUGAAAAUCUUGAUAAUGAUAUUUAUAUGAGAAUCCCCGAAGGAUUCAACAUGCCUGAAGCAUACAAAUCAAAUCCUAAAGAUAUUUAUUCUAUUAAAUUACAAAGAUUUUUGUAUGGGCUUAAACAAUCUGGACGUAUGUGGUACUGCCUCAAUGAAUGUUUAACUAAAGAAGGCCAUACCAAUGAUCCAAUAUAUCCAUGUGUCUUUAUCAAGAAAAAUGGAUCAAAUUUUGUGAUAAUUGUUAUAUAUGUUGAUGAUUUAAAUCUGAUUGAAACUCUUGAAGAGAUUAGUGUUGAAUAUUUGAAGAAGAAAUUUGAGAUCAAAGAUUUUGGAAAAACAAAAUUCUGCCUUAGUUUACAAAUUAAGCAUUUGAAAAGUGAAAUUUUUGUCCACUAAACUGCUUAUACCCCGGAAGGUAUUAUAGCAGUUUUAUAUGGAUAAGGCACAUACAUUAAGUACCCCAAUGGUCAGAUCAUUAGAUCCUAAUAAGGAUCCUUUUAGACUGCGAGAGGAAGAUGAAGAGAUACUUGGUCCUAAAGUACCAUAUCCCAAUACAAUUGGUGCACUAAUAUAUCUUACUAAUUGUAGAAGACCUGAUAUAUCAUUUGCAAUAAAUUUAUUAGCAAGAUUUAGUUCCUCGCCCACAAGACGACAUUAGAAUGGUAUUAAACAUAUUUUUCGUUAUCUCCAAGGAACAAUUGAUCUUGGUUUAUUUUAUUCAAAUAAAUCUAAGCUUGAAUUGCAUGAUUAUGCUAAUGCUGGAUAUUUAUCUGACCGGUAUAAAGCAAGAUCUCAGACUGGUUAUCUAUUUAUACAUGGAGGUACAGCCAUUUCUUUGCGAUCUACAAAGCAAUCGUUAGCCGCCACUUCAUCGAAUCAUGCUGAAAUAAUAGCAAUUCAUGAGGCUAGUCGAGAAUGUGUUUGGUUAAGAUCAAUGACCCACUAUAUCCGUAAGAGUUGUGGGUUAUCCUCCGAAAAAGAAAAUCCUCCAACUAUAUUAUAUGAAGAUAAUGUAGCUUAUAUAACUUAAUUGAAAGGAGAAUAUAUUAAAGGAGAUAGAACAAAACAUAUUUCACAAAAAUUCUUUUGUACUCAUGAUUUACAAAAGAAUGGUGAAAUUUAUGUGCAACAAAUCCGAUCAGAUAAUAAUUUGACAGAUUUAUUUACCAAUGCAUUGCCAACUGUAAUAUUUGAGAAAUUGAUGAAGAAUAUUGGAAUGCGACAAUUAUAAGAUCUCAAAUGAUAUUUGCAUCAGGGGAAGAAAUCAAUACACAAAAAUAGUGUACUAUUUUUCCAUCACUAGGGUUUUCGUCCCAUUGGAUUUUUUCCUAAUAAGGUUUUAAUGAGGCAUAUUCUUUAUGUAAUGGACAUCCAAUGGGGAGUGUUAUGAAACAACUAAAAGUGUGGAUGCCCAUUUGUAUUCUCAAGAAGAUCAAUUCAUAAUUCAUUGCUCCCAAGACGAUUAAUUCAUAAUUCAUUGCUACAUUAUGUAAAGGAAUUACAUUGGAUGAACGGUUUCAAUCCAUAAGAGUUAUUCAUGUAUUGGAUGAACCAUUUCAUAUGGCUAUUUAUGUUCUUGUAGUAAUGAGUGUUUAAUAGAAUUGAUGUACGUUUAAUUUUGUAGUACCUAUAUAUAGAGGUAUCUUGGCACCUCUUUAGUGUACUUUUUGAUUAGUUGGAAUAAUAAAAAAAUCAUUCUCCAUUUCUGUACUACUUUCUCUAAUAUUUCAAUUCCAAUUAUAGCAGUUCAUUUUUUUUUUUGGGUUUACAACAUUACUCAAAGAAGAGAGUUAUUGGACUAUAUGUUUAUUGACCUCUACUAACUUAUUUAAGGUCAUUUCAUAUCACUAUCCAAAGAAAAAUUCUUGGGCGUUAACAUUUUUCUUACAUGCCAAGACUAUUAAUGAAAGUUGACCCAAAUCUCUCUCUCUCUUUCUCUCAAUUCUUAGGACUGAUGCCAAUUCUUACCAUUUAGAAAGAAAAAUUAGAUUGUUUAUAUAUAUGAUGAGUUCCCUCUAAGUCAUGGUUAAGAAAAAUUCUUAGUUUUAUGAAAUGUGAAUUUCCUUUUCGUUGUCUUUAUUCAUUAGUAUUAUUGGGGUUAUUGUAUUAUGAUUGCAAUGCACAGAUACAUGGAUUUUUGACAUUUUUUUUCUCAUUUUUUCUUUUUAAUCGACUCUGACUAUGUCUCAAACUCGAGACAUCAAACCUGGACACGACUUUUGUCCAAAAUGCUUGUAAAAAAUCAGAAGAAUAAUUUUGGACCUUAUUAUUUAAUAAUGGUACGAUUAUGAGAGUCAUUCCAGGUUAAUUAUCAAACUUGUAACUUGAAAAUAAUGUCGACAUCAUGUCAUUAUUAUUUUCUAGUUUCAUAGAAAAAUGAAGUAUUCUCCAACUCGACAUUAUCAUAUUAUUCUCAAUUGGCAGCUCAUGUGAGAAAGACAAGAAAUUCACAAUCAACUGGCCAAGAGAGUGCCAACAAAGAAAGCACUAAAUGGCUUAAACAAAGCAUGCAAAUUUGCUUAGCACUUAAACAAUAGACACCUAAAUCAACCAUGUCACUGUCUUGCCAAAAAAGGGCAUUAAAGUAAAAACAACUCAUGCCUAACACAGGUAACAAACUUCAGCACCUUCACUUCACCGCCACGUCAUCAACAACAUUUGCAAAUUUCCAAGGAAGUCCACGCACUAAAGGUGCCCAUGCCCUUAGGGGACCUCAGGUUAGUGUUCUUAACAUCAACUCCUGUCUUUAUAUUCUUAGGAAAUAUUGAAAUUAAACAUUAUCACUAAUCCUGAUUUCCUUAUGCUAUAUUUGUACACAAUUUGGCAACAAGGUUGUCCUUUUUUGGGCCAAAUUGGACAAGUAAAAAAAAGAAAAUUAAAAGGUUUAUCUGCAAACUGUAGUUCGGCCUGCCUCUUUUUUUUUUUUUUUUGGGGAUAAGAUCGUCAUGUAUCAAUAUUUCUGUACUUAGCAUUGGCUUCUUCUCGCCUGAAGAACACACGAACCACCGGAUGAAAGUGGUGAAUGAAAGUGCACUUAACCCUUUUAAUUUUUCAAAACAAUGCUUUUAGAAAAAAUAAUAAAGACUUUUUUGAAUUUAAUUUUAGAGAAGAAGAAUUUUAAACUUUUUUGAAUUUAAUCUUACAGAAGAAGAAGUUUAAAAUGUACUUUAAUUUUCACAACUGAUGAUGAGAAUAGCAAAAUGUAUACGGACGGUGACAAAAGUGCCGUCUUAUCCUUUUGCUGACGGCCCGUUUUCCAAUGAGAGGAUGCCUCUGCUUCGUAUUUUAUCCAUAUUGAUAUAUAUUCUUUUCUGUCCCCCUAACUAUUAAAUGUGAAAGGUUGCCCACCAAAUUUGACGAAACCGUUUAUCCUAAUUGAUUAUUAUCCAUAGGGCAUAACUUUAAUAUUCUUCUUCCAACCCGUCCGUCAAUGACCACUAACCACCUCUAAUCUAUUCUCAAAUUUUAAUGAAAUUGCGCAAUUAGUUUUCAUUUCUCACUUUUAUUUCAAAUUUGGUCUCAAUUUAAUGUGAAUCCCAAUAAAUAAGACCGGAGUUGAAAUCAAAGAACGUAUUUCAAUCACCAUCGGAUAAAUUCUUCAUGUCUAGUUUUGUCCUUGAGAUGCAUAGAAAAUGUAAGCUGAUCUUGCAGUCUACGAGAAAAACGAAGUCUAAGAGAAUAAUUUUGUCAAAACUUGACAAUGGAAUGAACCGGUGGUCGCUGGUUGGCAGCUGCUAGAAGUCAUAGCAGUUUUAAAACAUAAUUGCAGCAAGUAAAAGAUUAAAACUACGUUGUGUACUGUUAACGACUUACAUUGACAAAAUGGUUAAGGACAGAGUUGAAAGAUGAAUCAAACUGUUCGACAUUCGAUUCGAAUUUGACUUGGUAAAAACUUAUUCCAAUUUGAUUUGUCAGCUAGUCAAAUCUAAUUUAAAUAGUAUUUAACUUUGAAACUUGAUAAAAAGUUUGUUCAAACUCAGUUUACUAAAUAAACAAGUCAAAUUUGAACAAAAUUUCAAACUCAUUAAAAUAAUUAAAUACGUUUGAAUACUAGGAUAUUCGAUUUAAUUAAAUGCGAUUGCACCCCUAAUUAAAGCAUGUACUUUUUUUAUAAAUUUAGGAAUCAACAUUAUACAUUUAAUAGCUAGCUAGAGGGUCAAAAAGUUAAUUGCCUUAAAAUUCUUUUAGCAGCCAUAAAGUAUAGUUGGAGGGAUUCCCUUGAAAUUGAUUAGAUUCUUCUAUGUGACUAAAGAAUUUCGGGUGUGACGUAUUACUAGUCCUACCCUAAAAAAAAUGGUAUUACUAGUCCUUUUUUUCUUUUUUAGCGUGCCCCCGCCGUGGAGUGUGGGGAGGGUGGUCUGUGCGAGAAUUCUAGAUGGGGUACAAGGUGCCAAAGUUCACCUUAUUCAAAGUAAACAACCUUCCAUCUCAGAUGUUGAAUUUCCUGGCAAUUGCGUAUAUAUUACAAUCUUUUACCAUGACUUUAGAGGACAGCUAAAUUUGCUUGCUAUUAAAUAAUAUUUUCGGUAGUCUAUAAAUACUCUUGGUCCUAACUGCUUCUUGCACCACAUAAUUCUUUCAAGAACUACCAAAACCUUCUUGAAAUCCCUCUUUUUCCUUUUAGUUCAUUUCCAAGAAACAAAUUGAACCAUCAUGGCCCCUGUCACUUCCAGUUAUGAGGUCACCUGCUCAAUCCCUCCUGCAAGGUUGUUCAAGGCCACCAUCCUUGAAGAGAAGCAUCUUCACAAGAUCUUGCCACAGGGCGUUAAGAGUGUCGAAAUCCUUGAAGGAGAUGGUGGAGUUGGCACAAUUAAGUUGACCACAUUUGUUGAAGGUAAGAUAUCAAUACAAAGUGAUUAUGUUCACAAAUUUGAAGUCUUCAAAUUGCUCACUUUUUUUUUCUUUUAUUUGGGAAAAGCUAAUGACUUUUUUUUUUUUUUUUGGUUGGGUUAAAUAUUUAGGUGGCGAGCUUAAGACUGCCAAACAGAAAGUUGAUGGAAUUGACAAAGAAAAAUUUACAUACAGUUAUACUGUACUUGAAGCUGAUGGAUUUAACGAUGUAAUCGAGAAAAUCUGUUGUGUCAUCAAAUUUGAACCCUCUGCUGAUGGAGGUUCAAUCUGCAAAACCACUAAUACAUACUACCCCAAAGGUGGUGCUCAGAUCAGUGAGGAACACGUCAAGGGAGGAAAAGAGAAGGGUUUGGGAAUGGUUAAGGCUGUUGAGGCUUACCUCCACGCAAAUCCUACUGCCUACAACUAAUUAUAAUGAAUGCUACUGAAGGACUCUUCGACAUAUUUUCUUCAAGAUUGAAGUAUAAACUGAGGGUGUCUGUUUCCUUUUUUGCUUGGUUUGCUUUAAGCUGUUUGGUUGAGUUAUUUGCAGCUAUGAUCAUAAUAUUUGAUCGAAGUGUGCUUUUCUUGCAACCUUUGUAUCGUUACAAGGAAUAAAAUCUUGUUUGGAGCUUUUACUUUGUUGUUUGCAAUGAAAUAAACUAUUUUGGGUUCAAUUUCAUAUAGAGUGAAUCAGCGCCUCGUUUGGACAGUCAUUUCCUGUCGAAGAAUUACAUCGUUUUUUAUAAUCACAUUUUUUUAUUAUUUUUUUUCUCACAUAUAUUAAAUCGUUACAAUAAUUUAUUACAAAAAAAUUUUAAAAAAUACAAUCCAAACAAGGCCGCGAUUUCAUAGAUUUGCGAUUUUUUUUGCCCAUCCCUAUAGGCCAUGUAUGUUUCUUUACCUCCAAAAACGUAUUGAAAGGCAUUUUCAUCCUUGUCCAAACAACAAUAGACUUACGAGAAUAUUUUUCAUUUUUUCUAACAGGCCGUGACUAUUAAUGAAAGUAGACUAAAGAAAAUAUUUCUUUAUUUCUGGCACUAAUUCCAAUUCUUACCGGUCAAAAGAAGACUGACGUGAUGGUCUAUAAGCAAGUCCACAAUAUCCGUGUACUUUCCUUACUAAUGUACAAAAAGAUUAGGUGUGAAUUGGAAAACUUCGUUUCCAACAUAUAAGUCAAAAAUUGCGAUGUGACAAAAAUUGAUGACUUCAAUAGAGAGAGCGUCCAAGAUAAGAAUUAAGCAUCCAACCUGAGAGAAUACGUGUAAGCAUGCAAAUGCAGAUGUAAAAGUUCCUUUAGUCCAAAGUUAAAAUAGCUAGCAAAUGAAAGUGAUUGACCGAAAGAGCUAUUGUAGAAGUCAGCAAAAGAGGCCUUGCAGCAUCAAAUACUACACAGUAUUUUCCUCAUCACAUGUCAAGACAACGUAAUAUAAUAGACUAAUAGUUUAGAAACCUUGGAAUUCAAUGGAACAAUAUUUAGGAGAGAUGGAUAAGAUGAAGAAUUCAUUAGGUGGAUAAGAAAGAUAGAAACAUCUGUAAACGAAGAAAAGGAGAAAAUGAAGAAGGUGAUCUGAAUUACAAAGCCAGCUCCACUACUAAGCAAGAUCACGGCUAAGUGUCACAAGAUUCACUUGGGGCCUAACGCAACGAAAACAGACUUAAAAUGACUAAUUACUAAUUAGUACCAGUGCUAAACACCAAAACGACCUCGUUUUCGCUGCUUACUAGUCAAUUAAUGAAACACUUAAUUCUGUCACAUGAACCCCUUCUCCCAAUUUAUUUUUCUUGAGCAAUGAAAUAUAGAAGAUUGGAUGGAUAUUAAAUUCCAUAGCCACUUUGAGUUUAUAAUUAAGCACUCUUUUCGAAUUAUAAUAAUCUAAUAUUGUAGAUAUCUACAUGUUUUUAAUUUCUAAGGCGAGAUUAUAAAUUUCUACUAUUAUUCUCUUAAUUUUGGUGCCAUGUCCAUUUAAACUAUGGGAGUAUGUAAGAUUCAAGAAUACCAUGUUGUUAAAAAAAAAAAAAAAGGAGAAAAUGAGAUGAAGAAUGGAAAAGUAUGGAACAUCAGGCUACCAAAUAUAACUUGUUAUUUGGUCAAAAAUGGUCAAACCUUUAGAUGGUAAGCACAAUGGUAACUGCUCGUGACGCCCACAACACAAUGCCCAGUUGUAUAUUCCAUUAGCCCAACCAUUUCUUGUGGCCGAUUAGUUACUUUGGGAUCUAGUGCUUCGGCCGUGCCCAGAUUCAAUUUUUUGAGUCCGUUUUUGGAUAAUAUUUACAUAUAUUUAUGAGCAAAUUGUGCGAAAUGUCACUAAACUAUUUCGAAGUGCCGAUUCUGAUUACUAAACUUUUUUAUUAGUCAAAAAUGUCACUGAACUAGUAAAUCUGUAUCGUUUUAAUCAUUUCAUGUAUUUAUGUCGUUAGGAGAGACGGAAAGUCACUUUUUUAGGGGCAAUUUCGUCUACACAACUGUUAAAAAAUUUAUACCCUCAUGCUUCUUCGUCCUCAUCUUCUUCCUCAAAGUCACAGCAAAAAUUAGACCCACCUGAAUUCCUCUGCCCAAUUUCUGGGUCUUUGAUGUCUGAAAAUCAAAGACCCAGACUCCCUGGCCAGCCCUCUGAACCUCAGACUCCCAUGACUUAGUGAGUACAAAGCUGUCAUACAAUUCUCACGUGUUGACUCGGAUGAGUCAGACUCACUUCCAUCCCGCAAAAUUGCCACCAGGCUGGCCACCGCGCUGCCAUCCAACAAUGCCGACCGUCCCUCUGGUGACACCGCCAAAUUGCAGACCACCAACACCACCCUCCCCACCAAAACCCCACUCCUCAGCAUCCCCAACAAAAUCCCAACGGCUCCAAGCUUAAUCAACUUUACCCUAUUGCUACUAACAAAGCUCAGAUGAUACAACACCAAGGCAGAGUCAACUCGGUCCCGGACCUCAAAGCAUGCAACAAUGGCUCCAGAGCUCCCAAAACCCCAAUCGCCAUCUUAUUCUCGUCCUGCAGAGCUAAACUGAAAAUCCCACCUACGGCAUGCUCCUGAGACUCCUCAAAUCCACCCUUUAGCCAUCAGUAAAUAACCAAAAUUCAGUCAGUAUUUCAAGCUUAGCACGUCUAGGAAUCCUGUAAUACCUCUGCCAAGAAGGAAGGGUGAGCAUAGUGUAGGCAAGUUUUAUCUUAUUUGCAAGCCCAGAAAGAGAUUUGAAGGUAGCAGCUGCUUUUCUUACCGCCACUGAUCCUAGUGGAUGCUGCCAGGCCCACUCAAACUGCAAUUCGAUUCAUUAGACAGCAAUUAGUAUGCUGCCUCAUUUCAUAAUUAAGGCAAAAAGAACUGGCUCUCAUGUUAACAUCAUUCUAGGCCCAUCAAUGAUCAAAAAAAGUUUGUACUUGCUGUGGGUUACAAAGCUAUUAGAAUUCAGAAGUGUAACUCAACAGAGAACUAUGGCACGAAGAGGGCAAAUCAGAGAGGAGAACAAAAGAUGGAGCUAAAAAGAACAAAUCUAUUGCAUAGAAUCCACAAUCUGCAAAACUGUCUUUGCCUACGCUAACCAAGCGGUCACAGAAAAAAACUCAGAGGGCUGGCCAGGGAGUCUGGGUCUUUGAUUUUCAGACAUCAAAGACCCAGAAAUUGGACAGAGGAAUUCAGCAAGUGGGUCUAAUUUUUGCUGUGACUUUGAGGAAGAAGAUGAGGACGAAGAAGAAUGAGGGUCUAAAUUUUUUAACAGUUGUGUAGACGAAAUUGCCCCUAAAAAAGUGAUUUUUCGUCUCUUCUAACGGCAUAAAUACACGGAAUGACUAAAACGGUACAGAUUUAUUAGUUCAGUGACAUUUUUUGCUAAUAAAAAAGUUUAGUGAUCAGAACCGGCACUUCAGAAUAGUUUAGUGAUAUUUCGCGCAAUUUGCUCUAUAUUUAUUUACAUAUUGAUUCAUGAAGGAUAUUUGCAUGUGGCCUUCAUUGAGUCAUGUUGGAAGGCUAUCAAAAGUUACAGGUCUCAUUUGGCCUCAAAAAAGGGUUGUCGUUUGGUAGUAUAACAUGGCUCAUUGACCUGACUGUUUCAUCAUCUGCUCAAAUUCAUCACACGCAGCAGCAAGGAAAGAUUCGAAAGAACAGAACUCCGCCGCACCGUCCGCCGCACAAGUGUUUAAAUAGUAACCUGAGCCAUGUGAUAAUACAGUAGGUGUCAGGAUGACUUGGAUGGAACCAAAACACCCUAAAGCCAAGUCUGCUUCUGCUGACCAAUUACUUCAUCAAGAGUAAAAGUGAGAUCCAAGGGUACAAUAGUCAUAAGAAAUUCACCAAGAAAUUGGCAACCCAUGAAAAUAAAGUACGUGUGAAAUGAUGAAAGAAUCCACAGAGUAAAGGUGUUAACGAGGGACCAAAAUCACUGUUCAUCCAACUCAUUCACACACUUCCUAAGAGAAUAAAAGUGCGAAUGGGCUUAGGAACAGUAUAAUUGGUCUCCUGUUGAUACCUUUAGUAGGUUUUCUUUUUAGUCAUUUCAUCCUUAUUGGCGGGAUUGCUGGGCUUUGUUGGAGCUGAAUUAUGCUCAUCAUGUUAGCAAGUUACCUGGUGCAUCUCAUACGCUUUUGCCACAUGGAUUUUCUGAUCCCACACUCUGAAAUGUUAGUCUGAAUUGUCUUCUCCAUACAACAACAGAAGGAGACAAAAAAAAAAAAAAAAAUUGUUGGUGCAGCUGAAACAUCUGACCGUAAGUGACGACUGAUUGCUAUUUACAACCCCGUUACCAAUGUUACUUUUCAAAUAGAACCUCCUCCACUAUCACGGACUUUUAUGAUUUAUUUUUUGAAUUUUCUUUAUUUUCCCAUCUAUUGUUGAACUGAAUAUUCAAAAGAAGAUGAAUUAUGAUUUCAUUGUUUUUUUGUCUUUUUUGCUUAUAAAAAGUUCGAUUUUUAAGCUUUGUAUCAAUUUUUUUCCCUUAUAAAAAAUUCCUCACUCUCUUUGUGUAAUUUUUUAUGUAUUAGCUCAAUGCUAAUAACAAAUAUCAUGAAGAACUAUGAUGAUUAAUACUGUUGAAUCAUAAAGUAUUAUUGUGAAAGCAUCUGUAGCAAGAUUCUUAUGUAUGUAAAUAUAACAGUUUACUAUUAGUCUGGAUAAUCACUAUUUCCUUUUAACUUUUAAAAAAUGUCAAAUAAGCUUGAAUGUGAAGAUUUUCACUGUCUAUUGAAUCCAAAAGGUCUCUACAGUUGUUGCAUCAUUAACUAUUAGCACACUUAAGUAUGCUUAUAUAAGAAUCUAGCCUCCAACUCAAAAGGAGUGCUUAGAAAAAAAAAAGGUAAUUUAAAAAACCGUCUGCAGUUAAUUAUAUACAAUUAUUACUAAGAUGGUCCGAUCAACUAAAUUUUAGGUUUUAUUUAAUUAUUUCCACCUUUUGAUAUACACACAUCUACAUUAAUCAUGCAUUUGAAGAAUGUAGUGACAGAAGGCACUAAUCUUUAUAGCUCUGAUUUAUUAUAGAACAUGACCCAAAUUAGCAAGAUUAGAUCAAAUUUCUGGAUUUGCAAAUUGAAUCAACUCAACCAAUAAUUCCUUUCUUUUACCAAAUAUAAUUUAGAAUAGCCUAAAUCACAACAGGUCUUUUCUUUUUAUUAGUUUUGGGAUGAUUACAGUUCACUAACUGCAAUCGGAGCACCGAAUUAACAUGCAAUGCACGUUCUACUGGACUAGUAAGAUUAAAAAAUUUCAAGUACGCCAGUUGAAGUUUUUCAAUGUCUUUUGAAUCCAAACUGUCUACUAAUUAUAAAUGUCAACGUAACUCCCCAUUGUUGUUUAGCAUGCCAAAUUACGUAAAUAAUCUAAUCAAGCUUUUUCAGAUAGCUACACUAAAUGGUCAUAGAAGAUGUCCCUCAUCUGCAAGGUGGAGAGAUGAAUUAAGUUGACCAUUGUAGAUUAAUCUUCUAGCUGAUUUGUAAUUGGCCUAUUAAACAAUGUUGGAUGCUGAAGUUCAACAGAAUGAUAAGAAAUUUUUUGUUUUCGAUUUUGGAGCUCACAAGAUAAUGAGAUAUGACCUAGGCCAAAUCGUGACUAAUACUAAUAAUGCGAAAGUAUACAUAGAAAAAUUAUACAGAGAAAGAGGGAGGAGGAGGAAAGAAGGGAAGACAGAGGGAGAGAGAGAGGAGAGAGUGUGGGGAGGGGCGGUGAUGCUGGUGGCGGUAAAGGAGAGAGGAGGGGAGGGGUGAUAACGGUAAUGGGUGGAAGAAGAAAUGGUGAUAGUACUUUUUUUUUUUUGUAUUUUUGUAAGUUAUAUUUGAAAUUGUAUGUAUUUUGGAGUUGUUUUUAAAGUUUGUUAUUGUAAACUCUACAAACAAAUAUAGGUUGUAGGAAAACAACAAAUCCAAGCAGAGUUUUCCAGCUUGAGCACCGCUUAGAGCCAAUUUCCUGAGAUUAGACCGGGAAGCAUCCCAACUUAUAUUCCUUGCUUUUCUGAUUUCCCUGUGGAAGGACAGUGAAGUGUUUCUAGUUGAUGGAAGUAGGCCAGACCCUUUAUAUACUCAGCAUGAUCGAUCCCUAUAGGGGUCUUCUUUGGUUUCACAUAUUCCUAGCUAGUUCUAUAAGAUAGGCAUCAUGGCAAAAGCAUCCCUCCUGCAACAGAGAAACUGUUCUGUGGAUAAUGUCUUUAGGUUUGACGAAGACAAUGGCUGGCGGUAAUUAUUGCUUGCAGCAUCAGUAAGAUAGCUUAGAAAAGCAACCAUAGUUAUAUGGAGAUGCCUGGAGUUUUGCAUACUCCAAUAUCUCACUGUUAGAGUUGGGAUAUCCCGUCUUCCCUCAACGGCCAUGGACCAUUGAUGAUCAAAUUUUGGAGAUUCUAGAGCCUGGGUAGUGAGACAGGAAGCUUGUAAGUAACAUUGAGUGCAAGAUACCUCAUUUUUAAUCUAACUAUUUGACCAGGGAAAGAAUCAAAGUGCAGAAAAAAUAUGUCCAGUACUCCGAAGGGAUUGGAGUUUCAAUUAAGAGAAAAAUAUAUCUGGCACAAAACGUGAACCCAUAGUAAAACAUAAAAAGGAUUGAAGACAUCGAUAUGGAUGCGCUAAGUAGACAUCAGAGCACCAGAGUUCAAGUGCAAAACGAGAUGACGUAGAUUAUCUUUUGCCGGAAAACUUUGGUCUUCUCUAUUUAUUACAUUCACGAUGUUCUCUUUUUGAGCUUCCCUUGGGCAUAAUUUUGGCAAGAGAUCGUGUAGUUUACAACAUUUGAUUUUGCCAACAGCACUUCUCUUUCCAGCCAAAACUACCGCUAAUAAGUGUUGAAUUUGUUUUUGUAUCUCACAUUGAAAGGUUGCAAAGAAAUAUCUCCUCUUGGUGGUUAUAAAUAUAGUGGAUUUAAUUGAGUUUAAUCGUGUUAAGGGCACCAUGCCAAGUGUUGUGUGCAUCAAUUCAAGAGAGUUUUAGGAGGCCCACGUUCCAAUCUAAGAGAGGAGUUUUGAUUAGGCAUUAAACUAAAAAAGCAAGUUAUGGGCCUUUGGACCAUUAAAUAUUUAGUGCUAUUUAGACUCUUUUGUAUUUUCAGUUUUAGGUGCCUUUUAAGUUUAGAAAUUAUUUCCUAGGUUUUGCCCUUCGCCCAUGGACGUAGGUCAGUUUGACCGAACCACAUAAAUUUCGUGUUUCUCUGUUUGAUUUGUUUGUUCUAUUAUUGUCAUUAUUAAGUUGGCAAAAGUCCUAUUAUUCUCGUUGGUCAAUUUCCUGGGACUAGAUCUAACAAAUUGGUAUCAGAGUUUCAAGUUUUGGGUCAUGGUCAGAUUUUGGGUUCUUGAUGACAAUAACAGGUAGAAAAAAUUUUUCGUUGGAGUUCAGUUGGGUUUUUUAGAAGAGUUAUUUGGCUUGUUAGAACUCGUUGAGGGUUUUGAGAAGAAGGUGGAACAAAAUUACUAUGUUCGUGGUUUUUAAUCCAUUGGGAUUUGUUAAAUGUUUUAUGAGAUUUGACUCAUUGGGACCUGUUGAGCCUUUUGCAUCUUGGUUCGUUGGUAGCUUGUUGGGGUUUAUUGGGACUUUGGUGAUUCGUUGGGACUUUUAUGGAGAAGGUGGAGCUUGUUUGCUAUUCAUCUGCUAUUUGUCGAUGUUGGAUAUACGUCAAGGUGGAGAUUUGUUGAAUUUGUCUUUGUAUCCCACAUGGAAAGUUUGCAAAGAAAUAUCUUCUCUUGGUGGUUUUAAAUAUAGUGGACUUAAGUGAGUUUAAUUGUGCUAAGGGCACUAAUCCAAGUACCGUGUACACCAGUCCAAGAGAGUUUUAGAUGACCCACACCCUAGUCUAAGAAAGGAGUUUUGGUUAGGCAUCAACCCAAAAGAGCAAAUCAUGGGCCUUUGGACCAUUAAGCAUUUAGUACUAUUUAGACACUUUUAUAUUUUCAGUUUUAGAUGCCUUUUGAUUUUAGGAAUUAUUUCCUAGGUUUUGUAUUUUCUCUUUUGUCCAAUUGAGUGAAUUAUCUCUAAAGUUAUUUCUUGACUAAAGUUUAUUUAUUAUUGAUUCAAUUUUGAUAAAUUGUCAUUUAAUCCUUUUUAUUUGAUUUUUUUAAUUAUUCUCAUUUUUUUUAUAAAAAUUCUCCUGUACUUUGUGCUCUAGAAGAAACAAAAUUUUCCCAGUUCCUGUAGAUUCGACCCUGCUUACACACUAUAUAUAAAAAUUUAUAUUUUAUUUGAGUAGGUUUUUAUUAUUGCACAUAUUUGACACUUGUCAAUUUUUGGUAUUUAUUAUUGCACAAACUCAACAUCUAUCAAUAUGUUAAUAUUUAUUUUGGUAUUUAUUUAUUUAUUUAUUUGGAAAAAGGCACCUGUUAUAGUGACCAUUCAUGUUUGCUUAUGCUUGAAGGAAGUGAAUUUCUCACCCAAGGUGGCUCCACCCUUGGUACAUGAUACUUUGUCUGCAGACAGAAUUUCUGCUCUCCAGUUUUAAUAAAGGGGAUUCCUAUAUCCUGUGAAUCACAUGUAUAGACUUUACAAUUAACGCGUUGCAUUUUUAUUUUUGUUUUGCCAUGGCUCUAAUCAAACGUUGGCUGCCAUAAACAUAGAAAUUUGGCAAAUCAUUGUCGCUUGCAAAUUGCAAUGAAAUGAUAAGGGAGAGAAAGGGCAUCCCACUUUUUUUUUUUCAAAUCCAUUAGAACUGUACAAUAUGUACUCCAUCUAUUAUAUUAUAGUUCUUUUCUAUCCAUGUUUGCAACAUGUACUCAAAAAGCCUAUAACUAUGCAGUAAAUACUAAGGACUUUUGUAUAUGGCUAUAGGUAUACAAAAUAGUCCUAUCUAUCUUAUCAAACACUUGUAGUCCAGUCCCCAUUCGAGCAUCAGUUCCAAAUUUUCCUUGGUUCUUGGAGCACUCUCCCAAGAUACACAAGAAACUGUGAGGCGAAUUAAUGAAAUUGGCAAUUUCUACUAGAGAGUACAAUUGACAUGGUCAUGACCCAGAGGUUAACGGUGCAAUUCAAUCAUGCAUGAAAAUGAGACAAUUUUUAGUUGUCAUUAAAAUUUAACUUACAAUUCUUUUUAAAUUCUCCCCUUUCUCAAGUUGGCUUUUAAAUUUUCAAUAGGAUAAAAGCAAUAGUUUUAUUUCUUCAUGGGUAUAUCUGAAGAAAUGAGACUUAAGAAAACAUAGGGGAGAAAGAGUUAUAAAAAGUUUGAAAGGUGCAAAUGUGAGGCAAUUUUGAAAAAAUUGAAGAUUUAUAACUGGUCAAUUAAGUGUAGAGUAAACGGCGAAAAAAGUCACUAAACUAUUUACAAUGCAUGCUUUAGUCACGCAUCAUCCAUUCAAGAAUCACGUAUACUUUGAUCAGCGACAAACUAUCUACUUUGUCCUUGUAAUACUACCAAAAAAAGAAAAAAAAAAAAAAGAAAGAGCACUUGCAGAAAUGGGAACCAUAAGUGGCCUACCAAGCCUGACAAAAUUGAUCAAAAGCAACCGUAGACUACGGAAUUGGAUUCCAAAUUUGGAAUGGCACUUUGUUGAAAGACAUCCAUAAAUACCCACAAGUAAUGAGUCUCCUAAUGCAUCCCUCAUUCACCUCGAAUCAUUUCAACUUCAUAUUUCCUUGACAGUCGUAUAUAGUUUCUUUGUACUCAAAACUUUCGAGGGAUGGGUAGAUACGCUUUAUUAGUUGGUUGCUGCUAUUUGGGGGAUCGGGAUGAACUACAAGGCUGCUAUAAUGAUGUGGACGCAAUGCAAGGUCUGCUGAUAAAUAGGUUUGGUUUUCAUCCCAAUGAUGUGAUAGUUCUCACUGAUAUGCCUAACUCCCCUCUGAAGCCCACAGGUGCUGUUAUAAAGUAUCAGCUUUGUCAGAUGAUUAAGCGGGCAAUGGCCGGUGAUGUUGUACUGUUCUAUUUUAGCGGCCACGGAACUCAUCAGGAUUUCUGGGAAGGCCCCUACUGCAAACGAUUGGAAGCAAUUGUCCCCUCUGAUUUCAAUCUCAUAUACAGUAAGUUCAAACAUAUAUAUAAUACAGCGAUGCCAAAGCCCAGAUUUCUCAGUUUCAUAUAAUUUACACCCGUGUCUUGUUCACAUUCUACAUUACUUCUGUCAACAGGUGCAGACUUUCGAUAUAUGGUAAAUAACAUGCCACAAGGUGCUGAUUUCGUUAUGAUAGCGGACUCCUGCAACAGUGGGGGGCUAAUAGAUCAGUCAAAGGAGCAAGUUGGACCCGGCUUUCGUCCAGAUGUUUGCUAUCGCACAAGGUCCUACAAUUACGGUAACAUUGGCGGCGGUCGCAGAGCCAAAAGGAUGCCCAUCGAAUCGGUUUUGCGGCAUUUGAGACCUUUGAGUCACGUAGACAGUUCAGAUAUUAGAACACUCUUGAGAGACAUUUACGGAAAUCAAGCCAGCAUCCUGUUCCGACGGCAUGUUGAUCCCGAUGCCAGGGUUGAUCGUGGCAUUCUUAUCAGUGGAUGCCAGUCCAACGAAACCGCAGUCGACGAUGAUGGGAAACAUCGUCGCCCUUAUGGUCUGUUUACUGAUGAACUUUGCUCUACAUUGCGGAACCUGCGCCGUCCCAUGAUGAGCAACGCAGAGCUUGUGGAGACUAUUAGAGAUAAUUUAAGAAACAAGGAUCAGCAUCCAUGUCUCUACUGCUCUGACAGGCAUGCCGAUGCACCUUUCCUGUGGGUACGCUGAAUCAAUCGACAGUAUGUGUGACUGAGAUCCUACGUACCACUACAUGAAAUUAGCUGGCCAAAUAAAGGGUUUAGAUGUUUUCUUUAGAUGGUUUUUGAAGCAUUUUAGCAAUUUCAUACGGUUUGUUCGUGAGUGUAUUCCUCUGUCUUUUGGUUUUUUCUAGUUCAGCUUCUUCCACCUGGUUCUGUUUUGGCAAUAAAUUUGUUACAGUAAACCGCCUGGAACCUUUUAGUUGAUGGGUACAUUUUGCAUUUGCCGAAAGAUUUUUACUAAAUGCUACAAUAGAUACAUGUACACUGUGUGCUGUAAAAUUGAAUUCCAGCAAAUGCCAAAUUUAUCUAUUUUACCACCCAACAAGGAUGCACAUUCUAACAUUUAAAAUGCAGGCCCUUUUUUUUUUAAAAAAAAAUUUUUGGGUAGGGUGGGAUUGAAGAGUUUGGAAAUUUGAACCCAGAACUUCUAAUUGCUCUAGUCUUAACCAUAGCCACACAAGAUUAGAUAUGAUGUGCCAUGCACACUUACUUACACUUAGCCGUACCACCGUACUAACUAAGCACAGCAAGACCGACCAAGGGUUUCACAUAGAAAAUCAUACAGCAAUUUUAAUUUGUAAACGCAUUUUCUAACUGGAUUAAAUGUUAACAUCCUAGAAGAUUACAUUAAUAAUAAAAUGCGGGUCCAUCUUAUUCAAACUUGAUAUCACAAUUUAACUAAAGAAAGCAUAGCAAAACCGACUAUGAAGUCUACAAGGUUUUUUUGUAUUUCGAUUCACACAUCAACUUCAAUCUAUAAAAACCAUCUCCCAUCGCAUUGCUUUGCACCCCAAAUCCUUGUUAAGAACUACAUUUCUUGAAACCUCUUUGUUCUGUAAGAACUUUUGUAUGUACCCAAACACCAAACUAAGGCAACGUGCCACAACUUAAAAUUAGAAAAUUUUACCUUUAUCCUAAUGAAAAUUUAAGAAAUUACCAUGGAAAGAGAGAGAAUUUGGAAAAAAAAUAUUUCAACUCUUUUUUGGCAUAAAACACAUCAUAGUUUUAUUAAAUAAUGAAAUAUGCACUAAUUGUAAAAAUUACAUGAUACAAAAUAGAUACAACAGAUCUAAAAGAUUAGAUAAUACACUACCGUUUCAAGAAUAUCUGUGCAUGUUUCAACCACCAAAUCUGCUAAUUAAUUUUUUUCAAAUUUCGACAAUAUGAUAAUAUCUGACAAAAUAAACCUAAAAAAUUUCAAAUUUGAAACGAAAUCUGAAAAAAAAUGAAAACAAAGAUCUAAUAAAAGAAAUAGAAAAAUAAGAAAAUUUUCUCUAAAAUACUUUAAACUAAUUUUAGUGACAACUCAAAAUUGUCUUGCGUGCAUUUGUUAUUGACUUGCAAUUACCAAAGUGUUUGCCCCAUAAUCUCUAGCUUUGGACUAUGCCAUUGUAAUAAACAAUGGGGACAAGAAUGCCAUUUCGUUCGGAUUUUUGUUUACAUACUUCUUGAUAAGUCGUUAUCAUGUGUUUGUGCUUUCUACACAACGCAAUUUGCAUCUAAUAAAUUGCUUAGUUAAUUAAGCAUCUUUACCUGGCCUACCAAUUAAUACUUGAAUAGUUUACCCAAAGCUAUCAUGACUCACGAACUUGGAUUUAUGCAUAUGGAAGCAUCUUAAAAUAUUCAGCACUGGAGUUAAUGAUAAUUUAUUUUUUCAUCGUAUUUGACCAUUUUGAGUGAUAAUCAUAGACAGUCUUUCUGGGUGAACAGCAUAUCGGUUCCUGAGAGAGCAAAAUACCAAGCCCGAAGAAACUCCAGUUCUAGCUUCAAAGUCUGAUUAAGGCUCUAGCUCUGGCCUGGUGUUAUUUUGCAAACAGGUAAUCUAGCACCAUCAAUUUUGUCUUAAUUUUCUGGCAAUUUUUAGAUGUUUCAUUUCCUAUUCGUCACUAAUUUGACUAUCUUUGUCAUUUUUGGGCUCUUUGGAAUCGAACAACUAUCAGUUACCCUUUAGCUGAUGUGGUUACGCAGAGAGAUUUAGAGGGAGAUGGCUCAGGCUGCAAUUGUUUCUCUGGUGCACCAGUUGGAGUGCCUGAUGAAAUUCCCUUUAUUGAUUCUCGAGAUCAAGAAGAUGCAGGUCAAAGCCUUCUCUGAGAAAGUCUCUGAACUUUUAAACGUUUUAGAAGGAACUCCAGUUCUAGUGAGAUCUCGUGUGGAGCAAUUACGAUUCGAGAGUGAACCUCUUGGACGGUCAAUUGGAGAUUUUCUUGUUGCAGUUAAGUCUAAUGCAGUGGUGUCAGACGUCAUGGAGAUCAUGCAAAGAUUACUCCAAACUCACUUAAUGUCAGAGAAUAUGCAGAAAAUACUUGAUGAAGUGCCUACCAUUUUGAUGCAAAUUGAUUUCAUUGACAAAGAAUCAUACAGAUUCCGUUCCAACAGAGAUCUUCAGAGCACCAGGGAAAACCCAAGACUAUGUUAUUUUCUUGAUGUAGUUAGAGAAAUGGAUGGUCCCAGUCAUGAUCUGAGAGCAGCUGUAGUCUUUUUCAAUGAUGUGGGGAUCCAGCAGAUGGUUCUGUACAAAGAUCUUCAGUUCUUGCUCACUGCAUUUGAGGAUUCUUCUGUCAAAUGGCAUGGCCGUAAUGAAGUGGAGAAAGAUGUCAAAUAUAUUGUCAACAGAGCAGCAGAUUUUGUAAAAGAAUGGAUGAAAGACAAUUCUAUCCUGUCAGAGAUGAGCUGUUUAAUAGAUACACUAAUUCACAAGUGCACCGAAAAAUCUCUGGAUAGGAAAAUUAAUCUUGAAGCAGCAGUUAAAAGUGGCUUUGAUGGCGAGAGAGGCAUUCACCAAUACUUUUCACAUAUAUCUGGAGAGAUUCAAUCCAUUAGGAGAAAGAUCAGACAGAUUAGAGGGAUAAAGGGUAUUACACUAGGUUUAAAAACCUUGCAGCUGCAGAGUAGUCUUCCCCUCAAAGGACAUUCAUUAUCUGAUUCAAAUCUGAGGAAUAUUGUAGUUGGUUUUGAUGCUGUUUUGAAGAAAAUUGUGGAUAGACUAGCAGAACCCUUGCUGGGACGAGAAGUUCUAGCAAUUGUGGGGAUGGGUGGUAUUGGUAAAACUACUCUAGCUAGACAAAUGUUCGAUCACCCUGAUACUGAUUUUCAAUUUCAUUGUCGGGCAUGGGUUAGAGUAUCUCAAGUAUACCAAUUGAGAAAUUUGUUGCUUGAUCUUUUGCGCUCUGUUACCAAGCCCUCUGAUAAUGUUCAUGAAAAGACUAAUGAAGAUCUAGCUCAAGACUUGUAUCAAUCUCUAAAAGGUAGGAAGUACCUGGUUGUCAUGGAUGAUGUAUGGAGUAAUGAGGCCUGGGAUUGUAUCCAGAUGUGUCUUCCAGAUGACAAUAAUGGUAGUCGAGUAGUUGUGACCAGCCGGUUCAUGGAAUUAGCAACCUAUGUGAGUCCAAAGAGUCUUCCACAUUGUAUGAGUCUUUUGGAUACAAAGCAAAGCUGGGAACUGCUGGAAAAGCUUGUUUUUGGACUUGAAAGUUGCCCUCUUGAAUUGGUGGACUUGGGAAAGCAAAUAGCAAGAAAAUGCCAUGGAUUACCCCUUGCAAUUGUUGUUAUAGCUGGCACUCUGUCUAGAACUGUGAUGACAUCUGACUGCUGGAAGGAUGUUGCAGCUAGUGUAAGUUCAGUUGUAUUCACCAAUCCCGAACAAUGUUUAGAUAUACUUGCUCUGAGUUACAACUACUUACCCCAACAACUUAAAGCUUGCUUUCUAUACAUGGGAGCCUUUCCUGAAGAUUAUGAGAUUGAAGUUCGGAAGUUAUUUCGUUUAUGGAUUGCUGAGGGCUUCUUGGAAGCAAGUUCUUCAAGUAAUCUUGAAGAUGUGGCAGAGGCCUACUUGGAAGAUCUUAUUGGUAGGAGUUUAGUUUUGGUUGGAAAAAGGAAUGUAGUUGGCAAAAUCAAAAGUUGUCGACUACAUGACCUCUUGCGGGAAUUAUGCCUGAGGGAAGCUCAAAAAGAGAACAUCAUGACAGUAAUAAAGCAAGAGGACCAAAGUUUCCCUGCAAAAGAUAAUCAGCGUCAUCUCAUUUUGCACUUGAACUCUGAUGCUGAUGUCCACUUAGCACCUCCAUAUCGAAGUCUUCAAUCUUUUUUGUGCUUUACUUUGGGUUCAGGUUUUGUUCCAGAUAUCUUUUUCUCUUAUUUGAUAUUCCAAUCCCUCAGAGUAUUGGACAUGUUUUUCUUGCAGUUUGAUUCUUUCCCUGCUCAAAUAGUUAACUUAGAAUAUUUGACGUACCUUGCACUGAACGUUACCUAUAAGCUUCCCACGGCACUAGCCAGACUCAAGAAUCUCCAAACCUUAGUCAUCAAUGGUCCAUGGCCAAUAAGGGACGACGGGGAUCUCCCCACUCUGAUAGUGAGAUAUUGGAGUAUGCCAAACUUGAGGCAUCUCCAUACAACUAUGGUUGCUUUUCUAAGCUAUAUCACUGAUGCUGCAAGCAAUAUUUACCGCAAGCCGUUGCCUUUGGGAUACCUAAAAACAUUAUCAACAGUACAGUUUCUCUGUUGCAGGAGGGAUGCGUUUGCCAAUAUGCCCUAUCUUGCAGAACUAGGAUUGUGUGAAACCAAAGAAGACUACUACAGGGAUCGAUCAUGUGAGUGUCUGAAGGAUCUGGCCUACUUGCAUCAGCUUGAAGCACUCAACUGUUCCUUUUACAAAGAAAUCAGAGAGGCAAGGACUAUAAGUUGGGAUGCUUUCCCAUCUAAUCUCAGGAAAUUGACUUUAAGCGCGAGCAAUCUGCCAUGGGAGGAUAUGACUAAUGUUGCCAAGUUACCCAACCUUGAGGUGCUCAAGCUGAAAAACUAUGCCUUCCGAGGAUCAACAUGGAAACUAACUGAUGAAGUAUUUCGCUGUCUGAAGCAAUUACUAAUUGAAAAAACUGAUAUUGUGCAAUGGGAAGCAGAAGAUGAUCACUUUCCCUGCCUUCAGUUCCUAAUCCUGAGGUCCUGUGAGUUUCUUGCUGAGCUCCCCUAUGUUCUUGGAGAAAUCCCAACUUUGGAGCGAAUUGAGUUGCACUACUGUAAUGAAUCUGCUGAGCUUUCUGCACAAGAAUUUAAAGAUCUGAUUGAAGACCUUGCUGUCAUGAUCAGAAAUUGAUCAAUUUGUAAGAAAGUAUUUCAAAAAAUUCUCGACUUUUGAUCUUUACUUUUCACAUAGGACCCUGCUUAAAUGCUCAGUAGGAUUGCAAGUACUUUACCAUUUCAGUGUAGUGGAACUACUUUAUGUAAUGCCCAUCUUCAUGAUGGUACUUAACAUUGCCAUGUGCAAUUCUUGAUAUCUAAAACUUUCGGUUUUCGUUUUUUUGGGUGCAGAGAUCUCCGUUGUCUAACUACAUGAUUUGUUAAUUCUUUUGCCAAUUCAUAUCUGGAUAACUGCUUCUGCUCUGAAGUGCUUGCUGGACAUGGAUAAGUUUCAUCUUAAAGUUUAAUUACGGAUUUUCGCAUCAGAUUGCAGCUAACAAGUAACUUCAUCAUUCUGCAUACAUCUUGAUUCACGACGUUACAGAUUUCCGUAUCAACUCUUAUGAAACCUAUUUCACUAUAGAACAACACUUCAUACAUACUAACCCUAAUUAUUGGAUGUAGAGUAAUCAUCAUAUCCAUGAUGAUGGCCUUGAAGGAAUCCAACUUUCGAUAGCCUGUUGUCAUCCAAUUAAUUAAGCCGUUAUGCAAUCACUUGAUUAAGGUUAAUGAUGGCGCUGUGAAUAAAGUUAAAACUUGCUAGACAUGCAUGUGGGUUCUUUUUUCCCUUCUUUUUUUUUUUAAGCACAAGAUUGGAAUGGAAAUCCACAAAAUGCAACUGAAUUACAUAUGAACAAUUGAUCAACAUUACUAGUUGGUGGGUUAGCUGGUUCCAUGCAUGUGUUUUGAUGCCUAAUAGUGACAUUAGAUUUAUUAUUUGGUUAUGAUGCUGCGGUAGCAGGUAGGGAUAGAUUCUGCAGCGACAAUAAAUUUGACAAAUUAAAGCAAUUUCGGUAUUCUAAUGUUUUCGCCUCUCAAGUACUGUUACAAACUUUUUUCAUAAUCGACUAUUUGGAGGUAGUGUUGGUGUAACAUUUUGAAAACUAAUUCUUGGUUGAAUUACCGUACCCUAUGUACCGAGGCUAGCCUAAUCUAUAGGGCUCUUUUUUUAUUUAUCAUUCAUCACUUAGAGUCUUAUUCCUACUCCUAGACUUACUUUAUCCUAAUCUGAAUGGGUGAAAAAACCACAUAUUGUGGUGAUAGGAUGUAAGAUUUGAAUCCUUGAUCUCUCACCCCAUCAAGAUUUAAAAUCUUUGGUGGUGGCUAAUAGCCCAAAUGGCUGUCGGUUGAAUUACUGUACCCUCGUGAAAAGGAAAAACAUGAGGAACAAAAGCCGAAUCAUAAGUCCAGCUAACUUUUGUUUAUGAUGACCAGUCUUAACUUUUUUAGCGUGAAUCAAAACUUAAUGAGGUUAUGUCCAUGGUUUUGGGAAAUGCUUAGUCCCAUGUUUAACAAAAUUUUGACUGUUUCUUUGUUUAUUUAUCCAGUUUUUUUUUUUUAAUAAGAUUGCACCUAUCCCAUUCACCAAGCUGCAACUACAACUAAAGCCAUGAUCAUAUGAUCAAUAUACUCAAAUUACCAUUCAAUAACGUUACAACUGGAGUGAGUUGUUGAUAUUUUUUUUAAUUUUUUGAUGUCUAUCAACUGGAGAUUUGAUAAUGAUAGAUUAGAAUAGUCACCAUCUAAAAGAUUGUCCAAGUUCAUUGUGUCUUAUCUCAUGAUAUGCCUAGAUACAAGUUUUUUACCUUUGUAACUAUUGUAUGAAAUAUAGAGAAAAUAUUUCCUUAAUUCUUUCUUUUCUUCUUUACGCGAUAUCAAAGUAGAGAAUUCAGGGUCUCCGCUUGAAAUAUAACUCUGAUAAAAAAUUUGAAUCUAAACCAUGAUAGCAUCAUCCAAGAUUGUGCUAGGUAGGAGUUGACUCAAUUCUUAAAGACUUGGCUAUACGAAUAAUGUAAGUCUUGAACCGGUGUUAGAGACCUACAUCAAGCAAUAAUUCUUCCACAGCUCAAAUUGGUAUCAGGUUGGAUGACACUAACUAUAUUUUAUGGUCCCAAAUUGUCAAGAUGUAUAUCUCGGAUAAAGACAAGAUGGGAUUUAUUAAUGGUGAACUUCCUCAACCCUCACCCACAGAUCCAAUGUAUCGAUGGUGGUGGACUGAAGAUUCAAUCGGGAAAGGGUAGUUGAUAAAUCCCAUGGAUCCACCCUUGAUCGGUAACUUCAUUCAUCUCUCUGCUACCAAAAAGGUACAGGAUUUGUUGCUAAAACUUUCUUUGAUGGGUCUAAUACAUCAUAGGUGUAAGAACUGCGGAGAAGGGUGACUCAAAUGAGGCAAGCCAAAGGGCUGAUUAAAAAGUAUUACAAUGACCUUCAAGUUUUGUAGAUGAAAAUUGAUUUCCAUCCACCUAAUUCGAUGGAUUGUGCAGCCGAUAUCAGCAGGUAUAACUCUCAUAGAGGAAGACAUAGUAGAUAAUUUUUUGUGGGUUAGAUGAUAGGUUGGACAAAAUUUGCAGUGGCAUACUUCUAGGGAACUCGUUUCCUAUGGUAGAGUAAGUAUAUACCUAUGUUCAAUAUGAGGAUACCAGGCACUUGGUGAUGCUGACAGCAAGAGACAACACAACUGGGGCUAUUAUGGCUUUUAAGGAAGUUCAGAAGACACAAAUUAUCCUAUUAUACAAAAAUUUGCAGUCUAAAGGAGAUGAAUAUACCUAUUGAGAGAACAAAAGGCACACAUGUUGAUGUGGAAUGCCCCUUUCAUCUCAAGAAGUUAUUUAGAGUCGAAAUUAGGGUAUAUUUUAUAGUUUUAUUUUUAUUUUCGUUUAAUUUGAGUAGGAUUGUUAUAAUUAUUGUCAGCGAUGAGAGAUCAUGAAAAAGGGAAGAAGACAUCAGAGGACAGCUAGCCCAAUGACCGGCGUCGGACGUCGCCGAGUAAUAGUUUCUUGUUUUGAGUUGGAUGCCUAUAGUUAUGGUAACAGUAUUAGGGAAGCCUGCUAUUAUAAGUUUUCAUUACCUUUAGUGAUAGAUCAAAAUUUUUAGCGACUUUUUUAAAUAUUAUAUUAAAAUAAUUAAUAUUAACUUUAGUAAGUUUUUAAUUAAAACUAGUAAGUAUAUGCCUGAAAGAUAAGUUUUAGUCAAAAAUAAAAAUUUACACUUUGAGUAAUUUAAUUUACUUAUUAUUUGACAAAAUUUACUUUUUUUUAAAUUAAACUUACUAAUACUAAAAGUAAAAAAUUUACAUAUUUAAGUAAAAAAAUCACCGAUUUUUGAAAACGGUUUUGGGUUAUCACAUCUCUCUAAAGUUGCUUACCUUCUUUUUAUUUUCUUCUCACCUCACGAUAUGAUGGAAUAGAAAUUUUUUCCUGGCAAAAUUUUCAUGGUAAGAUUACGACAAUUCUGAUCGAGAAUCACCGGACGGAUUCGAGAACAAAGAUUUUGACUCCCACUGGAUGCCGUUUAAAGGCCCUUCCAGCAAGGUAUAGUUGCAAACAAAAUGAUUUGUGUUUUUGUUAUUCCACUGAAAAUUGAAUAUUCUUCUACAUAUUCAUUGUUCCGUUUUCUUUUUGUUUUGAUUUUAUCGUAGUUUUAGAUGACAAUGAAGGAGAGGCUUUUGCUAGUGAAUUGAAAAUUGUACCCUUCGUAUUUUGUGCAUCUUCUGUUCCUUCUUAUUUAAGUUUUAUACAUCUUUUGGCAAUGACUCCCACUGGAUGCCGUUUAAAGGCCCUUCCAGCAAGGUAUAGUUGCAAACAAAAUGGUGGUAGUAGUAUGUCGUUGUUUAUGUGAAAAGUGGUUAAUUUGGGAAUGCAUAUAAGGUGUUUGGUGAAAUGUCCAAAAGAAAUUUGUAUGAUAUGAUCGAUGCCUGUACAGGGUUAGAAAGCACCGAACAACUUGAUUAAAACCAUAGUUGACGAAUUUCAGUUACGCCGGCCAACUUGUACUAGGAAACAAAAAUGUCAAAUGCACUUCAUCAUUUAUUGGUAAGAAUUGAUACUUUAAUUUUACAAUAAGUUUGGUUAAACUAUAAAGGAGGUAAAUGUAAUUAAACCCCAAAAGUUUUAACCGCUCCUUCUUUUUAUUCUUUUUUUUUAUUUUUUAAUAGCUCAGUUUCAGUCUUGUGCUCUACAACUUUUUGCUUGCAUGAUUUAGAUCAGAAAGAAUAAAUCCAAAUAAUCAAAUGUCAUGGAGUUCUCUUUACGUGGUGAUUACUUAGGAAGCUUAUUUACCAGUUGGAAAUGUUAUUUGCUCUUCUUGAAACUGCAGUUUCUAUGAUUUGAAGUGGUUUCAAUCUUUGCUAUGAUUAUGCGUUGUUGUGGCCUUUUUUUAAUACAAAUCUUGUGAUGGUUUUGUAGUGAAUGAACCAGAUUUCAGCCAAGACCAUUAAGGAAUUUUAUUCUUGAGAGGGUACAAAUUUUUUUGUUCGUCUUUACUCUAAAAAUUUAGGAUUAUUUAAGUUUCUUCGAAGGUAGUUUAAUGCGUAUUGAUUGUAAAUCUGAACAUAAUCUCCUUAGUUUGCAAUUUCUAGUAUUUACUUGUUUUAAUGUGAAUAAUUUCAGCUUGCUUGGAAAAAAGUUUGGUUAAUGAUGGCGUUUAAUUUCAAGAAUUGGCAUUUCAGAACAUUCAAUUUUUCUAAGUUUCAAUUAGAAGUUAACCUUGUUUGUGGCAGUCUCGAGAAGUUAAACCUUUUACAAAAGGUUUAAGAUCCAGUAAUCCCGUGUACACUUCCAUAUUUUCCAUCAUUUUAGUCACUUCAGAUAUUGUUAGCAUCCAAGUGCUCUUGGGUUUGUAAACCAGAAAUUUCAAUUCAAACUGAAGCUUUUGAUAGUGAUAUCAGAGCCCUUGACGCUGGUGAUUUUGUUCUCAAAUCAAGUUACUAGCCUUUUGAUUGUUUCAGUUUUCUGAAUCCAAAGUCUUUGUGCUCUAAAUUCAGCUCUUGGCCAUGAAAUCUUGUCAUGCUUAGAUAUCUAUAUCUAGUGUCCUGCCAGCUUAAUUUUGGUGCGUAAGUAUCAGUUAUUAAAAGUUACAAAAUGAUAUUAAAUCUCAGGUUGCUAUUUUUGUUAGCGGUUAAACAUUCAAAGGCAUUAAUCACUUAAUCCUAAAUGAAUUUAUUUAACUUGUGUGAAGUUGAAAUUAUUAUAUUUGGACAAAUAAUAUAUUAUAUUAUUUUUUACUUUUAUACUGUUUUAAUUUAUUUUAUAUUUAUUUUGGGAUAAAACACUUUUACAGUGUUUUAAUUUAUUUUAGAUUUGGUUUGGGAUUAUUUAUUUAAAUUUUUAUUAUUUGAUUAUGUAAUUUGUAUUAUGCGAAAUUGGUUUUAUUAGAAAUUACAGUGGUAAAUUAAUAAAUUAAAAUUAAGUUUUGGGUCAUUCGGGUCGACUCGUCAACCCACCGACCUGAAAUUUUUGGAUUCUGGUCAGAUAUCCUGACCUGUUUCGAGUUGGCAAGUCAGGUUCGGGUCAAUGGUUUUCUAUUAUACCUGGUCUCAACCCGACCCGCCAAUCCAAUUUGGACCCAAUUGCCACCCCUAAUUAUAUUGGUAAAAAAAACGUAUUUUACAAAUUAUUCCAAUUUAUUUAGAAAAUGUUACUAAUUUCAUUACAAAUUUUGAAAUGUAAUCAUGGUUUACUAAGUUUUUACUAAACAUAGAUACUGCAUACAAAAGGAAAAGAUAUUUGACUUUGUUUUACUUUGAUUAGAAAAACUUGUGGUAGUAAUAACGAAAUAGUAACAGUGGUGCAAAUUUCAAAUCAACAACCAACGUACACUUAAUUACGGUUAUUUUUUAGUUGAUUUGACUAAUAUAUGCCAUAAAGUAGUAAGAUUUGAUCAUUUAUAAAUUGACAAUUUUAGCAGUUUAUAUACCAUUCACUAUAAAAAUUAUGACUAUUAUAAAAUGACAUUUUAUAAUAAUUUACAUACUAUUUGGCAAUUAAAAGUAAGUUUGAUAAAAAAAAAUGUGCAUAUAAAUCCAUAUUGUGAAUGCUACAAAAUAUAUUUGAAACUCACAAAACUUAAUAUAUGGGUAAAUUUACUAUAAUUUUAAAAGAUUACGCUAUAUUAGUACAACUUUACCUUUUAUACUUGUGACCUAGAAAAUAAAUUUAUUAAAACACAUAACAUUUAUAAAUGAUACAUACAUUUAUUAAAAUGCUUAAAACACAAAACAUUUAUGAAUGAAACAUACAAUUAUGUAUUAUACAUUUAUGUUAUUACCAACAACUACUAACUAUAAUAUUAAGUUUCAAUCAUUAAUAAAAAAAUCUUAACACUAUUUUAAAUAAGCUUCCUAAUACUUGUUUCAUAUAAGUUUCUUUAAGUAAAAUAAUAAAUUUAUGCCACAAACUAGUAAGUUUUGAUGAUUAACCAAAUUUACUAUUCUAUCAACAAGAUUUACCAUUAAUCUAUAAAAAUUUACUAUUACUUGAACUAAACUUACUCUCCAAAAACUAAGUUUCGAAUAUACAGUAGUAAUUUAUUUUUUUAAAAAAGUAACUUUCAUUUUUAUUUCGAUUUACUUUAUGAGACAUAAAUAGGAUAACACUUAUAUGACCAUUAUUUAUUUAUUUUUUAUUUACUUUUAGUGGCCAUUUGAUUAUUUGAUAGGCCCAUCCGCCUAAAUAGGAUAACACUUAAAAAUAAGAAAGUAAGUUUCCCAUCUAAAAUAGUAAGUUAACAGUAAUAAAUUAGUAACUUUUGUACUUCAAAAUAUAAAUUGGAAUAAAUAUUAAACUUACUUUUUAAAUAAAUAAAUUACUACUUUAUAUCCCAAACUUACUUUAGAGUGUAAGUUUAACUCAAGUAAUAGUAAGUUUUUAUACAUAAAUAGUAAUUCUUACUGAUAACAUGGUAAAAUUGAUUAAUAAUCAAAACUUACUAAUUUAUGGGACACAUGUACUAUUUUACUUUAAAACAUAUUUCAAACUAGUAUUAGGAAAUUUAUUUGAAAUAACGAUAAGAUGUUUUAUUAAUGAUUAAUUCUUAGUACCUUAGUUAGUAAGUACUCAUAAUAUACAUCUAUAAUACAUUAUUAUAGUUAUCAUUUAAAAAAAAUUUAUUUACAUAUUUUAAAAUACUAUGAAAAAUAGUUUGACUUUUCACAUAAUCUUGUAAAAUAUGCAAUAAAAUUUUGUCGUAUUAUAAGUUUUUAAUCAUUUUCAAUUUUUGAAAAGUUUGAAAGUUUGGAUAACAAUAACAACAAAUCUUCCUAGUUAUAUAUAGAAUAUUUCUUGUUUAUAUAUCAAAAUUUUUAUAAAUUAACACCUAUGAAUAUAAUAAGAUGAUAAAGUUUUAAUAAAUUUACAUCUGAGACACAAGAAAUAAUAAGAGUAAAAGCCUAAACAAAAUGAGAAAUAAUAUAAUAAUAAAAAUGAUAAAAUUAGUACAACAAUUAAUAUAAGAAAAUCAGUAUGAUCUGGAUUUUUUCCUUAGGAGAUUAUUCAUAAGAAUAGGAUCCAAUAAUUAUAAAUGAAAAUCACAUGCAAAUAUAAUCUAUUGUAUAAUUUAAGUUAAAUUUAGUUCAUGUAUAAAAUGGUCCUAAAAUAAUUAGUACACUAUGAUACAAUGUUAUUUUAACAACAAAAUUUUUUUUUACUAAAAGUCUGAAAUAUCCAUGACAUACGUAUAAGGGAUAUUUUACCAUAUUUGUAUCUCACAUCUAAUCAUGAAAGUUAAUUUGAGAAAAAAUAUUUUUGACAAUAGAAUUAUUUUGAAUUUAGUCAACAAGUUGAGAUUUUUUAAACAAUAAAAGUAGUCAGAUUUAGUCGUUUGUGAAUUUAUAAUUUUAACAGUUUAUAUAAAAUUCAUCUAUAAAAAAUUAUGAUUAUUAUAAAAUGACCUUUUAUAAUAAUUUACUUAUCAUUUGCCAAUAAAAAAGAAGUUUGAUAGAAAACAUAUGGAUACAAAUCCAUAAUGUAAAUGAUACAAAGUAUGUUUGAAAGUCACAAAACUUAACAUAUGGGUAAUUUUACUAUAAUUUUCAAAGAUUAUGCUAUGUUAAUACAACUUUAAUUUUUAUACUUGUGACCCAGAAAAUAAAUUUAUUAAGACUUUACCAUUUUAUAAAAUUCAUAGGCAUUAAUAUAUGAAAAUUGCGUACCAUUUUAUUAUAUUCAUAGGUGUCCAUAUAUGGAAAUUGUGAUGUAUAGAUAAGUGCAAUUCUAUAUAUAACUCGAAAGAUUUGUUGUUACUGUCAUCCAAACUUUCUAACCUUUCACAAAUUCAAAAAUAAUUCAAAAUUUAUAAUAUUACAAAUUAUUCUUACAUAUUUUAUAAGGUCAUAUGCAAAAAAAAAAAAAAGUUUUCAUAGUAUAUUUAAAAUGCUUAAAACAUAUAACAUUUGUAAAUGAUACGUACAAUUGUGUAUCAUACAUUUACAUUACGAGUAAUUACUAACUAUAAUACUAAGCUUCAAUUAUUAAUAAAAAAUCUUAGCAUUAUUUCAAAUAAAUUUCCUAAUACUUGUUUCAUAUAAGUUUCUUUAAGUAAAAUAGUUAAUUUAUGCCACAAACUAGUAAGUUUUGAUGAUUAACCAAAUUUACUAUUCUAUCAACAAUAUUUACUAUUAAUCUAUAAAAACUUACUAUUAUUUGAACUAAACUUACUGUCCAAAAAGUAAAUUUCAGAUAUAGAGUAGUUAUUUACUUAAAAAAAAAGAAAGUUCCAUAUUUAAUCAAAUUUACGUUUUGAGACAUUAAAGUUACUAAUUUCUUGUGUUAACUUACUAUUUUUAAUGCAAAACUUACUAACCAUAUUUUUAGGUACUAUUUUAUUUAGAUGACCAGUACAAUAAGUAAUCAAAUGGUCGCUAAAAGUGUUUUUACCUGUUAUAACAGGUAAAAACAGUUUCGUUACCAUAACGAUCGUUACUUCAGACUUUUCCUGUCUUUAUUAUUUCGUUUCCUAUUCCAAUUAGAUACUUAGGAGUUUCUUAGUUAUCAAGUAACUUAUUAGACUAGCACUUGUAGCCUAUAAAUAGGCCCAUCCUUAAGACUUUUGCAUCGAUUUCUUUAUCAAUUAUUAAUGAAAUUUUGAUUGUUUAUUCCAAUUUUGAAAGUUUUCUCUAAUUAUCCUUGACUCGUGUUUUGAGGUUAGAAAGUGAUUCUUUUCUUUUGUUCUUUCUAUAGAUUUCAUUCAUGAAACAAAUUCUUUUUGUACACUUCCGCUAUCGCAUUAUGUGGUAUCAAAGCAGGAUUCGCCUAUGACAAUCUCUGAUGCAUUCCGUAGUAGCCUGGUUUGCCUCGAGAUUAACCUAGAUCAUGGUAAAACAUGUAUGGAUUGAAUGGAACUACUUCUUGAUGGGCUAUACGUAGACACAAAGGGUUACUUCAAGAGAUCUACACAUUAUCAUCGUGCACUUGGGAGAGUCACUCUUGAUGAACUUGGUAUUCAUGCAAUCUCGCUAAAUGCUCAGAGUUACCAGAUCUAUGAGGAUUGUGUUUGUGAGAUCACUCAUUGUCAAUUUCUCAUUCAUGAAACUACAAUACCAGUGGUUGUAGGAAAAUCUCAACCAGUCAUCUAGUAGUCCUUGUAUGUGAUUCGCAGUCUUUCACCAAAGGAAGAUAAGACCCAGAGAAAUCAACUAUGCCGAAUUAGGUGUAGGAUUUCUAAUCAUGUCUUUAAUUUGAUAAUUGAUGGUGGUAUUUUUUCAAAUAUGGUUUUUAAACAAUUGGUUGAAUAAUUAAAAUUAUCUAUUGAAGGGUUGGUCGGAUUAAAGGAGUAGAAUAUGUUGAGGUAAAUUCAAGAUGUCAUGUUCCAUUUUCAAUUGGUAAAUAUGUUGUGGAUAUGGAUGUUUUUCACCUAUUGCUUGGUAAACCAUGGCUGUAUGACGUAGAUGCAACACAUAAUGGACGCGAUAAUAUUUAUUGUUUUGUCAAAAAUGGCAAAAAUAUUAUCCUUGUGCCAUUAAGUGACAUUGAAGUCCAGUUCAAAAUCCAAAUCCAGUUAGUUGAUUGCAACCAACUUGUUACAUGUUGCACAGUCAAAAAAUACACAAAAUAAUUUGACAAACCCAAAUAAAUCAACAACCUUGGUAAUCCCAUAGCCUAAGUGAGCAACCAAAACAAGCAAACAUCUAUCCCAACAAGCAUAAUAAGCAAGAAAAAGAAAAACCCAACAAAGCAAGCGACACAAAUAGAAGACAAAAAUUAACUAAAUGUUAACUUCAAUAGCCUAAACCAAUAGAAAAACAAGAAAAGAAAUACAAUUGAAAAUAAAACAGAAUGAUCCGAACCAAACAUAGGCAAAAGGCUGAACAUAAAUUUAAUAGGCUCUACCAAUGACAAACUGAGAAAGUGAAAGACUAAACAUAAAGUCAAUGGCCUCAACCAACGACAAAAGAAGAAAAACACAGUAAAAAAAAUGCCGAGGAUGUUAAGACUUGAGUCAGAAGAAAGAGGAGAAGAAGAAGUUGGGGGCUGAGAGAGAAUUGGGAGAGAGGGAAUAUUAUUUAGAUUUCAGAAAAGGAAUCAUACAAAAUCCGUGUCUAGCUACUGUUGCGCAUCCAACAUAUAUAGGCGGUGAUUUCCCAGAUCUUCCUUCUAACAAACUGGUUUUGUCUGCAUGCAUGGGUAGUUAUACCAUUUAACUACUUUCCCUGCCCUUAUGCUAACUAACGUAAAUGAAUUACAAUAUUAUCCCUCAAACUCUUGACUGCUUACAAUAUUUCCCCCCGAACUCUUGACUGCUUACAAUUUAGUCCCUGUGAUCCAUAACAAGACUCCCCUCUUCACACAAUCCUAGACUCUAGGAUUGGACUCCGAACUCGGGAAACUAAGUCUGCAUCACUGAGACAUCCUCCCAAGUUGCGUAAGCUGUAUCAAGAUUUUCCCAUUGGAUUAAUGCUUGCUCCACAUCUCUCCCAUGCCUUUGCAGAGUUCUUCUAGCAAGGACAGCUGCAGGAGUUAUUUUGACCUCUCCCUCCUUUGUGAGUGUACGUGGCUGCGAGUGCACCACAGCUCUUUUUGCAGAUGGCUUCAGUAGGGAAACAUGGAAUACAGGGUGCAUAGUGGAUCCCUGAGGUAGCUCCAACCUAUAAGCCACUGGUCCAAUCUUUUCCAGUACCUUAUAAGGCCCGUAGUACUUGGAAGAGAGCUUCAAAUUCCUCCUUAAGGCAAUGGACGUCUGUCUAUAAGGUUGCAAUUUAAGAUACACCAGAUCACCUACUUCAAAUGAUCUCUCACUCCUGUUUUUGUCAGCAUACUGCUUCAUCAGGUUCUGGGCUCUGAGUAAGUUUUCCUUCAACAGUUGGUUCCAAUUAACUCUUUCUGCCCACCAAUCCUCUACCUCAGCUACCCUAAAGGACCUGUCUCUGAGACUCAACUGGGGUAGGGCAUACCCGUACAAGGCUUGGAAGGGUGACAUUCUUAGGGCAGUAUGAUGAUUAGUAUUAUACCACCAUUCUAGAGCAGUGAGGCACCUCUUCCAUUUUUUGGGUUGUUGGAAGCACAAGCACCUCAGAUAAGUCUCCAAACACCUGUACACUCUUUCUGUUUGACCAUCAGUCUAAGGAUGGCAACUAGUCGACAAAUGCAGCUGUAUGCCUACUCUGUUGCAUAAUUCUUGCCAAAAUAUGCUUGUAAAAACCUUGUCCCUAUCAGAUACAAUGCUUGAUGGCAACCCAUGGAGCUUGUAUAUGUUGUCAAAGAACACCUGAGCCACUCCUUUGGCAGUAUAAUGGUUGCUGAUAGCAAAGAAAUGUGCUACCUUAGUGAACCUGUCUGCUAUCACCAAGAUCACAUCGCUCCCUUCUGAUUUGGGCAGCCCCUCAAUGAAACCCAUUGCUAUGUGUUACCACGCUUAUUUCGGGAUAUCCAAUGGUUGUAACAGUCCCGGGUACUUGCAAUGCUCCCCUUUACUGAUCCUACAAGUCUCACAUUGUUGUACAAAGGGCUCCACCUCUCUUUUCAUUCCUGGCCAAAAGAAGUAUCCCUUCAAUCUCUGGUAAGUGCCCAAGUUUCCAGAAUGACCCCCAAUCGAUGAUUCAUGCAUACACGAGAUAAGUUGUUGUCUCAAGGUUCCUGUAGCUCUAAUCGGUAUCCUUCCCUUGUAUUUUAUGAUUCCUUGCUGGUAAGUAUGAUUAGGUAUGGCUUGGUUGCCUAUUGCCAGAGCUUGGAAUAGAUCCUUAACCUUAGGGUCACCAUUAUAGCUCUUAAUCACCUUCGUGAGCCACAUUGGUCUGACUAUAGAUAUAGCAUGCACCUUCCCUUUACUCUCCACUCAUCUCUCUUUCCAUCCCUCCUCCAAUCCCUUUCUGGACAAGGCAUCAGCCACCAAAUUCUCUUUCCCUCUUUUAUAGUGAAUUUCAUAGUCCAUCCCCAUCAGUUUGGUGAGCCACUUUUGUUGGAGUGGGGUGGUGAUCCUUUGCUGUAAUAAGAACCUCAAACUGUAAUGGCCAGUUUUUAUGAUGAAAUGGUUCCCAAGGAGAUAGUGUCUCCAUUUGGUCACGGUAGAAAUGAGUGAAAGUAGCUCCUUCUCAUAAAUAGAUAAGGACUGGUUUUGGGGUCCCAACGCCUGGCUCAUGAAGGCAAUGGGAUGUCCCUGCUGCAUGAGCACUGCUCCAAUAGCCUUAUUGCUAGCGUCUAUCUCCAAUACAAAUGGCUUGCUAAAAUCUGGCAAGGCCAACACAGGUGUAGAGCUCAUGGCCUUUUUGAGCUUAUUGAAGGCCAACAUAGCAUCUGGUGUCCAGUUGAAGCUGUUCUUCUUCAGAAGAUAAGUCAAAGGUUUGGUGAUCAAACCAUAAUUCCUCACAAACCUCCUGUAAUAGCCUGUUAAUCCCAAGAAUCCUCGAAGAGCCUUAAUAGAAGUAGGGACAGGUCAGGAGAGCAUGCUGUCAAUUUUGGCAGGAUCAGCUAUCACCCCUUCUCUUGUCACUACAUGACCAAGAUAUUCUAUUUGUGCUUGACCAAAGGAGCAUUUAGAAAGUUUGGCUAGGAGGGAGUGUUGUCUGAGUAUGUCAAGUACUAUUUUCAAGUGUGUGAGGUGAGCUUCAGGGUCAGGACUGUAGAUCAAUAUGUCAUCAAAGAAAACAAGGACAAAUUUCCUGAUGUAUGGUUCAAAUAUGGAGUUCAUGAGUGCUUGGAAAGUGGCUGGUGCAUUAGUAAGCCCAAAAGGCAUUACUACAAAUUCGUAAAGGCCUUGAGGUGUCCUAAAAGCAGUCUUAGGUAUGUCUUCUAUACACAUUCUGAUCUGGUGGUAACCAAAUCUCAGGUCAAUUUCGGAAAAAUAUAUGGCUCCACAAAGUUUAUCCAGCAAAACCUUUGACUUUGAUGGUAAGGCUAUUUAACUGUCUCAAAUCAAUGCAAAACCUCCAACUCCCAUCUUUUUUCUUGACCAGUAGAACAGGUGAGGCGAAAGGGCUGCGACUUGGUUUAAUGAUUCCACUGUGGAACAUGUCUUUCAUUUGUUUCUCUAUUUCUAUUUUCUGUGUGUGAGGGUAUCUAUAGGGUGGUAUUUUGAAAGGCUUGGCAUCAGGUUUGAGGGGUAUUUGGUGUUCAUAUGCUCUAGAAGGGGGCAAUUGUUUAGGCUCUCCAAAUACAUCACUAUAGUCAGCAAGUAGUUGGUCAAUAGAAGUUUGCAGUGUAGUUACAUGAGUGGAGUGGGAGCUGAUCUUGUCGAAUUGUUUAAGCAUCCUCCUCCUUCUGUUCCUACUCCCACCAGGUCGGAAUCUCCACUACUCAAGGUGACUGCAUCAUCUCAGCUGUUUCCUUGCAGCACUACACGUUCCCUCUCAUAGUCAAAUGAGAGAUUGGGCUUCUUAAAGUCAAAAGUGAGGGGGCUAUACUUUUUCAUCCAAUCCGCGCCUAGAAUGCGAUCAUAUUGCUCCAGAUCUAAAAUGAACACAUCAUGAGUAAAAGAAUAGCCUUGUAUGGUCCAUCUCCAUUCUGGAAUCCAAUUAGUACAGAUGAGUUCCUUUCUAUCAGCAAUGGUGACCUUGAAAGGACUGUGAGCCUGAACAUCCCCAAAAAAAUUUUCUACAGUGGCUCUCUUGAUGAAACAGUGUGUGCUUUCCCCAUCCAAUAAUACAUCUGUUCUACACCCUCGACUUUCCCCUUGCAGUUUGAUAGUGCUACUAGACAUCAUGUCAUCAGACAGGCUAUGAAUGGUUAAUUCUAUGUCUGAGUCUGGCUUUUUUCCAGAAGUAUGCAUACUGUGCUCCUCUAUUUUCCCACUUUACUGAAUGUGUAAGUGUCUGGUGCAACCCAAUGAGUACAAACAAAUUCACAAUGAUGCACAAAGAUAUAUCAAAUUUAAGCACAAUAAAGAAAACUUAAUUAAAGAGAAAAGAUAACAAAUGCGAACCAAAUAUCAAACCAAUAGCCUCUUCAAUUGAUGGCGAUGCUAACCAAGAUGUACAAGUGAAGGCUCACUCCUUCCUCACCCCAAACACACUUUGGUUGAGCCAAGGAGUUUUACAACUAUUCUAAUUAACCCUCAACAACCUACACUUGAAAGAUCACUCACCCAAUUAAGAACUAUUUUAUACAAAUGAGGCAACCUUCACCAAGGUUUUACCACUUCAAGUGAUAGGUUCACCUUCACCAAGGUUUUACUCCUCCUAGAGAGUAACCUUCACUUGAGCAACCUCACAACCCAACUUUCCCAACCCCUUAUACAACCAACAAAGAAUCUUUCUACUCAAAAAUCUCACUUGUAAGCUUGUAUUUUGUGUUGGCAAAAGUCCUUUGUCUUCUUGUGCUUUGGGGUGUUUAUAGAAGGUGAGAAAUGGCUCCAAAAGGCUCUCCAACGGUCAAAUAUUAAAUGCUGUCAAAACUAGCCGUUGGCCUGUCGGACGUCCGAACCACCUGUCGAACGUCCGAACCCUGCGUCCAAACCACCUGUCGGACGUCCGAACCCUGCGUCCGAACGUCGUCAGAGAGUCAUCAAAUCUUUGCGAAAUUUCUCGGACGUCCGAUGCGAUCGAUGUGCGUCCGAUGCGUGCGUCCGUUGAUGUUCUUCAUCCUUUCGGACGUCCGAUAGCUUCCUUUCGGACGUCCGACAUGAGUGCCCUGUUUUUGCUUCUUCUUUUGUGCCACAAGAAUCUGUUCUAACAAAUUACUCACAUAAAAACAUUAGCCCAAAUCUACAUUUUGGUUUGUUAAUCAUCAAAACCAAGGAUUGAUCGACCAAGGUCAACAAUCUCCCCCUUUUUGAUGAUGACAAACAAAAUGAAGAUUUCUUUUAUCAAAUAAGUUCAAAUAAAGCUCCCCCUUAGAAAGUGCCAACAUACAAAGAAAUUUCAAUAAAUCCUACUCCCCCUUUUGGCAUCAAUCAAAAAAAAACAAACUCCCCCUUUAUUUUUCAAAUCAAGACCAUAUUGAAUAUCAAAAUUUUCAAUUGUACUUACAACCAUAUAGCACUUCUUGGAUCAAAUCUUCAUGAUGUACCUAAAUAUGAGAAAUUUCAUUUGGUACCCUUUCUUUAUAGGGUCCUUGGGAGUUAAUACGACAUGAUCUAGCAAUCCACAUGGAUUUCAUGCCUUUUCUCAUAUUUUUCUUUACAUAGCAAUCAUUUUGCAUAUGUCCAAAUUUGCAACAAAAGUGACACAUGAUAGAAGUAUUUUGCACAUAGGUGGAUUUAAUGCAACUAAUUUUCUUACUUCUUAUCAUAGCAAACUUAUUUGUGCCUUGAAAAGAUUUGCUUUCUUUUGUUUGAGAAAACUUUUGUUUUUCAUUUUGGAGAAACUCGUUCAAGUCAUUAAUUCUUUUCUUUAACAAAUUUUGUUCCUCCAACAUUUUUUCAUAAAACUUUGUUUUCUCUUCCAACUUCCUUUUCAAAUUAUUUUUGCAAUCAAAAACACUUUUUUGAUUUUUAAAAUCAUCAUUUUCUAUUCUCAAACAUUUGUUUUCUUGAAAAAGUUUGGAGUUUUCUUCCAACAAAUCAUUUAUUUUUGUUUUCAAAUCUUUAUUUUUAGCAUAAGAUUUUCUCAAACUUUUAUGCAUUUUAAUCAUAAGAAUUUUCACAUCAUCAUUUUCAUUAUCUUCAUCACAAGAAGAGUGAUAAGAACUUACCUCAUCUUCUCCAACGGCCAUUAGUGCCAUUUGGGCCAACUCUUCUUUUUCUCUUUUUGAAUUGCAUUCAUCCCAUGUAAUUUUGCAAUCUCCUCUUGAACAUCUCUUGUUGAAGAUCUUCUUGAAACUUUUGAUGCGAGGAGUUAUAUCAUUGUCCACUUCCAUGAUUUCAUUACCCAUGAAGGAUGGGUUAUCCCCCACUUGAGAUGCUUUAAAAGCUAUGCCUUUCUUAUACAUUCUUGCAUUUUCUUUCUCUUGCACUUUGAAUUUCAGCUUUAAUUCAUAAGAGGUUAGGGAAUUCACAAGAGAUUCAAUGGACAUAGAAUUUAAAUCCUUUGCCUCUUCUAUAGCAUUUAUUUUGUUUUCCCAUUCUUUUGGCAAGGCAUUCAAAAUCUUUCUAUUUUUCUCACCCAAAGAAUAUUCUUUUCCAAGCAAUUUAAGAUCUUCAAUAAUGUCACAAAAUCUACUACACAUCUUAUCAACAUUUUCAAGAGGAUGCAUUUUGAAAAAUUCAUAUUGAGAAACAAGCAAAGAUUUCUUUUGUUCUUUAAUAUCUUGGUUACCUUCAUGAAAUACACACAAUUUAUCCCAAAUAUCUUUAGCUGAUUUACAACCUUUAAUCCUACUAGAUUCAUUUACAUCUAAUGCAUUGUAUGUACAAUAUACACAUGGCCUUGGCAUUCAAAGAAAGGUAUCUCUUGUCUUUUUCAUUCAAUUCUUGUCUAGUCUUUAAUCUACUCAAAUUGGUGGUAGAGUCAACUAUUCUGAUUUCAUAAGGACCAUCUUCUACCACAUACCAUAAUUCAAUAUAAACGGAUUGUAAGAAAAUCAUCAUUCUUUGUUUCCACAUGCUAAAAUGAGAACCAUUAAACAUAGGUGGUCUAUCAAUAGAUUGCCCUUCUAAAAAAGAAACUUUUAUGGUUGCCAUGAUCUUUACUCUAAGCGGUUAAGCUUGAUCAAAAGAGACCAAGCUCUGAUACCAAUUGUAAGUGUCUGGUGCAACCCAAUGAGUACAAACAAAUUCACAAUGAUGCACAAAGAUAUAUCAAAUUUAAGCACAAUAAAGAAAACUUAAUUAAAGAGAAAAGAUAAGAAAUGCGAACCAAAUAUCAAACCAAUAGCCUCUUCAAUUGAUGGCGAUGCUAACCAAAAUAUACAAGUGAAGGCUCACUCCUUCCUCACCCCAAACACACUUUGGUUGAGCCAAGGAGUUUUACAACUAUUCUAAUUAACCCUCAACAACCUACACUUGAAAGAUCACUCACCCAAUUAAGAACUAUUUUAUACAAAUGAGGCAACCUUCACCAAGGUUUUACCACUUCAAGUGAUAGGUUCGCCUUCACCAAGGUUUUACUCCUCCUAAAGAGUAACCUUCACUUGAGCAACCUCACAACCCAACUUUCCCAACCCCUUAUACAACCAACAAAGAAUCUUUCUACUCAAAAAUCUCACUUGUAAGCUUGUAUUUGUGUUGGCAAAAGUCCUUUGUCUUCUUGUGCUUUGGGAUGUUUAUAGAAGGUGAGAAAUGGCUCCAAAAGUCUCUCCAACGGUCAAAUAUUAAAUGCUGUCAAAACUAGCCGUUGGCCUGUCGGACGUCCGAACCACCUGUCGAACGUCCGAACCCUGCGUCCAGACCACCUGUCGGACGUCCGAACCCUGCGUCCGAACGUCGUCAGAGAGUCAUCAAAUCUUUGCGAAAUUUCUCGGACGUCCGAUGCGAUCGAUGUGCGUCCGAUGCGUGCGUCCGUUGAUGUUCUUCAUCCUUUCGGACGUCCGAUAUGAGUGUCCUAUUUUUGCUUCUUCUUUUGUGCCACAAGAAUCUGUUCUAACAAAUUGCUCACAUAAAAACAUUAGCCCAAAUCUACAUUUUGGUUUGUUAAUCAUCAAAACCAAGGAUUGAUCGACCAAGGUCAACAGAAUGAUCUCUUCCUCUUCACUCCCACCUAAAUCAACCUCCAUCUCCUCUGCCAAUAUCAUGUGUAUUCCCUUGUUCCUGCAAGUGUGGCCAGGGCCAAAUUUGUCUCCACAUUUGAAACAAAGAUUGUGAUCUCUCCUGUACUGAACUCGUUGGGGGAUAUCUUCUUGAAUGUGGAACUGGUGUUGGAGCUGUUGGACUUGGUAGAAUAGGGUUUCUUAGCUAUCUGUUCUCCCGUUUGUGGAAGACUCACCUGCUUCUGCCUUCCUCCUAAAGUGGAUGGUACGGAUGAUGCUCCUCCCCUAGUCACGGACUUGUGCUUCUUGACCAAAGCUUCCAUUGCAAUCUCCUGACUCCUGGAGACUUCAAAUGCCUUGUAGGGUGGCAGGCUUAUGAACCUUGACCAUUGUCUUGAUUUUCUCGAGCAAUCCACUCAAGAAACUUGAAAUAAAAUAAGGCUCGCUCAAACCUGGAUUUUUGGCCAAGACCAACGCACUUAGCUCCUCAAAUUUUUCUUGGUAGUUGAUGACUGUAGAGGUCAGCUGCAAUUUGUUGAAUUCCCCUACUGCUUCUGGUCCCCCAAUCUAACCAAACCUCCGGCACAACUCCUCACUGAAAUCCUCCCACUGUAUCAUCCUUCGUCCCAUUUUGAAACUCUAAAACCAAACAUCUGCUUUCCCAACCAAGUGGAGCUCAGCUAUGCUCAUCAUCUAACUAGCAGGUAUUUGGUAGACCCAAAAAAUUUUUUCUGCCUUCCUGACCCACUCCCUAGGGUUCCGUCCUUCAAAAUGGGGGAACUCCAGCUUUGGAGUCCCCGAAAGAAAGGACUUUUGUCGAUCCUCUCACCUUGUCCUAAUUCUCCUUCCCCUCGUCUACCACUACCAGAGGUCAAACCUCGUUCAGUAGAGCCGGUAGGUAUUGAGAGGAUGCCGCGGUCAUUGUGGCUGGACUUCAUCUAGUUGAGCUGAGCCACAAUAGCCGCCAUGCAACUUCUUAUCUCCGUUGAGUUGGACUCCAUUUUUGCAGAAUGCGACUCAAAGUUGUCCUCCAGAGUCUUUAACGUCUUUUGCGUGGAAUCGAUGAAUCCCUGCAACCUGGUCUCCUGUUUGCAUAUCUGUUCCUCGAGAGUUUUCAGGCGAGUGCCCUCGGCCAUUGGCGGAUUCAGCUGCUGAUUGCUGUUUGAGAGCAAACCAAGAGAUAUGUUAAAGAAGAUUCAAAAGAAGAUAGUUUGAGUAAUUGAAGCCUGCAAUCCGAGGGUCGCGGGCUCUAAUACCAUUGUUAAGACUUGAGCCAGAAGAAAGAGGAGAAGAAGAAGUUGGGGACUGAGAGAGAAUUGGGAGAGAGGGAAUAUUAUUUAGAUUUCAGAAAAGGAAUCAUACAAAAUCCGUGUCUAGCUACUGUUGCGCAUCCAACAUAUAUAGGCGGUGAUUUCCCAGAUCUUCCUUCUAACAAACUGGUUUUGUCUGCAUGCAUGGGUAGUUAUGCCCUUUAACUACUUUCCCCGCCCUUAUGCUAACUAACGUAAAUGAAUUACAAUAUUAUCCCUCAAACUCUUGACUGCUUACAAUAUUUCCCCCCGAACUCUUGACUGCUUACAAUUUAGUCCCUGUGAUCCAUAACAAGAGGAGAUACCAAAAAAGACUGAUAUAAUAACACCAAGUUUGUUCGAUGAUUAGUUCAAGAAAGGCAAAAACAAACCCAACGGAUCAUGCAAAAGUAGACCAAACCAAGAAGAUAGACAUUGUACAAUAAAAAAAAUGCAGAGUACAUACAAAAACAGCUUGAUGUAAUAACAGUUCAAUAGAGACAAAAACAGACCAAACGAAUCAUGCAAGAACAGCCCUUGGGCCUUUGGCCUGGUGGUGUCUUUGGUGAUGCAGGAGGUCAAGAGUUCAACCCUUGCCUCCCACCAAUUUGUCACUAUAUGUGGCGGUUUUAAUUGGUCUUUUUCGAUGGAGUCUGUACUCACAUCGGUCCUCCUUCCUCUCCCCCUAGAUUAGGCUAGAUUAGGUUAUAACAAUCCUAUCGUUGCAAAAAAAAAAAAAGAAUCAUGCAAGAACAAGCCAAACGGAUCAUGCAGUAACAGAGAAGUAUAUUUAAGAACAACCAACUACAAAAAAUAGUCAUCAAAAGUUUACAAACAACCAAAGCUAGUAGAAAACCGGAACACUUAGCAAUCAAAGGAGCGCUAGUACGCAAGCGCGCCCCAAUUCCUGGAACAUUGACAAGAUUCUCUGCGGAGCACAAUUAUAAGACAAGCAAUAGAGGAAACAAAAAAAAAAAAGAAGAAGAAGAAGAAGCUAUGACCAUUUAUUGCAAGAAGUGACGAAUGCCUCAUUUAAUUAAUCAUCGUGAAAUGACCGCAACAAACAAUGCACCUUCUAAAGCAUUAGGGCAUAUCUGGCAAUGAAGGACAGAAAUGGAAACCACUCACAAUCUAACACACAACCUUAUCCAUUAGAUCAAAUCCUCCUUGGUUCUAUCCAGAAAGUUAAUUAGUAUUUGAUCACACAAUUUUGGUUACCAAGAGACCAUCUAAAUAUUAUGUUCGAUAGAAUAGUGAUUAUGAGUCAUGCCUAGAAAUAUUGUAAGCCUAUAAAUACACAUUAUGAUUUUUUUUUAUUUUGUUCAUGUUCUUUUUUAUCCUCUUUUUUAAAUAUAGAAUCAAGCUUGAAAAAUUGAGAUAUAAAUUAAAUGGCCAUAUUGAUAUAUUUUCCUCCUAUGCCAAACACUGCACAAUUUUGUUGUUAAUAUAUUUUUAUAAAAGAUGAAGUGCACCUUUAGUCACUAAAUUUUUUAAAAUUUCAUCUAAGUUUUUAAAAUUAGCGGUGCUUUGUAUAUUUGUUUAUUUUGAUAGUUAUCAUGGGUAGUUAACAAGCAGUGACAUCUCUAACCAUUUAUCCAUGAAUAUAGAUUUUAAAACUACAAGUUGCCUUAUUUUUUUUAAUAGAUAUAACCAAAUGUCAUGGCCUCUUCUAAGACAAUUAGUAUUAUAUGACUAGAACAUUUAUAAAUUCGACAAAGUAGUGUCAAGUUUCAAGGAAGUAACAGAGAAAAGAAAGGGCAGCUGCCUUUCUUGACUCUAUCACACAUUACAAUAUUCAGAGGACUGUAAAAUCUUGACUCUAUCACGCAUUACAAUAUUCAGGGGACUGUAAAUACACUAAGCACCUUAUUUGUGUUUGAAUUAUGAGAUUAAACAAACAUCUGAACGAAAUGGGAGUCUUAUCUGCAUCGGUAAUUACAAGUCAAUAAUGAAUGCAAACAAGACAAGUUUUGGUUGCCACUGCAAUUAAUUUAAAGCUUUUCUUUUUAGAUUCUCCCUAUUCUUCCUUAAAUUUUCAUUAUGAUAGAGUUAAAAUUUUAUUUUCUCUUUGAGUAAUGUAAGAAUGAGGGAAAAUUCAAAAAAUUAAAGGGCAAACGUAACGAGUAAAGUGAUUUUUAGAAAAUUCACAGGUGCAAAUGUGAGGCAAAGAAAUGAAAUUAACAAUUUUUAUGUACUAGCCAAAUUUAUUGUUAUCCGAAGUUGGGGAAGGUAAUUGCCUGCCCUCAACAAAAAAUAGUUCCGCUCCCCGAUAAUGACAUGUGGCCAAGGGCUGUUAAUUGCGCCGAGUCGAGCCAAGUAUUUGACUGCCGAACUCGACUCGAGCUCGUUAGGCAAACGAGGUUUAAAAUGUGUUCGAAUUCGACUCGUCAAAUAUACAUGUGGCUCGAGCUCGAUCUCGAGCUCGACUCGUUUAUCACAAAUGAGUCGAGUUUGUACGAGCUCGAGUUCGAGCUCGAACUCGUGCAAAUUAACCUCAAUAAAAAUCUAUAAUUUUAAUUUUUAUACUUUUGACUUCUAAAAUAAGAAAUAUGCCCUUUAUUAACGAGUUCUAACGAGCUACUUGGAUAUCAAACGAGUCGAGCUUACUCGGCUCGUUAACUAAACGAGCACAUUCUAGCUCGAGCUUGGCUCGUUUACCGCAACUAAUGAGCCGAGCUCGAGCCUUAUCGAACCGAGCUCUAACGAGCUUUCGAGCUACUCGUGAAGUUUAAUAGCUCUGUUCAAGGCGUAGAUGUUAAGGAGGGAACAGCAUUGGUAAAUGCAAGUCAAUAACGGAGGGAAACGAGGCCAUUUUUAAUUUGCCACCAGAGUUCAACUUACAAAUUUUUGAUAGUCACCCUAUCUUGUGUUGAUUUUUAAAUUUUCGAUAGGAUAGAACUAAUAAUUUAAUCUCUGUAUGGAUAAACGUAAAGAGUGAAUGAAAGUUGAACAAAUUUAUUGGGUAAACGUAAAAGGUAAAGCAAGUUAUAGAAAAUUUGGGAGAUCGAGGUGCAAAUGUGAGGCAAAUUAACAAAAUUUUUUCUAAUAAAAUAUCAUAUUUUCAUUAAAAUAUGUACUAAUAGAAGAAAUUACAUCAUCAAACAUACACAAAUAUCAAAGAACAGUCUGAAGAAAGGAUACUCCAGAUCUGAAGAUCAAUAAAAAUUACAUUAUAAAACUCUAAAUUUAAAAAAUGAGAUAAAAUAAUUGUAAUUCCACAGAUAUCUGUGCAUGCUUUCAAUCGCCAGAUCUACUGAUUAACUUCUUCAAAUCCAAAUAUUAUGGUGAGAUCUGCCAAAUAGAUGCAAGAAAUUUCAGAUAUGAUAAUCAAAAUCUAAAAAAACUCAGAUCCAAUAAAAGAAAAAUGAAAAAAUUAUCCUCUCAGUAGAAAUCCCUCAGAGAGAAUAGGAAAGAAGAAAACUUUCACUAGACAAACCUAAGGAGAGAAGAAACUCUCACUAAAAAAUCUAUAAGAGAUUUUGUUCACACAAAUAAAAAAUAUAUAUAUAGAGAGGGUUCCUCCCAUGGAAAAAUAUUAGGAAAAUCUGAGCACUCUCCCGUGGGAGAGUUGAAAGGAGGUUUAGAUAGAGAGUUUUUUUUCUGAAAAGAAAGAAAAGAGAAGGAGGAGAGAAGGAGUUUUUUUAAAUUAACAAAACUUAAUAAUACAUACUGUUUAAAUUUAUAAAUUAUCGAGGUAAUUGCGAAAUGGAGUAGCAUUUCACCUAUCCCAAGAAUUACGUAUGGCAUCCAAGAAUUACUUGAGACAUCCAAUAAGAGAAGGAGAAGGUUAGAACCUACAUUUGUCACACCAACUCCUUACAAUAAUAUUUUCCUCCAACCUAGUGUCCUCAAAUCUUUAUAAAUACGAACAACUAAUAUGCUGCCUUCAUCCUUCAUUUUGAAUCAUUUUAAAGUUAUAUUUCCUUGAUAAUUAGUGGUUUGUGCACAAGAUUUUGAGUGAUAAAUCUAUGGCCAAAUUAGCUAUCCUAGUUGGAUGCUGCUAUCCAGAUGAUCCUGACAGACUAGAAGGCUGCUAUAAUGAUGUGGAAACAAUGAAAGAACUGCUGACAACUAGGUGUGGGUUUCCGCCGAAGAAUGUGGUGGUUCUCACAGAUAAGCCUGACUCCCCUUUGCGACCCACAGGUGGUAUUAUAAGGAGCGCGAUUGAUUGGAUGAUUGAGCAAGCCAAGGCCGGUGAUGUUUUGUUGUUCUAUUUCGCCGGCCAUGGAAAGUUCGAUGAUUUCGGGAAGGGCUGGGGCUGCAUAAGAGAAGAAUUUAUUGUCCCAUGUGACAGGAAUCUCAUUUACAGUGAGUUGAAGAUAUAAUAUGAUAGGGUAUAAUUUGUUAGUAAUUUUAUUAUUAAUUUCCCCUUUCAUCCCUGAUAAUUAUUGUGUUAAUUGCACAUAUCUACUUAUAUUUGGUUUGUGGCCUUUAUUUCAGGGAUAGAACAGAAAACUACCAAACAUGAGGGAUUUUCUGAAGAAAAUUGAGUCUUCCAGCGGGUCACAGGCCAGGGCCACAGUGCUGAAAAGAACUGGACUCCCAUCCCUUUAUUCUUGUUGACCAAGAGGAUAACAACCAGAGACUUAGAGAACUUGAAGGCUUGGGCCUUUGACUUCGGUGGGGACCACGGAGGAAAGGAAAAGGGCUUUGGUCCUUUGGUUCUUAAAGGAAAAAAGCAACGUACAAAGCCUGGGGGAACUAAGAAGAAAUGGGGCAGCUUGUGACCAAUUGGUGGGGACCACUGCAUAUCUUUCCUUUGGCUUUAAAUAGGGAACUAACGUACGGAGGCAAAGGACCGCUUUUUAGUUUGAGCUUCUCAGCCUAGUCUUUAGUUAGUUUUUCUUUUUCUCCUGGGACUGGCCUCUGACACACGCCAGGUGUUUGACAAUAUUCCCCAACGGGGAAAACCUCCUUCAUUCCUUACUUUUUAGUACAAAACAAUGCCUUCGCAAUUUAUUAACUCAUGUGGUGAUUUAAUUAUGCGGCGUGGCUAAGUCUUUCAUCUAGUCAAGGGUCAACUCGACGGCGCAGUCCCAAAAAUCUGUGAGAUCUAAUUAGUUUACACAUGUUCCUUUAUUUAUUAAUAUUUGCACGUUAUCUGCUUGAAUUUUCAUGGGAUUAUUUUAUUAAUUGGAUGUCAAGGGCCCGAUGUUCAAUUUGAUUUAUUAAUCUCAUGCCAAUUUAGUCAAUUAAAUCCGUAAUUGGUUGAUUGAUUAAUAUUAGUGGCAACUGGUGUGUUUACACAUUAGGGGAAUGUGCAAUCUAAUUUAAAUAACCCUCGUAGCUUGUUAUUGAUUAGGGGUAGGUUUUUCUAGUUAUUAAUGCAAUUAGAAAAUUAAUUCCUAUGGUCGUACCUAGGAGUACUUUUCUGGUUAGGGGUGAUUAAUGGUCGUACCUUGGUCACCUAUAAAUUAAGGAAAAAUUGGUCAUUAGAGUUUCUCGAUGGCUAUAACUAGUCUAUUAAUAAAUUAAGUGAACCUCUCUUGCAUCAAUGAUCGGAUGAAUGGACUGUGCCUGAGUAGUUGUAUCCUUGGCUAGAAUUUAUUUAUUCCUGAUUAAAUUCCUGCUAUAUUUGCGCUAGUUAUUUAUUCAUUUUUAGUUAAACUGUUUAAUUGUUUUUAGUUGCAUUCCGGUGAAAUUCCCUUUUAUCAAUUGGACUUUGAAAGAGACAGAUAUCUCCAGUCCCUGAGGAGACGACCCUACUUGCCACUGUCUACUAUUUAGUAAUUUUUGUCAAUUAAUUAAUUUUGGUAUAUCGGGUUAAGCAAACUCUUCGGGAACAGGGUGAAUCAAGUAACCCAUUGCACACCUAGAGUCCCUGCUCCAGUACCUAGGAUUAAUUAUUGACUGCUUUUAGUGGUAGCUAGGUUCCAUUUUUAUUAUUAUUAUUGCGCAGGCUGACGACCUGCCAAUUUUUGGCGCCGCUGCCGGGGACUGGCGUUAUUAUUUGUUUUCUUUUUAAAUUCAAUUUUUGUCCUAAUUUUUUGGUUUUCCUCUAGUGUAUGCCUCGAUCUUCUCGCACAGGUGAUUUGGUUUUUGACCCUGAGGUAGAGAAGACCGCGCGUAGAACGAGAAAGGAAACCAGACAGCUCAGAGAAGAGCACUCUAGUGCUACAUCUCAAAGACCCGAGUCAGAAGUUGAACCAACAGAUUCGUUUGGUAACACUUCGAGUGACUCUGACCAGGAGGAGUUCACCAUGGCUAAUGCACAAACAUUAAGGGAGUUGGCUGCUCCUGAUUUAACUCAGCAGCCUUUGUGCAUUACUUUCCUUGCUUUAAAUGACAACAUUCCAUUUGAACUAAAAUCUGGUCUGAUUCAGCUUUUACCCUCUUUUCAUGGUUUACCAGGUGAAAAGCCGUAUAAGCAUCUGCAGGAGUUUGAUGUCGUUUGCAAUAGUAUGAAACCCCCGGGAAUCACAGAAGAGCAGAUAAAAAUGAGGGCAUUCCCUUUCUCCUUGAAAGAUUCUGCGAAGGACUGGCUGUACUACCUGUCACCAGGUAGCAUCACCACGUGGGGUCAAUUGAAGAAAAAAUUUCUGGAUAAAUAUUUUCCUGCGUCCAGGGCUGCGAGUCUAAGGAAAGAAAUUUGUGGGAUCAAGCAGCAUCCCGGGGAGUCACUUUACGAGUAUUGGGAACGGUAUAAGAGUUUGUUGCGCAGGUGCCCCCAUCACCAAAUAAGUGAGCAGUUGAUCAUACAAUAUUUCUAUGAGGGGCUCAUUUUUAGAGACAGGAGCAUCAUUGAUGCUGCAAGUGGAGGGGCCCUGGUGAACAAAACCCCUCAAGAAGCACGGGAGUUAAUAGAGGGGAUGGCAGAGAAUUCACAGCAAUUCAGUACAAGAGAUGAUGUCCCAAUACGUAGGGUGAAUGAGGUAGAGACACCCUCUAUACAGCAGCAGCUGAAUGAGUUGACUGCGUUCGUUAGGCAACAGGCUGUGAGAAAUGCAUCACAAGCCAGGGUAUGCGGGAUUUGCACUGGUGUAGGUCACUCUGCAGACAUGUGCCCAAUGAUUCAGGAAGAAACUGCAGAACAGGUGAAUAUGGCUGACCACGCGCCCGCGCCAAGGAAGCAGUACGACCCUUACUCAAGCACCUACAACCCCGGGUGGAGAGAUCAUCCCAACCUCAGUUAUGGAGGGAAUAGGCAACCCAACUUUACGCCGAACAGGCAGUCUAACUUUGUGCCGAAUAAGCCACCAGGGUACCAGCAGCAAUACCAACCCCGACCCCCUCCGCCCCCUCAAUCUGGUUCAUCUACGGAUGAGAUGCUGAAACAAAUGAUGACAACCAUGGCGCAGAAUCAGCAAAGGACGGAGGCAGCUAUUAUGCAAAAUCAGCAAAAGACGGACUCCGAAAUGCAAGACAUAAGGAAUCAGAUAGGUCAAUUGGCCACCAGAAUGAACCGUUUGGAGUCCCAGAACCAAGGGAAGCUUCCAUCUCAACCGGAGUUGAAUCCGAAGAACGUGAGCGCAAUGAUCCUAAGGAGUGGGAAAGAAAUUCAGGGGUCUGAACCGGUGAUUCCCAAGGACAAGGAUGAAGAGAAGAUCGAAAAUGAGCUCGAAAGGGAGGACAGCAAUGGUGCAGAUCCAAAGGUACUUCCUGACCCAAUAAUUACAGUUAAAACUAACCCGCCUCCUUUUCCUAGCAGGUUGGAAAAAUCAAAGAAACAGGAUAAGGAGAAGGAGAUCUUGGAGGUUUUUCGCAAGGUUGAGAUAAAUAUCCCCCUCUUAGACGCCAUCAAACAAGUACCAAAAUAUGCCAAGUUUCUAAGGGACUUGUGUGUCAACCGAAGGCGAUUGAGGGGAGAUGAACGGGUCAUUGUUGGGGAGAAUGUGUCAGCGGUCCUGCAGAGAAAGCUCCCACCAAAGUGUGGGGACCCAGAUAUGUUUACUAUUCCUUGUAAGAUAGGUAGUACUGUGAUCAGAAGGGCCAUGUUGGAUCUGGGAGCAUCAAUAAAUGUCAUGCCUAAGUCUAUCUAUGAUUCUCUAAAAUUAGGUCCAUUAAAAGAAACUGGAAUAAUCAUUCAAUUAGCUGACCGAACUAAUGCAUAUCCUGAUGGGUUGGUUGAAGAUGUGUUGGUAAAAGUUAAUGAUUUGGUGUUUCCAGCUGAUUUUUAUGUACUUGAUAUGGAUGAUGAUCACUCCCCUGAUCCCUCACCUCUGUUAUUGGGUAGACCAUUUAUGAGCACAGCACAGACGAAAAUUGAUGUUAAUAAGGGUAUUCUGUCCAUGGAGUUUGAUGGGGAAAUUGUGCAUUUCAAUAUUUUUGAUACUAUGAAGUACCCCUCGAACUCCAACUUUAGCUCAGUUUUUUCUGUGAGUGCUAUUGACCCUGUAGUGCAGGAAGUGUUUGAAACUGAUGGCAGGGAUGAGCUGGACGUGGCUUUAACCAAGCACCUCGAGUUGGAGACAACUCCUCAGGUGGAGUGGAGUGAGGAUUUAAAAUGCACAAUAGGUGCAUUACACUCAUUGCAGACUACCACGAAAAGGUAUGAAGUGUUACCUAUUUUUACUCCCGAGCCUCACCAGAGGGUAUUGUCAUCUGUGGUGCAGGCACCUGUACUGGAGUUGAAACCUCUACCAGAGCACCUGAAAUAUGCAUAUCUAGGUGAUAAUGAGACACUCCCGGUGAUUAUCUCAUCGGCACUGUCAAAAAUCCAGGAGGAGAAACUGAUCCGGGUCCUUCGGGAGCAUAAAGAGGCGAUAGGCUGGACAAUCGCAGACAUUAAGGGGAUCAGUCCGGCCAUCUGUAUGCACCGGAUUAGGCUAGAAUACGAUGCCAAACCUGUUAGGCAGGCUCAAAGAAGGCUCAAUCCCCUCAUGAUGGAAGUUGUAAAGAAAGAGAUUCUAAAAUUGCUAGAGGUGGGGAUCAUCUUUGCAAUAUCUGAUAGCCCUUGGGUGAGUCCGGUCCAGGUAGUGCCAAAGAAAGCAGGAGUGACGGUAGAGGCCAACCAAACGGGUGAGCUCGUGCCAGUGCGCAAACCCACUGGAUGGAGGCAAUGUAUAGACUACCGUAGGCUGAACGCCGUCACAAAAAAGGACCAUUUUCCUCUCCCUUUCAUUGACCAAAUGGUUGAACGUUUAGCUUGUAGGGCUUAUUAUUGCUUUUUGAAUGGAUUUUCAGGAUACUUUCAGAUAGCAAUUGCCCCGGAGGAUCAAGAGAAGACAACCUUCACGUGCCCGUUCGGGACCUUUGCCUACAGACGAAUGCCAUUUGGGUUGUGCAAUACACCUGCGACUUUCCAAAGAUGUAUGGUAAGCAUCUUUUCUGAGUAUGUUGAGAAAAUAAUAGAAGUUUUCAUGGAUGAUUUCAGUGUGUAUGGUGAUAGCUUUGAUACGUGUCUAGAUAACCUGAAAUUGAUCCUGAUAAGGUGUAUAGAGACUAGUCUUGUGCUUAACUGGGAAAAAUGUCAUUUUAUGGUUGAGCACGGGAUAGUCUUGGGUCAUAUUGUAUCGUCUAAGGGCAUAGAAGUAGACAAGGCUAAAAUAGACAUUAUUUCUGCAUUACCUUACCCCGCGAGUGUGCGGGAGGUGCGCUCUUUUCUUGGACAUGCAGGUUUUUAUCGAAGGUUCAUCAAGGAUUUUUCAAAAAUUGGAGCCCCGUUGUUCCAACUCCUACAAAAAGAUGUAGCCUUCGAGUUUGAUGAUAAGUGUGAGAGAGCCUUUAACAAGCUGAAGGAAUUGUUGACUUCACCCCCAAUCAUCCAACCCCCCGAUUGGAAUUUGCCAUUUGAGAUCAUGUGCGAUGCCAGUGAUCAUGCUGUUGGGGCUGUACUGGGGCAAAGAGUAGGAAAGGCAGCUCAUGUCAUCUAUUACGCAUCCCGGGCCUUGAAUGGAGCCCAGUUGAAUUAUUCCACCACUGAGAAUGAGCUUCUUGCAGUUAUUUUUGCUUUGGAAAAAUUUAGGUCAUAUCUGUUAGGUGCUAAGGUGAUUGUAUUUUCUGAUCAUGCAGCAUUAAGGUACCUGAUGACCAAGAAAGAUGCAAAGCCGAGGCUCAUCAGGUGGAUAUUGCUACUACAGGAAUUUGACCUGGAAAUAAGGGAUAAAAGAGGUUCAGAGAAUUUGGUAGCUGACCAUCUGAGUCGUAUACCCGUUGGAGAGGAUAAUGAACCAUUGAGAGAUGCAUUCCCUGAAGAGCACUUAUUUUCUUUAAAUUCUCAGUUGCCUUGGUUUGCUGAUUUAGUCAAUUAUUUGGUAACUGGUAAUUUUCCUGCAGGUUGGCGAAAAUCGAAGAGGGAUAAAUUGAAGAGCGACGCUACGUAUUUUAUCUGGGAUGACCCGUAUUUAUGGAAGAGAUGUGCAGAUCAAAUGAUGAGGAGAUGUGUAAGUGAAAUGGAAUUUCAAUCGAUUUUAGCUUUUUGUCAUACUUUUGCCUGUGGAGGUCAUUUUGGACCCAAGAGAACUGCUCAUAAGGUUUUAGAAAGUGGAUUUUAUUGGCCUUCAUUGUUUAAGGAUGCCUAUGUGUUUUGUAAGUCAUGUGAUCGCUGUCAAAGGGUAGGUAAUAUAGCCCGUAAAGAUCAUAUGCCCCAAGUCCCGAUGAUUUUUGUAGAAAUUUUUGAUGUUUGGGGUAUAGAUUUCAUGGGGUCUUUUCCUACUUCAUUUGGUUUUCUGUAUAUUUUGCUGGCAGUUGAUUAUGUGUCUAAAUGGGUGGAGGCUAAGGCCACUCGAACUAAUGACUCGAAAGUGGUUGCAGACUUUAUCAGGUCUAAUAUUUUUGUGCGAUUUGGAAUGCCAAGAGCUAUUGUCAGUGACAGGGGAACGCACUUCUGCAACAAAACCGUAGCUGCGUUAUUUCGCAAGUAUGGUGUACUCCACAGAGUAUCAACGUCGUAUCACCCCCAAACCAAUGGUCAAGCGGAGGUGUCGAAUCGGGAGAUAAAGUCCAUCUUGGAGAAAAUGGUGCGCCCCGAUAGAAAAGAUUGGAGUCAACGGUUGGAAGAUGCACUCUGGGCCUAUCGGACGGCAUACAAGACACCUAUAGGGAUGUCUCCCUAUAGGUUGGUAUUUGGUAAGCCGUGUCAUCUUCCAGUAGAGUUCGAGCAUAAAGCAUUUUGGGCGGUUAAGCAAUGCAAUAUGGAUAUUGAGGAGGGCGGAAUCCAAAGGAAAUUACAAUUACAGGAGUUGGAGGAGAUUCGCAAUGAAACUUAUGAGAAUGCGGUAAUUUAUAAGGAGAAAAAUAAAAUUUUUCAUGACCAACAGAUCUCAAGGAAGACAUUCGAGUGUGGGCAAAAAGUUCUGCUGUACCACUCCAAAUUGCAGUUAUUUCCAGGUAAAUUACGUUCUCGUUGGAUUGGCCCUUUUGUUGUGACUAAUGUCUUCCAUUAUGGUGCAGUCGAGAUCCAAAGUUUGAAAGCUGAGAAGAAAUUUGUAGUGAAUGGUCAUCGUCUCAAGCCGUAUUAUGAAGGGGUUCCAACUGAACGGGUGGAGGUGAUGUACUUGGAGGAUCCGACUUGCUUAGUUUAAACAAAUUUUUGGACAAUGUCUGGCCAAAGACAUUAAAAAAAGGCGCUCAUUGGGAGGCAACCCAAUUGUUUCUUUUAAUUGUUUGUUGGUUUCGUGUCAUUGUUUAAAUCUGUUUUCCUUGAAUUUGACUGAUUUUGGGUGUUGAUUUUCGUUUUUUCUGAUUUGUAAGCAACCUUCAGUCAUGACGUGCCCGCGUGGUGAUGUGCAGGACGCUCACGAUCAGGAAUUUCUGAAACUUCUGGGAGCUUUCCUGCCCUAAUGACGUGCCCGCGUGGUGAUGUGCAGGACGCUCACGAUCAGGAAUUUCUGAAACUUCUGGGAGCUCUCCUGCCCUCUUGAUGUGCCCGCGUCACGUUCGCGGGAAAGGUAAGGAUUUGAAAACAAUAUUUCAUUAUUAUUAUUGUUAUUAUUAUUAUUAUUAUUAUCAUUAUGCCUUUCAUUAAAAGAAGAAGAAAGAUUAUUUAUAAAACAAAAAAAAAAGAAAUUUAAAUUAAUAACAAAUUAAUAAUAUAUAAAUAAGAAGCUGGAAAUUUUUCCUCUUAACCGUAGCAACUUCCGUUUUUUAUUAAAAAAAAAAAAAAAAGAAUCCUCUUCUUUCUUUUCCUUCUUUUCUUUUCUUUCUUUUCUUUCUUUCUUCUUCUUUCUUUCUCUUUUCUCCUUUUCUCCUCCUCUGUUUUCCUCUGCGUCGCCUGAAGCAGCAGCCGCUGCCAUCUCGCUUCAUCUCGCCCGAAGUAACUCCUUGCGCGCCGCCACUGUUGCCACCCAACUCGCCGCGCGACGCCGUCCGCCUUGCCCGCGAGCCCGACGCCUCUCUCUCCGCAGCCGACCCACAACCGCGCGUAGCUGCCGCCGCAGCCAGCAGAUCCAUCGCCGCCGCCAUCUCCCUCACGGCCGCGCCAUCCCUUUCUCCCAUCCGCGCACGCCGACGCGAGCGCCGCCGCCGCCGCCCAGUCCGCGUCCGCCAUCCGAUUCAACCAGAGAGGAGAGCGCCUCCCUCGCUGCUCUCCCCUGCUCUCUGAGCGUUCCACCAGCCCGAACCGCCGCCACCCCCGCACGCGGCGAGAAGCCACAGGCGCGCCGUCCGCCGCUGCUGCCCGAAGCUCGCGGCAGCCCACGGCCGCCUCUCCUGCUCACGCCGCCGCUGCCUGCCAAAGCCACGGACGCACGCCAGCCGCACGUCCUUCCUCUGAUGCUACGCUCUCCCUCUUCCCUGACAGGUGGAGGUAUUAUCUGCUUACAUUUAUUUGCAUUAUUUGGAGGAGUACCCUGCAUUUGUUGAAUUGGGUGGCAUUUGUGCCAGUCUAUCUGCUUUGUGCAAUUUGGAAAAUUUUAUCCACCGUUGUGGGCGUUCUGUCCAUUGAGUCCAGUGCUGGCUCCUGUUUGGCUCUGACUAUUGGUGCAUAAUUUCUGGGGACAUUUGUUGAUAUUCUUGUUAAACUGGGUUUGCUUUUGACUGAGAUUUAGGGUUGUUAUUACUUUGGCUCAGCCGUGGGAAUUGCUUCACUAUUAGCUUUAAUCGAUUGUUGGGGUCAUCCUGGUUGCUGUUUUGAAUUGCUUGACUGGUUCACUUAAACUGGCCAACUGGAGCCAUUUAUUGAGUUUUUAGGUGCUGUUACUGGAUUCUUCUCCCUAUUAUCUGAAACCUCUAUGGGGUUGAUAUUUGGUUGACUGUCGUGGCCUUGUGACUGUGUUGCCUUGUGGAAAUUCGGAAACUGGUAUUGCUUGAUCUAGCAGUUGCUUGGGGAAAUUGUUCAAGUUUUGGGUGAAUCCAAUUUAUUUAGUUUUCUUUAAACAGUGAGCUGCAAGAUUAGUGUUACCUAUUGUAUUGCAUUCGCUGGGCCUCUGGUUCGUUGGCAUUUCUUUAUUUCUUGUUGGCAUUGGCGAGUUGUUAUCUCUGUUGGGACUUUGGUUGAUUAAGCUGAUUGCUCCAAAUCAUGGUGAGACCAAAAUCAUCCUCUAGGUCUAGGACCCCUCGUUCUCAGCCUCCUCCACAAGCCUCCAUUCCUGUGAAUACACCUACCAACCUACCCUCUUCUUCUAAUGUGCGAACCCGUUUGGGUAGGGGUCGGGGUGCUCAGGUAGAUACCCCUACUCACUUUGGGGGGCACCUAACCUUCACUAGACCCGCCGAUCAGCAGAGGCAUGCUAAGGUCUGCGAGCGGCGUAUUACACCCAGUAAGACUUGGGAAAAAUUAACCGUCAUGGGUCUAGGCAUACGAGAGGAAGUCGAGCAGAUGUUUACAGCCAUCGGGUGGCGCUCAUAUCUCGAUAUCUUAUGCCCCGCCUUUGUCGAGCUGACUCGGGAGUUUUACUCCACCUUUGAGUUCGAGUUACCUACGAGAUACACCGUUGACACACCACAGGUCAUUCAUUUCCGGCUCAUGGGUCGAGAGUUCAAUUUCUCCAUUACCCAAUUCAAUCGGGCAUUUGGGUUUGCCACUAGAGAGUAUGCUGGGAGUAGGGAGUUUGCUGAGAGUGCCUGUGACUACAUAGAGCCGUUCCUCUCCCACUACCAUGACGUGUGGGAAGAAAUGUCCGUCGAUCAGCAGCGCUACGAUCCUUCCCGGUCUCGGAGCUCCUUUCUUAAGGACCCUAGUGCCCGCUAUGUUCAGCGUUUCUUAGCCUACAGCUACUCAGGGCGCAAGGACAGCUCUGGCAUACUCUCUCGCCCUGAGUUCUUCUUCCUCUGGAGUAUGAAGAACAAUAUCAAGGUGAACUUGGGGUGUUGGUUGGCCACACAGUUCAAGACCGUCUUGGCCAAGAAGAACAAACCCCUUAUCCUUGGAUCCUAUAUCACUCACUUGGCGAUACAGUUGGGAGUUCUUGACCUGGAGGACCACGACCUACAUUUGGCGUGCGAGAUGGAGCUCUUGGACGCAGACUGCUUGGAAAGGAUGGGAGUCAUCGAGCGCCUGCCUGAUGGUUCCUACCAGUUCAUCCCUCCUGGACCACCUAGAGCUCCGGGUGCGCAUCAUUCGUCCCGGGCAGGGCCGUCCUCCUUUCCUGGAUCAGCCGAGGACACGGCUGGGCCGUCAUCUUCUGCACCACCUCCACGCCGUGGGACUUCUGAAUGGCAGCAACUCCGGGAGCAGGUUCAGGAUUUGCAGGCCCGGAUGACCAACGUCGACGCCAAUGUCGCCGGCAUAGCACAGAAUUUGGCACAGUUCCUAAUGCAUACAGGCUUUGCACCUCCAUUCCCACCUCGCCCUCCGCUAUGACCCGAUUUCAGGGAAGUUUGGGUGAUUCCCCUCUCACUUUUGCUUUACUUUUGGUUCUUAUUUGUCACAUUGAGGACAAUGUGUCCUAUAGGUGUGGGGGGGAUCUAAGGUUAUGCUAGUGUGCUCCGUUCUUAGUAGUUUUCAGUUUUCAGCUUUUCAUUUUAGUAGUUUUUAGUGUUUUUAGUUUUUAGUAGUUUUAGUUUGCAGAGGGAAAAAAAGAAAGAAACAAAAAAAAAACUAAAAGAAUAAAAAAGAGAGAAGUGAGUUUUUAGUUAUUUUUCGUUCUUUCUUCUUGGUGCUUACCUUUCAUGUGAAUGCCAAAAUUGAGAUGUGGACUUAUUAACUCCAAGUCUAUUUUUGCCAAGUUCUUGAAUACAAAGGUAUCGGGUUAAUGUGGUUGGAUUCGAGAUGUCUCCUUGGUGAAUAUCGGACUGUUUGAUUCUUUUGGUUUCUGUGUUAACUUUUCUAGGCAUUGGGAAUGACUGUUGGCAUUUUAAUGUGAACUGGUCCAGUAUUGACUCCAGUUCUCCAUGUUUGGCAAUAAUGAGGCGAGCUGCCCCUAUGUUCAGUUGUUAGUGCUGUUAUUUUGCGUUUCUGCUUUGUUUAGCUGUGAAUAAACUUGACUGUACUCCUCUAUUGGCUACUACCGAGUAACCGGGAAUCUGCACCUAAAAGUGUCGAUUCUCGCGUCAAAAGGUGGUACUUUAUAUGAGUACGUGGUUGUAUAGCGGUAGGAGCUGAGUAACCGAGCUCCGUCAUCUAAAAAUGUUGGAGUUCGCGUAAAAAGGCUCCGGCGGCUAGAGACUAAGUCUCCUUGGGUCAAAUAUUAUUAUAUUUAAAAAAAAAAGAAAAAAAAAGAGAAUAAAUAAUAGGGAAGCUUGCUGGUUUAUGGACUCAAUAUGGGGACUUGUGUGAAUAUUUGGACCAUUAGCUGAUAAAUGCUGUUUGUCAUUCCUUUUCCUUAGACUAGUUAAUUUGGAAAUUGCAGGAGUUUGUGGUAGAGGCUAACUGGGGGGAUGUUUCUCGGAUUUUAACUACUAGUGCCCGAUAUAUGAUUUUCUCUUGAAUCUCUUGGCAAUGUGGUAGAUCAGAGUGUUGACCGCUGUCAACUUUUUAGGGUCUGCCCACUUUUCUUAUGCUUGAGGGCAAGCAUGGUUUAGGUGUGGGGGGAAUUGAUAGGGUAUAAUUUGUUAGUAAUUUUACUAUUAAUUUCCCCUUUCAUCCCUGAUAAUUAUUGUGUUAAUUGCACAUAUCUACUUAUAUUUGGUUUGUGGCCUUUAUUUCAGGGAUAGAACAGAAAACUACCAAACAUGAGGGAUUUUCUGGAGAAAAUUGAGUCUUCCAGCGGGUCACAGGCCAGGGCCACAGUGCUGAAAAGAACUGGACUCCCAUCCCUUUAUUCUUGUUGACCAAGAGGAUAACAACCGGAGACUUAGAGAACUUGAAGGCUUGGGCCUUUGACUUCGGUGGGGACCACGGAGGAAAGGAAAAAGGCUUUGGUCCUUUGGUUUUUAAAGGAAAAAAGCAACGUACAAAGCCUGGGGGAACUAAGAAGAAAUGGGGCAGCUUGUGACCAAUUGGUGGGGACCACUGCAUAUCUUUCCUUUGGCUUUAAAUAGGGAACUAACGUACGGAGGCAAAGGACCGCCUUUUAGUUUGAGCUUCUCAGCCUAGUCUUUAGUUAGUUUUUCUUUUUCUCCUGGGACUGGCCUCUGACACACGCCAAGUGUUUGACAAUAUUCCCUAACGGGGAAAACCUCCUUCAUUCCUUACUUUUUAGUACAAAACAAUGCCUUCGCAAUUUAUUAACUCAUGUGGUGAUUUAAUUAUGCGGCGUGGCUAAGUCUUUCAUCUAGUCAAGGGUCAACUCGACGGCGCAGUCCCAAAAAUCUGUGAGAUCUAAUUAGUUUACACAUGUUCCUUUAUCUAUUAAUAUUUGCACGUUAUCUGCUUGAAUUUUCAUGGGAUUAUUUUAUUAAUUGGAUGUCAAGGGCCCGAUGUUCAAUUUGAUUUAUUAAUCUCGUGCCAAUUUAGUCAAUUAAAUCCGUAAUUGUUUGAUUGAUUAAUAUUAGUGGCAACUGGUGUGUUUACACAUUAGGGGAAUGUGCAAUCUAAUUUAAAUAACCCUCGUAGCGUGUUAUUGAUUAGGGGUAGGUUUUUCUAGUUAUUAAUGCAAUUAGAAAAUUAAUUCCUAUGGUCGUACCUAGGAGUACUUUUCUGGUUAGGGGUGAUUAAUGGUCGUACCUUGGUCACCUAUAAAUUAAGGAAAAAUUGGUUAGGGGUGAUUAAUGGACUGUGCCUGAGUAGUUGUAUCCUUGGCUAGAAUUUAUUUAUUCCUGAUUAAAUUCCUGCUAUAUUUGCGCUAGUUAUUUAUUCAUUUUUAGUUAAACUGUUUAAUUGUUUUUAGUUGCAUUCCGGUGAAAUUCCCCUUUAUCAAUUGGACUUUGAAAGAGACAGAUAUCUUCAGUCCCUGAGGAGACGACCCUACUUGCCACUGUCUACUAUUUAGUAAUUUUUGUCAAUUAAUUAAUUCUGGUAUAUCGGGUUAAGCAAACUCUUCGGGAACAGGGUGAAUCAAGUAACCCAUUGCACACCUAGAGUCCCUGCUCCAGUACCUAGGAUUAAUUAUUGACUGCUUUUAGUGGUAGCUAGGUUCCAUUUUUAUUAUUAUUAUUGCGCAGGCUGACGACCUGCCAUAAUACCCAUGCCAAAGCCACAAAUAUCUUGUUUAUUUCUUCAGCAUUCCUAAAUAUUAAGAGCUAAGAACAAUCAGAUCGGAACUUGCUGCUCUAUUAACUAACCUCGAUAUUACUUUUUUCAAAACAGGUGUGGACUUUCGAGCAAUGGUAAAUCGCAUACCACAAGGUGCUCACUUGACUAUAAUAGCAGACUCCUGCAACAGUGGGGGGCUAAUUGAAAUGUUGAAGGAGCAAGUUGGACCUGGCUUUCCUCCACAUGUUUGCUAUACCCCAAGGGCUUACGACUACAACCCACUUUACAAACCCAGACUAAUGCCCAUGACGGCAAUUGUGCGGUAUUUGGAAUCUAGGAGUGGCUUAAACAGUCCAGACAUUGGCAGACACUUGAGGCACAUUUAUGGAAACGAUGUCAGCAUCAAGUUCCGGGGGCAAGCUGAUCACCAUGCCCAAGUUAAUGCUUCACACCAGCCCGUUGAUCAGUUAGACGACAAAGGCAUUCUUAUCAGUGCAUGCCAGUUCGAUGAGUCAUCGUUAGAUAUUCGGGGUGUUCGUCGUCCUCAUGGUGUGUUUACUGCUGUACUUUCUGAAUCGGUGAAAGAGGAACCUGGUCCGAUCAGCUAUAAAUUGCUCGUCGAGAAAUGUAGAGCUAAAAUAGAAUUGUUCGCCGAGAAAUAUAGAGCUAAAAUAGAACGCCCCCCGCAUCCAUGUCUCUACUGCUCUGACGAGAAUGUUAAUGCACCUUUCCUGCAGAAUCGCUUAAUUAACUAAGCCCCCGCCUUGCUACUAGAGAAUACCAAUUGGAAGAUUGAGGCCCAAUUGUUGAUCUGUUGUGAUCGUUGACUAAUGUAAUAGUUGUCUAUAAAUUACGUCUUCUAUAUAUAGUCAGAGGACGAGUUGUGUUUGAACUGUGUUUUGUGAUGCUGUUAUCUUAUGAUUCUACCGAAUUCUGGUCUGUUAAGUUUCGGCAACUGUAAGAAGUGGCAUUUUAUUUUGUAAUAUCUGGUGUAUGUUGCCAUUAUUAGCUUUCGAGACGACUUAAAUGUGAUUCACUGUAAUCCUUUUGGUUAUGUCACAAGUGUGCAUUUGUUACUGACUUGUGAAUCGGAAAAGAAUAAUAAACAAAUGGAAUAAGUGGACAUUAUCUAAAGGUACCUUAUGCUUUGAUAAGUGUCAUCGUGCAUUAAAGAGUGUCAGGAUAAAUUUAGAAGUGGCCGAUGAGUUACCAGCCUAAUAUAUAGCAAGUGAGACCUCAGCCUCGAGGUCUCAGACGGUGGUCACAUGAACCACAACCUGGAAAGUAAUAAAGAAAGGAAGUUAUCAUGAAUAAAAGAUAUCUUUUUAAAAAAAAAAAAAAAAAGGUUACAUCACACUAAUUCUAUCUCAUCUCCUACUCAUUCUUCCUCUUUACAUUAUAAAUACUAAAUUAAGUAUCAGAGUUUCUUCCAAGGGAGAGAGCCCCACCUCACCAUAGGUUCUCUUUGCUGAGUCUAGUAUAGCAUCAUCAAAAUCAGCAAGCAGGUGCAAGAUUUUGCUUUUCCAACUUGCAAGUACUAAAAUUGUUGCCCCACAAUCUCUACCCCUGACUCUCCCAUUCAGCCAUUGUAAUGCACAAUGGGAAAAGAGUACCAUUUCUCUUGGAUGUUUGUUUACAUUCUUCUUUAUAACUCGUUAUCAUAUAUUUGUGCUCUCUACGUAUGCGCGCUUAUUCUCAUGAUUCAAACACAAACAAAAGAUUGCUUAUAGCAUUUGCAUCGUCCAAAGAUUAUAAAGCGACAUAGUCACGGCUGCCCUUUCUUUUCCCUAUCAUAUCAUUGCAAUUUGCUAAUCUAAAUCAAUCUAUUACUUAAUUAAUAUAUGAUACUAUAAUCAUAUGAUACUAUAAUCAAUCAAAUCUAAUUUUUUCUAAUAUUUAAAAUAUCAAAUCUUUCCAUAAUAUCAGAUCACAUAUCUUCAACUCUAUUAUCAGUUUGUCUUUUGACGUGAUCUUAUUGAGUCACUUUUAGAUCUUUCUUGUGUGAAUUAUAAUGGCAGAUAUGAAAGGCAGUAGUAGAGAGAUGAAAACAGUAAUUUUUUAUGUUAUUCCUACAACAUCAAAAAUUACUAAUAACAUAAAAAAUUACUGAACACAAAUUGAGUGGAAAAAAUUUUUUAGAUUAGAGUAAAACUAUUCGGAUAUAUCUGCGCAGCAUCGAUAGAGAUGAUUAUCUCACUGAUGACCCACCCGUUGAUGGGAAAGAAAAGAAGGUUUGGCUAAGGGAAGAUGCAAAAAUAUUUUUGCAGAUCCGAAACUCUAUUGAUAAUGAGAUAGUCAGUCUCAUCAAUCAUUGUGAGUUUAUUAAAGAUCUUAUGAAUUAUUUGGCUUUCUUGUAUUCUGGUAAGGGUAAUUUAAAUCAUAUAUAUGAUAUUUGCAAGGAAUUUUAUCGUCCGGAAAAACAGCAGAGAUCUCUUACAGAAUAUUUUAUGAAUUUUAAACGUGUAUAUGAGAAAUUGAAUUCUCUCCUUCCUUUUAGUACUGAUGCAAAGAUUCAACAGUCUCAACGGGAACAAAUGGUUGUAAUGAGUUUUCUUGUAGGAUUACCAAUUGAGUUUGAUGCUGCUCGAAUACAAAUUCUCUCUAACCCAGAGAUUGUUUCCCUCAAUGAAACUUUCACACGAGUGUUGAGAACCGAAGGAUCUUUGUCUACUUCUACUGUUACUAGUGCUCUCGUGAGUCGAAGUGGAGCUGGUCAUAAUGGUAAAAACAGUGGCAAAAAUGGGACUGGUGGGAUUGCUGGUCAUGGACAAUACAACUCAAAUCAGCGAAUCUGUUAUCACUGUAAGAAACCAGGCCAUACCAUACGUACGUGUUGGGACCUUCAUGGUAGACCUCAACAGCAGCCCCCGUUUGCAAAUUUCGCAACUCAGAAAAACAAUUAUGUGCCUCUGACAAAUCCAUACUUAUCUCUGCUGAUGACUUUGCCCGUUUUACUGAGUUCCAGACCUCACAAAAAUCUAUUAACCCAUCUUCUAGUACCAAUCCUCCUUCUAUUAAUCACUCAGGUAAAUCUACUACAUGUCUUGUGUCAUCUUCUAACAAAUGAGUCAUCGAUUCCGGUGCAACAGAUCAUAUAACCGGUAAUAAAGGUAUUCUCUCCUCUUUUAAUCCUAACAAAGAUCAUCCGAAUGUUACUUUGGCUGAUGGGUCAUGUGUUUUAGUUGUGGGUUCUGGUAUAGCAAUUCCUGUGUCAUCUAUCCCCUUAUAUUCAGUCUUAUGCUUACCUAAUUUUUCGUUUAAUCUAUUCUCAGUCAAUAAAAUUACAAAAGCUCUCAAGUGCUUUGUCUCAUUCUUUCCUGAAUAUUACUUUUUUCAGAAUCUUAUGACGGGGAAAACUAUUGGUAAAGGACAUGAGUCUGGCGGUCUGUAUACACUAGAAACCCCCUCAUCGAAAGUGUCGAAACCUGUUGCAUGUUCCUCCACCUUGAUUCCGCUUGAAAUUCACUGUCAUUUGGGUCAUCCAUCUCUACCCACUUUGAAGAAGUUGUGUCCAAAUUUUCAGAAUUUAUCCCAUUUAGAUUGUGAGUCAUGCCAAUUUGCCAAGCAUCAUCGUUUGCUUUACUUGUCUAGAGUCAAUAAACGGGUUUCAUCCCCCUUUGAAUUAGUGCACUCUGAUAUAUGGGGCCCCUGUCCAAUAGUAUCUAAAUCUGGUUUUAAGUAUUUUGUCACCUUUGUUGAUGACUAUUCUCGUGUUACUUGGUUAUAUUUAAUGCGAAGUCGUUCAGAUUUAUUUAGUAUCUUUUUGAUAGAACGGUUAUUUGGCGUAUUUUGCAUUGUUAUUUUGUCCUAAUUUUGGCUAUUCACGGUACUAAGAAUUGGAAUUUCACUCAUAUUCGAUAUUUGUGUGAAUUGUAGGUGGUAGGCAUGAAAAAUGAUCUCGCGGGGUAAAUUUCCAGAAGACUUUUCGUCUCAGGGCGUGGCCACGCCUUAGAAGGUGGACGAAACCGAAAGCCGGACUGCGGUCCACGUGAACCGCGAGAAGCAUGGGAUAAAAACUCCAAAAGGAUAGCUUUUGUUAGAUGAACUACUCCAGACGUCUCCUUUCUUUACUUUCUUUUGAGCGGCGGCUAUAAAGAGAAAAGCAAGAUUCAAAAAGUGAAAAUAGACCCUAGCUUUAGCUUGAGAAGUCAGACGCUUUUUAUUUUAUUCUUUUGCUCUCCGUCGGCCGCAAUUAGAUUAGUUUUGAGUUUUCUUUUUCUUCUCUUUCAGUCAAACGUAUUUCUUCUUUCUUUUAGCUUUCGUCUUGUAUGGCUUGACUCCUGAGUUGUUACUCUUGCUUGAGACAAUUCGCGUUGAUUUUCUGCUUUGUGAUUGCGACCCCAAUUCUUCGGCAAAUAAUCGAAUGAAUUCAAUUAAAUCACGCGGGAUUAACACGAUGAGGAGCGGCUAAUUUCCUCCUCUACCCAAAGGUUGACGCAAAGGCGCGGUCCAUAAUAUCUGUGAGAUCUAAUCGAAUCUUCAUUAUUUCUUCCAUUUUAUUGCUAUUCGUGCGUUUCCUGAAUUAAUUGUUCAUGGGUAUUUUAUUAAUUGAAUAUCAACGGCCGGGUAUUUGAUUUAAUUUAAUAGCCUACUGCCACGUUAAUUAAAUAGAAUCCGUAAUUGUUCAUUUAGUUAACACCCCGUGGCAACCACCAUAAUUGGCUUUAUGAUGGGGAAACGCAAGAUCUAAUUUAAAUAAACCCUCUUAGCGUGUUUAUUGGUUAGGGUUGGGUUCUUCUAGUUUUAAUGCAAUUGGGUAAUUAAAUUCCUACGGUCGUACCUAGGGUUGUUAUCUGGUUAGAGAAGCAGUCAAUAGUCGUACCUUGACUGUCGAAAAAGUAAGGAAGAACUGGUUGUCAGAGCUUAUUGAUAACUAUAACCAACCUAGCAAGGAAUAGAUGAAAUAUCUUUGCAUCGAUGAUCAUUUAAUUGGACCGUACCUGAGCAGUUGAUCCUUUGGGUAGAACUUUUAUCAAUUGCUAUUUUUAUUGAAUUGUGCUUUGUGAGUUAGUUCUAAAUUUAGUUCGCUUUAUUUUUAUUUUACUUUUAUUCUAUUUAUUUAUCUCCCAUUGAAAAUCCCCCAAUUUUGUUCUACUAAUUUGGAAAGAACUAAUUUCCUACCCGCUCCCUGUGGAAUCGACCCUACUUGCCAUUGUAUGCAAAAUUAAUAUUUUUGUAGACAAAUCCGGUAUAUCGGAUCAAGCAAACUCUUCGGGAAUAGGGUGAAUCAAGUAACCCAUUGCACACCUAGGGUCCCUGCCCAGUACUUGGAUUUGUUUUAUAAUUAUUUAAUUGAGGUGGUAAUUAGGACUUUUUAGUAAUUAUUAUUGCACAGGUUCGGCACCUGUCACUUUUGUUCCUUUUGUUCUGAAAUAAAAACACAAUUCAAUAUGCCUGUCCGCAUUUUGUGAAGUGAUAAUGCAAAAGAAUACUUUUCUAAAUCCUUUAAUUCAUAAAUGUCAGAAAAUGGAAUUCUUCACCAAUCUUCAUGUCCUGACACACCACCACAAAAUGGUGUUGUUGAAAAGAAAAAUAGGCACUUAUUAGAAAUUGCUAGAGCCCUUCUAUUUCACAUGAAGGUUCCUAAGUAAUUUUGGACAGAUGCAGUUUCAACAGCCUGUUUCUUAAUUAAUCGCAUGCUAUCUUCCGUGCUUGCUGGUGAGAUUCCUUAUUCAAUUUUGUUUCCAACCCAUUUUUUAUUCCCCAUUAAGCCAUGCAUAUUUGGGUGUACUUGUUUUGUUCGUGAUACCCGUCCUCAAAUGUCUAAAUUAGAUCCCAAAUCUCUCAAGUGUGUGUUUUUGGGUUAUUCACGUCUUCAAAAAAGGUAUAGAUGUUAUUCUCCAAAUUUAGAUCGUUAUUUAGUCUCUGCUGAUAUUACAUUUUUUAAGUCGCAUCCAUUUUUUCUUGAGUCUAAUGUCUAUAGUAGUCAGGGGGAGGGAGAUGAUAUUCUAAUCUACACUGUUACAACAACUGUUCCUACAAGACCACAGAUUACUCAAGUGUAUUCUCGUCGUCCUCAACACAUAGACUCAUAUUCUCCACCACCUUCUCUGUUUACAGAUCCGAGUCCUGAUCCAUCAUUUCCUCAGUCUCUAGAUUCUAGUCUUGAUUUGCCUAUUACUUUAAGAAAAGGUAAAAGACAGUACACUUACCCAAUUUCAUCAUUUGAUUCGUAUGACCAUUUGUCUCCCUCCUUGCGUUGUUUUACUGCUUCUUUAGAUUCAAUAUCUCUUCCUUAACGCUUAUCUAAGGCUUUGGAACAUUCUGGCUGGCGGACUGCUAUGGAGGAAGAAAUGAUGGUCCUAGAUAAUAAUGGUACCUGAGAUUUGGUUCAUCUACCAAUAGGUAAGAAACCUAUUGGUUGUAAAUGGGUGUUUGCUAUAAAAGUCAAUCCUGAUGAUUUUGUUGCUCGCCUCAAAGCUCGUCUUGUUGCAAAAGGGUAUGCUCAGACAUAUGGAGUGGAUUACUCAGACACGUUUUCUCUCAUAGCAAAAAUCACCUCUGUUCAAUUAUUUAUUUCCCUUACUGCUACUAAUAAUUGGCCUUUGUAUUAGUUAGAUGUUAAGAAUGCAUUCCUUCAUGGAAAUUUGCAAGAGGAAGUUUAUAUGAACCAAUCACCUGGAUUUGUUACUCAAGGGGAGUCUGGUAAGGUUUGUAGACUCCGAAAGUCACUAUAUGGUUUAAAACAGAGUCCUCGUGCUUGGUUUGGGAGAUUCAGUGAAGUGGUUCAAGAAUUUGGCAUGAAAAAAGUGUAAUUCUGAUCAUUCUGUCUUUUAUCAACAAUCUGAAAUUGGUAUUAUCCUAUUAGUGAUUUAUGUUGAUGAUAUUGUUAUUACUGAUAGUAACAAUGCAUGUAUUGUAGCUCUUAAAAAUUUCCUUUAAUCGCGCUUCCAGACAAAAGAUUUGGGUCUGUUGAAAUACUUUUUAGGCAUUGAGGUUACAAGAUGUAAACAAGGUAUCUUCUUACGCCAAAGGAAGUAUGUCUUUGAUCUUUUGAAAGUAAAAGGAAAGUUAGGUGCUAAGCCAUGCAGUGCACCAAUGAUUCCCAACAUGCAACUUACAGCAGAUGAUGGGGAGUUAUUCUCAGAUCCUGAAAUGUACUGGAGAUUAGUGGGGAAGUUGAAUUAUCUUACUGUGACUCGUCCUGAUAUUCCAUAUCCAGUUAGUAUUGUGAGUCAAUUUAUGUCCUUACCAAGAAUCACCCAUUGGACAGUUUUAGAGCAAAUCUUAUGUUAUCUUAAAGGAAUUUCAGGACGUGGUAAACUAUAUGGUAAUCAUGGUCAUCUCAUAUUAAAUGCUUCACAAAUACAGAUUGGGCAGGUUCUAAACUUGAUCGAAGAUCUAUAAUUGGAUCUUGUGUCUUCGUUGGAGGUAAUUUGGUAUCAUGAAAACGUAAGAAACAAAGUGUAGUAUCUCGCUCUAGUGCAGAGUCUGAAUACCGGUCUAUGGCACAAUCCACUUGUGAGCUUAUAUGGAUACAUCAAUUAUUGUGUGAAGUGGGAAUCAAUAAUUCACUUCCAAUGAAGUUAUGGUGUGACAAUCAAACUGCCCUUCAUAUAGCAUCAAAUCCAGUUUUUCAUGAGAGAACAAAGCAUAUCGAAGUUGAUUGCCACUUUGUUCGUGAAAAAAUUUAACAAAACUUGAUCUCAACCAAUCAUGUGAGAAUUGGAGAGCAGUUAGGUGAUAUUUUCACUAAACCUCUAAAUGGUCCGAGAAUUGAUUACAUUUGUGGCAAGAUGGGCAUGAUUAACAUCUAUGCUCCAUCUUGAGAGGGAGUGUUGAAGAUAUGUGAUCUGAUAUUAUGGAAAGAUUUGAUAUUGUAAAUAUUAGGAAAGAUUAGACUUGAUUGAUUAUAGUAUCAUAUAUUAAUUAGGUAAUAGAUUGAUUUAGAUUAGCAUGAUUUUAGGAUCUAAAUUAGGUUACACUUGUGUAUAUAUAUUUGUAUAUUGUGUAGUCCAAAAAUAUAUGAAAAAGAAUAUUUUCUCUCCCUUUUUCUUAGUUUUCACUUUUCAACAUAAGUUGAUAAAGAGCAAACUCUAUUUAGCACAAAUCUUUCGUCGUCCUACCAUUGCCAAGCAUGUGGUUCGCCCCUUUCAUUUUUAAAUGCUAAAACCAUUUAUGCAAUGUGCUGGUAUGGAUUCAUCCAAUAUAAGUAGACAAAGGGCGAACUUGAUUCAUCACAAAUCUUUUGUUGUCCUCCUACGUGCCAAGUACGUGGUUUGUUCCAUUUUUUAAACACCAAAAUCAUUCGCGCAAUGCGCUUGUAUUGAUUCAUCAACAUAAGUAGAUAAAGAGUGAACUCGAUUCAGUACUAAUCUUUCAUUGUCCUCCCACGUGCAAAGCACAUGGUUCGCCCCUUUUAAAAAAAAAAAAAAACCAAACCAUUGAUGCAAUGCGCUCAUAUUGAUUCAUCAACAUAAGUAGAUGAAGAGUGAACUCAAUUCAGCACUAAUCUUUCAUCGUCCUCCCACGUGCAAAGUAUGUGGUUUGCCCCAUUUUUUUUAAACACCAAACCAUUCACACAAUGCCCUAGUAUUCAUUCAUCAGACACCUAGAUAGACUUGCUCUUGAGGGUUCUCUCAUAUUUUCGCUGCUUGCUCGCUCUCUUUUUCUCUUCUCCUUUGUCUCACCAUCUUCAUCUUCCUCCUUCCUUCUUCGAUCCACCAGCACCACAGCCAAAUAUAUUUUUCUUUUCUUCAUUUUCUCUCCUUGAGUUUUUUUUUUUUGGCAGAGAGUUCGUUUAUUCUCUAUCAAUCUUGGUAAAUUUUCUAGAACUAGAGUAUCCACUGCCCUUUUUUUCUAGGACAAGAUUGCUGAUGUUGUUGUGGGGUUUGACGAUCUUCUUUAAGGUUCCACCUUCUCCACCACCUCCAUCUUGCGGCCAACUCCUUCUCCUAUUCCGCCACCAAUGCCAAUGUUUGUGGCCGAUCCCCUAAAAGCCAUCUAUUCCAAGACCUCAUUUGCCUCCACUUGCACCACCAGGUACUUCUCUAAAGUUUUAUCAUACAUUUUUCAAUCCUUUUCCGCUUCUUCCUACACAGGCUCUAUAUCCUCUAAUGGACCACCACUUGAAAUUUUUUCAAAAUCUACACCUCAUGUAUCCACCACUUGAACCACCACCUGCAGCUACACCAUACAAAGUUCUAUUGUUUUCCCUUUUCGUAGGGGCUUCUCUUGAUUGGUUAUUUUGUCUCACUGCCUUUUGUUUUGGGCUCUCUGUUAUUUGUUUUGAUUCUUUCUUGAAUGUGUUCUCUAUUGGAGUUUGCCUGACCUUUUUAAAUCUUAUUUAUGUCUUGAUUUUACACUUCAAUAUUUCUGUCUUGGCUACUCUUUAUUUUGGUUGAGAUAUGUAGUUAGUGUGUUUUGGUUAUGGUUAUGUUUUUUCCAUUGGGAUACAUAUCUGCUUGUUUGGUGUUUUUUUAAGACUUAUUUCUCUGUCUACUCUACCAUGUUGCCUUUUUUUUGGGGUUAAUAUCAUUGGCUUUGUUCAUGGUUGUUUUUAGUGAGUGCACUUACAAUCCGUGUUUGUUGUUUAUUGUUAUUAAUAAGUGCAAUUAUAAUCUGUGUUUAUUCUUUUGGGGUUGCAUCUUUUCUUUUGUACAUGUUCUCUAUUGUGCAAUUAUUUAUUUCUUGUAGUUUUUGUGUAAUUCAAGAAGUAAAGGUUCUUGUUGUUGCCACAAUGAUGAUGUUGAUCGCAUUGAAGGUCUGCUUGUUCAUUUUAAGAAUUAUGCAUUAGUAAUGCUGCUAUUGAAGAAAAUCCCAAACCUUGUUCCUUUAAGUUUAAGGCGUUGUUGGGGUAGAAUCUAUUUUCUCUUUUGUUUACUUUUAACUAUUUGUCUUUUGUAACAUUGGUUCACUAGAAAUGAAACUUUUACUGCAAAAGGUAGUUUUAGAUGAAGGAAGUUGUAAACCUGAAUGCAAGAUAGAAGAAAUUGGAUAUUUUGAGCCAGCAAAGGUGUAGCGGCAAGACUUCAUGCUUAGGUCAAUAUGCUUCUUUAAAUGAAAAAUUGUGGAAAAUAGUUCUACAUUUGCUAUGUUAUUCAAACCUUUAAUAGUUUGCUCAUUAUUAAGUGUACUUAAGGAGUAUCUGGACAAUUUUGUUUGUUGCAUGUUUCAUAAAAACUAAGGUCAUGUUAUUCAUUCAUCAUUGGUCAUGGUGUUCCUCUAAUCUGUUAGUCCAUGGAAUUAAAUGGAUAUCUGCACCUGUCAUUCCCCUUGUUUGUCUUCUGCAAAGUCCUUUUCUUUAUUAAGAUGUUAGUAAACAUGUGCUUUUGUUUAAAUAUGUCAUUUGGUUGUAUUUGAUUUAUUUUCUUGAACUGCAGUAGAUACUUAUCAUAAUUCAGUUUAAGAUAAUGAUAUGAAAUUAAGACAAAACAAUUUUUUCAUCCAGAAAGAUUUAUGUCACGAAAGGUCCAUGUAGAAUUUAUCAUUGUACUUUCACUUAUGCUCUGCGGCGAAUGCUAGAAAACCUUUCAGAGUAUUUUCACUUAUUCUUCUUUGGCCCUAUAGAUAAGUUUUGAAAACUCUUGCAUAUCUACAGCAGUUAUUUUCAACCGUUGCUACUCAAAGAUUUGGUGUUCAAGCAUGGAUUAUUCUACAAGGGAGCUUGGCGUGCAUCUUGGCAUCGGGUACAUUCUUAUUUGAACCCACAUGUUUGUUCCUUGAAACAACUGAAUCAUAUAGUAUCUUAUAGUGCUUUUGGGGCCAGUGGUUAGGAACCCAGAGAAGAUUCCAUAGGGUAAGACUGGAGCUGACUUUGUUGCUGAAUCCACUAAAGUCUUUACUGAUAAAGACAAAGCUGCUGCCCAAUUGAAGGUACUACAUUCUUUCUAAAUUGAUGAUUUAAAGCAAGGUUAACUUUAAGUCAAUUAGAUUAUUCCCUUAGAUAUCCCAUUUUUCUUUAUUGAAAGAGAUUCUUUGUUGAAAAAUCUUUAUCCGUGUCUAUCAGGGAAAUGCCAAGAAGGUUAUCAUUUUUGCCCCGAGUAAGGAUGCUUUAAUGUUUGUCACAACGAAUUGUCUUGCUCUUUUGACCGAGGUGCUUUGUUAUGUCAGUUCAUUGAACUCUUAGUUUUUGGAAUCAUGAAUUGUAAGUGAUGGUUUUAGAUGUAAAUAUUUGGUGUGCACUUCACAACUGGCACUUCAUUCUUAACUGUGCUUAACCCGUUCUUUUCUUAUUUUUCAACAAAGAAUUCAAUUGAUGUUAAUUUAUAUGAUGUGAUGCAGCCACAUAAAAGUUAGCAUCAACAUUAGAAUUAUGAUUAUCUGCCUGAACCGCAACUGUUGGGCAUCAUGUCUUUCUAUUUUUGCUAUCAAUAGGUCAAUGCAUAUAUUUCUUUCAUAAUUUAGUCUGUAUAUAUCAUCUGCAUUGUUUGGUGUUAUUAUUUCUAUCUAGAAGGCUAUUCAUCAUUUGAUCUUGCUUGACUUCCCUAUAAGCAAAAUAGUGUCAUAAGCACUUGUAUCAUAGUGAUACUAUUUUCUCCUAAAUUAGCUCUAAUUGACCAUUUAAAAUAAAUUUAGCUAAACAGAGUCUAAUUAACUCAAUUUCAAUAUAGCAUUACUUACAAAUUAUGGAAUGUGAGGUGCAAUUGAUCAUUGUAUCUUGACUGAUAAUUUCGUAUUGUUUGUUAAUUGACAGACUCUUUCAAAGCAUGCAGAUCCAAGGCUAUAGGAAAGCAAGAUUCCAACUAUCGAUGAUGCAAUUAGGCACAAGAUGUAUAGCCUUGGAAUGGCUGCAAGAAAAUUUGGCCAGAAGAAUAGAUUUGUCACUGAUCACGAAUGUCGAAGUGGUGAAGCACUUCUUUUGAUUCCAUAAUCCAAGAUUCCUUUGGCCAUUAUCAUCUUUGGGCAGAAAAGAAUUGAAAGAAUGGAUACAUGGCACUUCAAUUUCAAUAUUUAACUUGUCCUUCAAGACAUUGGUCAUUGUGCUACUCAUAGUUUCAAUUCAUGAGCUUUUUUUUUUGUUUGAAACUUUAAUUAAACCUGUCCUUCAACACAUUGGUUUUUUUCUCCUGUAAACUUUAGUUAGUAGAUUGUUCGCUAAGUGCUAGCAGUAAUCUGUUGAUUCUUCUGGUCUUUUGUUACAUCUUCUUUUACUUCAGUUUCUUUAUCUUUCAAAUAAUAGUAAUGUUCUUAAAUAUAUAGGCAUUUCCCUAAUAUAGUGUUUCACAGCUAUUCACACUAAAUUGGGCAUGCACAUUUUUAUCUCUACAACGUAGUGUGCGGUUUAUACCUCAUAGUUCUUGAGAAAGCAAAAACAACAUGUCACGAGCCAAUGCAUCCGUGCACAAGAUCCAUGAAAAAUCUAUUAAUCUAGUUGAAAAAAGUAUAUCAACUGUACCAGUUGUACAACAAGCCCAACCGUAUUGCCCUUGUUCUACAAUAUGCCAAAAUCUUUUAGUACGAAGAACAUUACUUUUCUUCAUUGCAAAAGGCCUAAAAAAGAAGACAUCAUCCUAGAUCAUUUUGGCACUACGUGUAAGAAAAUGCUUAGUUAAUUAAGCAUCUUUACCGGGCCUACCAAUUAAUAUUUAUACUCAAAGCAACCAUAAUUCACGAACUUGGAUUUAUGCACAUGGAAGCAUCUUAAAGAUAAAUGAUAAUUUAUUUUUUCCAUCGAAUUUGACAUUUUUGAGUGAAAGUCUUUUUUUUUUGUCAAAGAUAGUCUUUCUGGGUGAACAGCGUAUCAGUUUCCGAGAAAGCAAAAUACCAAGCCCGAAGAAACUCCAGUUCUGGCUUCAAAGUCUGAUUAAGGCUCUAGCUCUGGCCUGGUGUUAUUUUGCAAACAGGUAAUCUAGCACCAUCAAUUUUGUCUUAAUUUUCUGGUAAUUUUUAGAUGUUUCAUUUCCUAUUCUUGACUAAUUUGACUAUCUUUGUCAUUUUUUGGACUCUUUGUAAUCGAACAACAAUUAGUUACCCUUUAGCUAAUGUGGUUAUGCAGGGAGAUUUAGAGGGAGAUGGCUCAGGUUGCAAUUGUUUCUCUAGUGCACUAGUUGGAGUGCCUGAUGAAAUUCCCUUUUUUGAUUCUCGAGAUCAAGAAAAUGCAGGUCAAAGCCUUCUCUGAGAAAGCCCUCGAACUUUUAAAAGUUUUAGAAGGAACUCCAGUUCUAGCGAGAUCUCGUGUUGAGCAAUUACGAUUCGAGAGUGAACCUCUUGGACGGUCAAUUGGAGAUUUUCUUGUUGCAGUUAAGUUUGAUACUGUGGUGUCAGUGUAAUGAAGUCAGUAGCUAAGAGGUACCAAAAGAGGAAAAGAAGAAGGCGUGAAGAGUAGUUAAGCGAAGACGUGGUAGUCGUGAGAGGAUAACAAGAGAAGACGCGGUCUGAUGAAGUCAACAACUAACAGCUUACAGGAAAAGAAGACGUGAAAUCGGGAAAGGGGAAGGCGCGGGAGUAACGAGUGGAGGUGCGACCAAUGAAUCACACUUUUGCUGGGUUCAUGCUGUUCUUGUUGAAGCUGGGGACCAGUCGAGCUUGAAGAUUCUCCUUACACGUGUCGAUCACUCAUUAGCUAUUGGAAGAGUUAGUUAGAGUAGCUCUCUAUAAAGGAUACGAUCAAUGUAAUUGUUAAGGCAUUAGUUAAGAUUUUGUUAUUGAAUUCAGAGAGGGAAUAUCCCCUCUGUUUAUCUUUUCUCUCAAGUUUCUUGCAUUCUUUUCCCUUUCUCCUCUUUUCCCGCCAAUUCUCCUUCUGUAUCCAAAUUGAAGUUCAUCAAUAAAAAAUCGUGAUGUUUGCUUGAAUCUGAUCAAAUGAGUAUGUUAUUUACUUCACUGCUUAUUCCAACUUUCUAUUCCUGCACCAUUUCUAGUUCUAUACCACAACAAUGGUAUCUGAGCUGGUCUUACGAGCCAUAGGGAUGAUAAAGAACCAGGAUGAAGUACUGAGAAGAGAGGUAGUACAGCUAGGUAGUGUGGUCAGAACUUUCACCAACAAGAAUGAGGGAAUGGAAUAGGCCAUCAGAUCAAUGGAGUUCAGACAGGAUGCUACUGAGAAAUUACAGAAGGGACUAGAUCAGAAGUAUGAGGGAAUGAUGAAUAUGAUGGCUCAACCAAUGACUAAAAUGAAUGACAGAGGGAAGGAAUUCGAAGGAAGCAGCAGUUUAAAGGAGGUGGCUCAAGCUGAGGGAUCUAAGUUGGAGCCAGAGAAGGAAGUAGCCGGAAGAAGAGAGUUCGAGACUAUCAACAAACUGCCAAAAAUGGAUCUGCCAAUCUUCGUUAGGGACAAGCAUAGGGAAUGGAUCAGGAAGGCUAACAAGUACUUCAAAUUGCAUGGAAUUGAGAAGGAGAUGAAGGCUGAAAUAGCAGAACUUUAUUUCAGAGAUAGAGCAGACAUCUGGUUUCAUGGAGUUUUUCAUGGAAGGGAAGUUAUACCCUGGGGAGAGCUGUCUACUUCCCUAUGCAUCAGAUUUGGAGAAGGGAGUCUUGAGAAAGCCAUUGAGGAGUUCAACAAACUAAUACAAGCGGGAUCAGUAGCUGAUUAUCUAGAAAAAUUUGAAAUGCUCAAAGCCUUGGUAAUGCCAUCCUUACCUCAUUUAUCAUAUUCCUACUACAAAGCAUGCUUCAUGAAUUGAUUGAAAGAGGAAAUUGUCAAUAUGGUGAAAAUGUCUAGACCUGAAACCUUAGCUGAUGCCAUUGAGAUAGCUAAACUGCAAGAGAAGAACUUAAAAGCUAUUCAGAAGAUACACAAAACUGUUCCUACUAGUUUUGGUAGUCAGAAAAACCUUGUGAAAACACCACCCCAUCCCAGAUGGAACCAGGACAACCCCAAACAACUAUUAGACCACCUAAUCAAAAUGCAACCAGCCAAAAUCAAUUCAAGAAAAUAUCCCCUACAGAAUUUAACCUGAGGAGAGAGAAACGAUUGUGUUAUAAAUGUGUUGAACCUUAUACUUUAGGACAUGUAUGCAAACGUCCCAUAUUUAUUACUUUUGGCUGAAGAAACUGAGGCAGUAGGAAAAAAACAAGGAGCAAGAAGAGGAGGUUUACUGUGACUGUAUUAAUGGGGAAUUGGCAGAUGAACACAUAGAGGUGUCUGUUCACGCCUUGGCAGGGGGCAGGGCACAAAACCAUUAAGCUGAAGGGUAUAAUUAAAGGGAGACAGGUUACUGCACUGAUAGACAGUGGCAGUACCCACUAUUUCUUGGAUGACCAACUGGCAAAGGAGUUAAAACUUAGUGCACAGGGACCUAACUUGAUAGUUAAUGUGGCCAAUGGGGAAAGGAUAGAUUCCAAGGGACUGGAGAAACCUCUGCAGUGGGAAAUGCAAGGUCAUCAGUUCCAACAUACCUUUAAUACUCUGAGAUUGGGAGGAUGUGUCAUGAUCCUUGGAGUAGAUUGGUUGGCCAAACACAGUCCUAUAGAAUUCAAUUUCCAGAAACUCAGUAUGAGAAUCCAUAAAGAGGAGCAGGAAGUAGUGCUGAUGGGAGAGGAUACCAGCACCAGAUUGAGGAUGCUUAAAGGGAGUAGGUUGAAGAGGUGGUUGAAGAAGCAGGCAUAUGGAGUGGUAGCACAACCGGUGGCAGUAAAAGAGGAGGAUGGUACAGGACAGACACCUGCUAAGAUCAGUCAGGUGUUAGAUCAAUAUAAGGAUGUCUUUGAAGAACCCAAAGGAAUGCCUCCAACCAGGAGCCAUGACCAUCAGAUUGUUCUAAAGGAGGGAGCCAAGCCUUUCCAAAUGAGACCAUACAGGUGCCCCUAUGUACAGAAGACAGAAAUUGAGAAACUAGUAAAGGAAAUGCUAGAAAUAGGCAUCAUACAGCCUAGCAAUAGUCCUUUAGCCUCACCAGUGUUGCUAGUUAAGAAGAAAGAUAGGACAUGGAGAUUCUGUGUGGAUUACAGGCAACUGAAUGAGUUGACAGUGAAGAAUAAAUUUCCCAUGCCUUUGAUUGAAGAUUUAAUAAAUGAGUUGCAUGGAGCCAGGUACUUCACAAAAAUUGACCUGAGGGCAGGAUACUUUCAGAUUAGAGUCAAGGUGGAGGACAUUCCAAAAACAACUUUCAGAACUCACCAAGGACUCUAUGAGUUCAAAGCCAUGCCAUUUGGUUUGAUCAAUGCACCAGCAAUCUUUCAGAGCCUGAUGAACCAAGUCUUCCAAGAUCAGAUGAGAAAACAUGUGUUGGUGUUCUUUGAUGAUAUUCUAGUUUACAACCCAGCACUGGAGAUGUAUGUGAAGCAUGUAACUGAGGUAAUGAAUCUUCUGAGACAGCACUAGUUGUAUGCCAAGAUGAGCAAGUGUUCUUUUGCUCAGUUACAGGUGGAGUACUUGGGACACAUAAUAUCAGCAGAAGGAAUUCAAGCUGAUCCUAAGAAGGUAAAGUGCAUGGAGAACUGGCCAAAACCAACUAAUAUCAAGCAACUAAGGGGAUUUCUGGGACUGACAGGCUACUACAGAAGGUUUGUCAAAGGAUAUGGGGCCAUUGCAAGGCCUUUGACUAACCUACUGAAGAAGGACAACUUCCACUGGAGUGAGGAAUCGAGACAGCAUUUCACGAAUUAAAAAGAGCCAUGUACAAUACCCCUAUACUAGUAGUACCUGACUUCACUCAGCCAUUCUUCAUUGAGACAGAUGCAUGCUAUAAUGGCAUAGGGGCUGUACUGAUGCAGAGCAAGAGGCCUAUUUCCUACCUCAGUCAAGCCUUGGGACAGAAGAAUAUGGGGUUGUCAAUCUAUGAGAAGGAAUUGCUGGCAUUGGUGACUGCUAUGACCAAAUGAAGACAUUACUUGGAGGGACAUCACUUCAUCGUACACACUAACCAUCAGAGCUUAAAGUAUUUGCUGGAGCAAAGGAUCACUACCCCUUUCCAACAGAAGUGGCUCACUAAGUUGCUAGGACUAAGCUACGAAAUUUACUGCAAGAAGGGGAAGGACAAUGUGGCUGCUGAUACACUAUCUAGACAGGACAGAGAGGAGAUAGAGGAGUGCACAGCCAUAUCCUGUGCAGUACCUGCUUGGAUCAGAGAAGUAAUAGAGAGCUAUAAAAAGGAUGAGUGGGCUCAGAAGACCCUAUCCCUGGUGCUACUGACUCCCACACAGGCCCCAAACUACUCUUACUAGGAUGGUAUUCUCAAGUACAAGAAGAGGUUAGUAGUGGGAGGACAUGGUGACACCAGAAAAAAA
rnacentral:lncRNA from 1 species